rnacentral:lncRNA from 1 species
AUAUAUAUAUAUAUUUUUAAAGAUUGAUGUGACGGAAAUUUUGAAAAAAUUUUGGGUAGCCACAGAUAAAGUGGCAAUCAGGCACAACGCGGUCUGCGACGUUCAGACAAGCGCGCGGCACGACGAAGGAAACCCACGCAGGGAGCGAAUUGGGCGCAGCGACGGGUCAAAUCACGUCGACCUGCGAGCCGCACAGGCCCCCAUCUCGGUCAUUACUACGGGGUACUCCUUGCCUGAACGGCUCCAUCCCAGUGACAACAGCUCGGAUCCAAUGCAGGCUUGAACACGGCCAUAAGCCCUGCUUAAAAUCCCAGUACAGAUUUGGUCGCAGAGCAGCAGUAACGGCUGCUGCAGACGUGCAAAUGGAACACAACGUGGUAGGAGUACAGUAUGUGGUGUGUACAGUACUGCGCGGCGCGUGCCACAAAUGUUGUUUUACUGGACGUGACAGCAUGUGUGGUGGGUAGGAGUACUGUGGCCAAAGAUUCGUCUCGUGAUUUACAGGUAAACUGUAUAAUUAGUUAUCUUUUUUAUUAAUAUUUAAUGCUCCAUAUAUGUACCGUAAGAUUCGAUGUGACGAGAAAUCUGGUAAAGUUUUGGGUUUUUGUUGCUAAAAAGAACGGGAAUCAUUCCCGUACAAUGGCAAAGCAAAUUAUGAUUUGAUUUGAACUGUUGGUCUAUCACUCUAUCAGUAAAAAAUCACCGUGCGGCCCCGCGAUAAAACACCGGUCCUACGGGAUGUUUCAUGCCUAGGUUCCCGCGAUCAUCACUUUAACCCAAACAGUAUGGCUUUGGUCGCGUACUGCAGCUAGCAGCGACAGCAUUUACAUUUUGCUACGUGAUGAACGAACGAAUUCAUGGAGUUACCGGUUUGCACGGAUGUACCAAGACUAUUGAACUAUUUUUAGCUCGGUAGGAAAUGGCACGAUGAGAAGAUGAGUGGCGGCAGCUUACUUGGUGCCUGGUUGACGACGUAGGCGGCGCCGGCGAAGUCGCAGGUCCCGAUGGAACGGCCCUUGCGCUGGUAGUAGUCGUUGAAGGCGUAGGAGGCGUGCGCGACCAUGGUGUUGGGCUCGAAGCACGCCGCGCCGGGCUGGAUGGCCUUGCAGUCCGCGCCGCCGGGGCCGCACGCGUAGUCCAGCGCCGCCUGCAGCCGCUGCUCCCCGACGAUCGCAUUCGCCACGCACCACGCCUCCCCGGUCGUGACCUUCACCCCGCUCGGCGGAUUGCCGCUGGUGCUGGUGCUGCCGCUGCCGCUGCUCGGCCCGCCGUUCUCCUGCCACCCGAGGCCAUUGUUGCCCUGGCUGCCGCCGCCUGAAGGGUUGCCGCCGCCACCGAGGACGAAGUCGACGUCGUACACCUUCUGCUGGUUCGGGUAGAAGACUCCGUAAUUGCGUUCAGAGGUGGGCCCGGGCUUCUGGUUCUCGUUGAAGAGCGCGAAGAGGUACACGUCGAUGUCGGCGUCGGGGCGGCGAGGAGUGCCAGCGUUGCCGGAAAGCACGCGGCGCGCCAGGUUGCCGUUGUACGCUGCGGCGUUGGCCGCCGAAGCGCCUGCCUCGUUGGCGUCGCCCUUGGACGGCCACCCGGUCUCGGAGACCACAACGCGUACGGCAUUGUAGUUCCCGAGCUUGCUGACCGCGGCGAACACGGCGUCGAGCUGGGCGUCGAGGAGGCUGUAGUACUUGAGGCCGUUCCCGGCAUCGAGCACGCCGGCGUUGGGGCGGAACAGCGCGUAGUCGAGGGAGAUGUCGCCGGCAUUGCCGGAGUAGGCAAAGAACGGGUAGGCGUUCACCAUGAGGUACGACCCGGUCUGCGCCAGGAAGUCGAGCAUGGGCUUCAUGACGGCCUGCGCGAGGUCCUCCCGGAACGCGCCCGCCGACGACGGGUACGACGACGCGAGCGCGGUGAGCGCGAUGGGCGACGACACCUUGACGGCGUUGUCGAGGCCGAGCCUUGCCAGCGCGGCGUGCACGUUUGUCAUGGCGGGGACCAGCUGCGCCGUGACGUUCUUGGCGGACGCGAACACCUCGUUGCCCACGGCGAUGCCGUGGAUCUGCGUCGCCGGGUAGUAGGCCGCCACGUUGCGGCGCACCCACAGGAGCGCGUACGACGCGCGCGACGCCGCCGCGGCGAGCUGCUCGUUGGGCAGCGCAACCACCACCUUGAUUCCGGUGUUGGCCAGCGCGCGCAGCACGGUGGGGUCGGCGUCGUACAGCUUCACCUGCCCGACGCCCUGCUGCUUCAGCAGCUGCACCACCGCCGCCGGAUUCGGCAGGUUGUUCGCCACGCGGCCGUAGUUCACGCCCACCGUCCCCGCCUCUGCAACCACAACCGGUACACACACACCUAUCAGUCACCAAACUGCCACCUGCAUUGCCGCAUUGUUGUCAUAAAAAAAACCCUUAAUCUUUGCGCAUUCCGGCGGUGUUUACCUGCCGGACAAAGGAAGAGGAGCGGAACCGCCACGGCGAGGAGGACGGCGACGGGGAGGCGGCGUAGGGACGCCAUGCUCUGCUGCGGCGCGGUGAGGCAGAGCAAAGACGGCGCGGGGGUGAGUGGGCGAGUGUGUGGGUGUGGGGCGGAGGGAAAGGGCGGAGGCUGGGGAUUUUUAUGGCCGGCGACCUCGUCACGCUGCCAUCCUGGGCCCACGCUAGCCCGUUCGGGGCGGUAAGGGAAAAGUGGCGUGUAUGGGUGGGGCACGUCGCGGCAGGCUCGGCUCGUGCGCGGGGUGGUGGGGCGACGUGGAGGGAGGCAUGUGGCCGCGUGCUUGGGUGUUGCCUGGUUGGUGGUGCGUGUGCGAUUGGGAUCCAGCAGAACCAGUGGCGAUGGAAAGCGAUGAGGAGCCGGGGAGCGCCGGCAGCCGGGGGCAGGAGGCUGGAGAGCGUGGCCCGCUCGCGGCGACCGUUGUUUCGCUGCGCGACGGGCCCCUAACGUACGGCCGUUUUCGGCUGGGGGCGUCUGGUGGUUAGUGGCUAAUCAAUGUGGACGCUGUGUAGUGCGAUGAAUGAGACUGAUGAUGCCAGUGGCUGCUCUGCUCGUCUCAACGGCUCGAAAAUCUUGUAUGGUCUGUCCUGUUUUGUGCCGUUGAACAAAACCCUUUUCCGUGUGUCGUAUGUAGUGUUUGUGAUGAAUGAAUGAGACUGACGAAAGUGGCAUUAACACAAGUAUUCCUUUAUUUGAGAGGAAUUAACACAGUGAUUCUACUAUACUACGUUCCGAUAAGUACAGUGUCUAGGUGUUCACAAGAACACAAAUUUUUUUUCUUGCGAAACAGAUAUGUGAGUGUUCAAGCAGACCUGAAGUCCAACAGGAGCGACCUUUUUUAUUUGGCAUGGUAACAAGAACAAGAAUAGGAUCAGGCGUGGUAUUUUUGGUUGGCCGCUGAAGUCUGAACCUCUCCGAGGCAAAGGGGAGAUAUCGUUUUGGUUGGUGCAGAUUAACACGAAACAGUUGCUGUCAAACUUUGGCCGCCCACUGUACUGGCUGCAGUACUUGCGUGUUUACAACGGACAAGCUAGGCUGGCAGCCGGGUACUGGGGUAGUCGACAAAGGUCUCCCCGCUACUGCUCCCUGCGACUUAACGCUGACCGUAAUCCAGCUCUCGUCUGCAAAUAAACCCCGGCUGUUUGUUCGGUCCGCCAUCAGCCUAUCAUGGAGAAUCACAGACACUGCCGCGUGACACCGACAGCGCUCGCCCGCCGGGCUCGGCAAGUCGACAGCGACUUGGACGCGUGGUCCUCGGGAGGACGUGCGAUAACAGGAUGCAUCCGCCGACUUAAUUGCGUGCUUAGUGAAGGCAAAGCAAAUCAAAGCAAUGCAAGCGAUUAAGUACAAUUGUACAAACACGCACGACACAUGAGCUAGUGCACCGGCCCGGGCAUGGCAAGUGCAGCUGCCUUCGGUUGCCAUUGCCGACAUCAGCUUUGCCGUCGUUGCACAGCACAGCGGCGACAUGCAUGGACCGGGGAUUUAUUACUGGAGCAGGUAGCCGAAGGUUGUGUUGUGUGUGUGUGUGCAAGUGCAACGGAAAGUUGGUAUGCUGUGGCAAUGGUUGGUUAGGAAAGGCAAUUGGCAAAGUGUGACGGACCAAAUUAAAUAGGGACGCGUCGGUCCAACUUCGGUUACUUGUUUUGCUUGGCCCCAGUCGCGUUGUGUCCCAUGGCAACAAGAGUACACUGUACAUAGCAUGGGGAUCGACCGAGCGACGAGCGUGAACGCGUGAUGCGUUUUGUGAGAAAAGGGAGCGCCUUUUAGGUGAAGCGGUGGAGCAGCGGCUCGUAUAACAACGGGGGCAGGACAGCCGUGCAAGAGUCAGAGAGUGGUUUGGACAGUGCAGAGUGUAGUUUGUAGUGUUGUCAAUGGGCGAGACUAACAACAGGGGAGACGCGGUUCUCAGUGGAGACUGGAGACUACACAUCGCCGAGGGGUCGUUCACAGUCUAAUAAACAACAGAGUUUUGGUUUGUCACAGCUACAUCAUGUACUGUGACACGGCUAGACACACACGAAAAAGUCUCCCCGCGCAGUCCCAUGAUUCAUACACGCUGCGUAGGCGGCUUUGUGGGUUGUUUGGACGUGGCGAGUAACGUAGCUGCUACGGAGCAUCAUGCUCCGGCCGUCCGUCUUGCUUGUUCUCCACUCCUGCUACAUUUCCCAGUCCCAGCUGCAUGCAUUCGAGGUCGAGGUGAUGAGACACAGCCCAAAGCAUGAUUCGCCGUGCAUGCCAUGCCCGUUCCCGUUCAUGGGGAGUCGCGGAAACAAUCAGGCCGCAUGAGACGGCUUCGUGGACAGGUUUGCAGUUUUGCACCUGCGAACUGUACUAAUAAAGGGACUUUUGAGCAGCGGAGCAAUUUCACCGGCUACAGACGCGACGCGCGCGCGUGGCGGGGCCGGGGCUCCGUGCCCGUGCGUGGGCACGAACACGAAACGAAACGAAACGAUGUGGGGGAAAGCAUGCGGGGUGGAAAAGCGCAGGACAGCUUGGCAACGGGAAAGCGGGCUUGUCCUGCACCCGGCCGCGCCAUGUGCGCCGUGACGCCCCGCAGCUCGCCCCGUCCGCGGCGCGAUCACUCGUCGAGACGACGACUCGGUCUAGCGACGAUGCUUGCGCGACUUGCGAGGGAGACGCCCACGCAUCGCUGGCUGGUGGCUGCUAGUGCGCCGGAGCUCAUGUGGGGCGGCAAGUGGUCAGACAAUUAUGGAGGUCCAGAUUGUUCGCACCCUCGAUCGGGGGCGGGCACGUUUGUCCGUCCGAGCCCGUCGUCGUCGUCGUCGGGAGAGGAAGAGGGGUCGACGGCCCACAUCAGAAAUGCUGGAGAGAAGCGCUCGCGCCGGAGCUCGAUCGGUCUGUUCAGAUUUACAGCAUCCUGUAUACUCCUUUGGUCGAUCAUCGUCACAUGAUAGUAGAGCCGCUAUUCAGAGAUCUCACUGUUCCUUUCCUCGCGCUCGCCACAUCAUGCUCUGUGGCAGUUUCGUUCUCCUUUCAAGCAUGUGGACUGUGGCAAUGGCUGGCGGCUUGGCAAGUUGGCAUCAUCCUUCCUUCCACUCACAGUGACGCCAAUAAAAUCGUGGAUAAAAUAAACUCAGGGCUAUGCAUCAUUGCACGGCAUGUGGGAGUGUCACGUUUGAUUACCCAUGAUCUCUCUAUCGUCGUAAGAACAAGCACCGGCAGCUUAGUGCUCCCUGCUCCGGAUGUAAGUACGUGGCACGGGGAUUCUGGUUACAGCUCCCACAUCAUCAGCUGUCAGCGUGACUGUCUCCCAUGUGGAUCUUCAGCAGUUCAUGAUUUCAUUCAUCUCACCGGAGGCAUUUCCUGUUGCCGUGUGAUUGAAGAAUUCACACCCUUGCGCAGCGGCGCGCCAGAAACCGGGUCCGCGAGAGCAAAAUGACGAGCACGCUCCGCCACUCGACGUCACGGCGGCGUCAUCCUGGGACCAGCCUGGUGGAUGAUUGGAGCUUGGAUUAUUACUGUACUACCGCGCCUGCCACCGGAUCCGUCGCAGUGCAGCGACAACCAUGAGAGGUCAAGACUCAAGACUGCAGUGUGCUCAUGUGAACCAAAAGCUCUUCUUUUUGGCGCCGUGGACACCACGUACAGCAACGCUGCAGUGAGUUCUGCCUCUCACUCAUGACCUGCUUGGACUAUGUAGACCAUUACCUCGGCGCUACCUGGGCCUGGUUUAGUUCAUCCUGAAAUUCAAAAAAUUUUCAAGAUUCCCUGUCACAUCGAAUCUUGCGGCACAUGCAUGAAGCAUUAAAUAUAGACAAAAACAAAAACCAAUCACACAGUUUGACUGUAAAUCACGAGACGAAUCUUUUGACUCUAGUUAGUCUAUGAUUGGACAAUAUUUACCACAAACAAACGAAAGUGCUACUUUCAGUUUUCGGAACUAAACAAGGCCCUGGGAAAUGAGAUCACGAAGGCCUUGUUUAGGCCUUGUUUAGUUCGAAAAAUUUUCAAGAUUCCCCGUCACAUCGAAUCUUUGGUCGCAUGUAUGAAGCAUUAAAUAUACAUAAAAAUAAAAACUAAUUGUACAGUUUACCUGUAAUUUGUGAGAUGAAUCUUUUGAGCCUAGUUACUCCAUAAUUGGAUAAUGUUUGUCAAAUAAAACGAAAGUGCUACAGUAGCCAAAAAACAAAGUUUUUGCCAACUAAACAAGGCCUGUUGACCCUGAAAACCAAAAAGUUUUCAAGAUUCCCCGUCACAUCGAAUCUUGUGGCAUAUGCAUGAAACAUUAAAUAUAGACGAAAACAAAAACUAAUUACACAGUUUAGCUGUAAAUCACAAGACGAAUCUUUUGAUCCUAGUUAGUCCAUAAUUGGAUAAUAUUUGUCACAAACAAACGAAAGUGCUACAGUACCGAAAACUUUUCACUUUUGGGAACUAAACAAGGCCUAGCCGUAGAGUCAGCAUAUUGAGGUCUUGUUUAGUUCACCCUGGAAAACCAAAAAGUUUUCAAGAUUCCCCGUCGCAUCGAAUCUUAUAUCACAUGCAUGAAUAUUAAAUAUAGAAGAAAACAAAAACUAAUUACACAAUUUAGCUGUAAAUCACGAUACGAAUCUUUUGAUCCUAGUUAGCCUAUAAUUAGAUAAUAUUUGUCACAAACAAACGAAAGUGCUACCGUGCCGAAAACUUUUCACUUUUUGGAACAUUAGGCCGUGUUUAGUUGGUGGACGAAAAGAUUUCACGACACUGUAGCAUUUUCGUUUGUUUGUGGUAAUUAUUGUCCAAUCAUGGCCUAACUAGGCUUAAAAGAUUCAUCUAGUAAAUUUCGACCAAACUGUGCAAUUAGUUUUUAUUUUUGUCUAUAUUUAAUACUUCAUGCAUGUGUCUAAAGAUUCGAUGUGACAGGGAAUCUUGAAAAUUUUUGAGAUUUUAGGUGGAAGUAAACAAGGCCUCAGACAAAAAAGACGGAAAAAAAAGAUGUAUCACAAUGCUGAGACGUGAGACCCCAUACGUAAAACACUGAUGGUUCAUGCUUCUAACGCCUAGGUUCAGAGGAUGGGAAAUUUGAUGGCAGCAGAUAUAUAUACACGGGAUCCCGUCAGUAAAAUUAACGUGUACUCAGUCAGGGCUCGAUGUCAGGCAGAGGUGAAAUACCGUGUUUCACUAGCUUGUUCGCCGUCAGGCUAGAACGACAUAUACCUACUACUACUACUACUACUACACUAGAUCUGACACUGUUGCACACAUGGAUGCGUCUACCAAACCCAUGUGGACAUGCCCGUGGGUGAUGGAUGUGGCAGCAUCAUGCAGCAUGCACGCAGGCUGCACCUCCUCCUCAUCUGGCUCCAUGUGCAGCUGGGCAAUACAUGACACAGAAGAAGAAUAGACGAUAUCUGGGCAGAGAGAGAGAGAAGAAAUCAAUCUCAAGUUCUCAACCUACAAUGGGAACAUAUGUGGAGAUCAUCUGCAAUAUGCAUUGCAGAUGAGUUUGACAUAGUGACAUACUACCAAAGAGAACAGAAGGGGUUCCUCGGAUAUGCACGCAAGUCUGCUAGAGCAAGGAGUGUAAACACGCGAGCAAAGAGUUACCAAGCGGAACAAUAUGUAAAAGCGCACUGGGUUUAUGCACGUAAGAAUGCCAAUUUCACAUGUAUAGCCCGUUCGUUUGACCUUAUUUACCAAAUCUGCCAACCAUUAAACAAUGUUUCUCUCUCACAAUAAAUUAGCGGAUAAUACUUUCACUUAUAGCUUUUUAGCCAAACGAUCAGGCAGUUAAGAACAUAACUGCUGGAAUGAGGUCCGUAAGACGAAAGAAUGACACUUCUUUGCGCAGAAAACUGAACACUGAAUACUCGAGACAUGCAUUGCAAAACUGCUGUCCAGAGGGAACAUUACAUGCGGAUAUGCACAGGCCUACUAUACAAGCUAACUAUUAUUUUACAAAAAAAAAAACAGCAGCUAGAAGAUCCGCGUAUGUACAGUUGCAGGUUUUGCUUCACUGCUUGCCAGGUACUUGGUACACAAGGAAACUGCUGGUUACUGGUUAGAGCUAUGUAACGGAACUUUCAGCGUCAAUGUACAACUCCACUAGACUCUUCCUUGGUUUUUAUGUUUUCCGAAGGCCCCCAAUCAACUCUUGUUAUUGAUUGUUCAAUCUCCAUAUUUUGUUCGGCUUACAUUGUUUUGUUUCUUGCCAUUUGAGCUGGAUUUGCGCUGAGUUAGCUUGUUAAUUGCUCAGUAACCUGCCAACUGCACUGUUAUCUUGUCUUGGCUUUCCUUCUCUGCAGAAAAACGUACCAGUGGACACUUUCAGAGGAGUGAAAGGAAAGAAAAAGAGAAGGCAACAAAAAAAAUUGAGGGGCAACCCAUGUGUAUAAAUUAAUGUAGAAUGCAGAUGUUAGGAUAACAAACAUCGAAGUAAAUUCCAAGUUCAGAGUAGGAAACUGACUUUAUCACAUAGUUCUCAGUACAUGUCCUCUUCCUAAUAUCAUAUUGUGAUUCAGGAGCAAUUCAAAUUAACUUGAUCCCAGGAAAACAUAAAGUACACUAUAAAAUUCUUUCAAAUUUGCUUCUUCAAAAUGGCAGUAUAGGUUUAAUUACCGAGUAUCUUAGGCUAACAUAACAAAUAUGAACACAAGAGAAAACUUAUUCUUCUAUAAUUUCAUAAGAAUUCUUGAGUUAACACAAGGGCAACAGUCUGCUUAAGUAUUGAAUGCACAAGUACUUACAUGAUGAUUCUGGCUGCUAUACUUCCGAGUCCCAUCACGGUAAGCGGUAUACCGUGCACCAGGUGAGGCAUGAGAUAUGCGCCGGAGAAACACUUGAAUGUGAUUGUAAAUGCUGCAGGAAGCAGUAGUAGUUAACACCUAGCACACUUGAAGUUAUAAUGCAACCUAACUUUGGGAAGAAGACGACAAAAUUCGUUUUGGGCAGUUUGAUGGGGGUUGGAGGGGAUUGAGGGGGUUGACGGGGAUUUUGACUUGUAGAGGAUAAAAUCCCCCUCAAUCCCUUUCAAUCCCCUUGGAUUGGGGAUUAACUAAACAAGCCCUAUUCUGUGUAAGAGAUGCUGAAAAGGUCACUUAAACAGUCAGGGGGAAAUAAAAGCCAUUUUGAAGGAUAAUUUUUGAACUCAACAGUAAACCAAGGUAUCAUUUUGAUUUUUUAUUUAAUGUUCUUCAGAUCUUACAACUGUAGCAUUGCAUAGCAUAGGUGUCUGAAGAAAAAAACAUACCUGAGCCGGUGCCUAUUACAUGUUGAAAAGAAGGCAAUAAAACCAUACAAAAUGCUCCGUAGUGCUCGGAAAAUCUGAAAGAAAAAAAAUUCAAAGUAAGUUUCAUCGAUAGUUCGAUGUAUGCUUCGGCAGUGCCAACGAACUUCUGAUACCUGAUACAGAAGAUCUUUCCAGAGUGAGCCCCAGAUGCUAUUAUCAGAUGUAAGCAAAGGUGAGCUGGGAACAGAUCCAACUUGAUAUAAGGCAGUUAGUGUUGACCAGCUCUCCCUUAGAACACUGACAAUAUCAACAAAAAGGUCCACAGCAAAACUUGAUAGCCCAAUGACUAGUCGGAAAGGUGCAGCUAGUAUCUCUCCAAGUAGCCAAAUGAUUGGGUACAGAAUUGAAUUUACUGGUGACAGAAACAAAAUUAGCAUGGCAUAAGAAUUAAAACAUGGAAAGAAAACGAAAUAGAUGAUGUAAGAGGUUAUAGCAACCAUACCAACGCUAAUCAUAGUACUGAAGACAAACCAAAAUGGCCAGAUAAUCAUCUCCACUGUACCGAUAACUACACUCCAAGACGUCUCCAGUGCUACCAUGACAACUGAACUCAGAUGUCCUGCUGUCUCAGCACAAAGGUUCCACAUUGGCAUGGUAAGUUCCAAAACCUCCACAAUUGGUCCCGCAAUUGGCUUUGUCAAAACACUAAGAACAGACUUAGCAGCACCCACAAUCUUAAGAGACCAUGUAAAAGCCUGCUGAAAGUUAUGCAGGAAAAGCAUAGUUCCAAGAUACUUAAGUCUUGAUAUCAUUUCCCACGUUUCUAUCCAAUCAAAGAAAGGGCCAAAUAAUCUUGAGGCAGUUGCCUUCAACAUGGGCACAUUCUUGUAGAGGUCAUAAAAUCCUAUAAGAACAGUGAUUAAUGACAUCAAGACAUACAAUGCUCUGGCAAGAGGGCACAUCCAUGGGCGAUAUAUCUUGCAAAACACUGGAUAUGACUGAAGAAAUAUAACCCAUGAAGGAAGGCCAUAUUCAAGUAGUGUUAACAGUCUGACAUCAGAUAGUAUGACUUCUUUCAGUCUGAAUGGAAGGUCAUGAUCAUCAAAGCGGAAGCAGAUCAGUACAUCCUUAUAUGUGCUAGGCUCCAAUAGCGGCUUAACAUUCUCAUUAUCACUGUCACACGAUGAACAUGAAGAUGACAAAUGUGUUGGCGAGGCCACAAUUUCUGUGUAUGAUUCUUCAGUCGAACUACUUCCAUCAUCUGAUUUUGUUAUUUUUCUUCUCUUGUAAGGUCCAGAGGAAGGAGGUGCAGUGUAAGAUGAGUCUGUGAAACCUGAUGACUCUCUAAUGAUUUGAACAUGGCUAGAAUCAUCACUGUCACUUGGUAAAUUCUCACUGUCCCAUUCAGGUGUUAAGAAAUCAUUCUGAGCAUCAUAAAAUAUACCACCUGUACAGCAAGCGUAUAAGUGCUCUGUACUACCAGUAAUGAAGAGAAAAGGGAAAGGGUUACUAUCAGUGAUUUUACCAUUAGAAGAGAUGCUGUUCAAAUAGUCCUGUAGUAGCUGACAUUCAGAGGGAUUUCCUGAGAACCAAGAAGUGAUCAAUGUUGAAGCUUGAUUAACACUAUCAAAUUCCCAUCUCUUCAUUAUUUUAGACUCCACAACCAUUGAUGUAUCCGUCUACAAUGAUACUAAAAGAAAUAAGUUUGUCGCUUUGUUCCAUGAAUUAAAAGUCAUCAAUAUGAUCCCUAACAGUAAGACUAUCAACAUUAAUAGACUGUACCUGAAGUUCAUUCAAAUAAUUGAUGCCACGCACAUCAGCCCAAUCUACCUCAAAAAUGAUAAAACCAUAUAAAGUCUGAUGAAGCUCCCUGUUCAGUAUGCGGGCAUCCUUCAACUUAUUUACUUGAAGCUUCUUUUCCCGCAUAGCCUCAUCGAUCAAGGAAUACCACCUGGAAGAUUUAUUCUGUAAAUGGGCAGCAGAUACCGAGCUUGUUGAGAAUACAAGCUUCCCAUCAGUUUCAUCUCUCUUUCUCCUAGUCCUAGAGUUGGCGAAAGGGGAAAACCUUGACUGGAGAAAAAAAAAAGAAUCAGAUUGUUAGCAAUGCAGUGAAACUUAAGCAAGAAAGAGAUACUGCCAUAGGUGUGCAUAAAGCAGCGAGAACAACAGACCUUAGUAACCAUCAAUUGCCAUAGAUGAGCAGGUUUUGUAUCCUGAUCUAGCAACCAUGGGCGGUUGUCAAGCAAUAUAAGGAACUUCUUGGUAUGAGGGCACAGAAAUAUUGUCAGUUCUGCAAGAUACGACUGUAAAUCCCUGCAUUUAAAAUUAAAGAAAACUUUGUUUAGUUCCUUGUUCAUACUAGAUAGGAAUGAAAAUUUACUAUAAUUUACAAACAAUAUCAGUGUAUCAGAUCAAUGUAAAAAUCACGCCCCACCCUAAAAAGCAUAUUCCAUCUUACAUGAGCUAGGACAAAUAGUAACAGAUGACACAUACAUUGAGAUGUCAAGACCCACAAAACUAAAUAGACGCAACCACGGAACUGACAGUGCAAAAUGGUCACCAGCACAGCACUAGUUCUCGUUUGCAGAUACCAGCGCCGGGAAAAACAUAUUAGACAUUCAGCUGUGAACAUAUAUUGAAUUGCUUAUUUUUCAGCUUUUCUUUCAGUUGGUCUGUGGACGCUCAAGUUCAAAUAUGAGUGGAAAACUGAAAACACAGUACUUCAUAAACCAAUAUAUGCACACACGCAACAGAAGCCUGAGCAGUUUUUGCUGGGACCACUGGACAAAUUUUACUACUACUCUACCAGCAGUCGAACACAGUUCAAAGUUGGGGUUUCGCUAUGAAUGGCAAAAAAAUAUAUAAGCCUCGAGUGCACGGCACUGACCACCUGUCGCUUCAACUAGCAAUAUUUCCAACAGUGGGUUUCCUUUCCAUAUGGCGAGUGGCGACCACGCAAGUGUACCUCCCGAAACAUCUAUAGAUGCGAAUAAAACUACCCAUUUCCCGUUUUGUGGCAAUUCCUGUCCGUUUUCCAAAAACAGUAUGUUAGAAUUAUCUUCUGCAGGCGGCACAAGCAAGCAAGUCACUUUUUUCAGGUAAUCGGGUUAAUGCCAGUUUCCCCGCAAGAACUAAUGGUAAAUUGUACUCAAGAAAAAGGGAAAAAAACAAUCUGAAUUGUGCACAUAUAUGCCUCAUCCGGAUAGAAACAACAAAUCAACAUUAAAACCAGACCACAUUGCAAUCUUAACGACCUUAUAAACAGUAAAACAACGAAAUUCGCAACAGGGAGGAAAAAAGAACGCCAAAAGGCAUUCCGCUCCAUUAUUCCAAUGAGCAACAACAGCACGCCGGCAACCGGCGGCCAGCGGUCUUAUUGCGGGCAAACGAGCAACAAUCGCACGACGAAUUCCGAGCACAUUAGAGAAAAUCCCCGCGAAAGACGUACCCGAUUUGCAAGCUGGUGAGCGGGAAGAAAUGCCUCUUCUCGCCGGCCCGCUCCAUCUCGCCGCCCAGCUUCCUCCUUCACCGCUGGGGAACGCGAGGUUCUUGCAUCAAGCGGCAGAUCAGACGCCGGAGACCCCAAAUCCGCAAGCGAGUAUAGCGGAAUCGGAGAGGCUUCCUCCUCAAGUACCUUCCUCGAGGUCAGCUAUGUCCUCCCAUGGCGUCGUGCUUAUCCGCAUGCCAAGGUGGCCAGGUACCAGAGCCCGGAGUUAAUGCCCGCGCGCGGGCGGUAAAGACACCGCCCCUCCCGCCUCCCGUUUCCCCACGCGGUAGCAGAUCGUCAAUGGCUUCCUACUUCCAACACGCCGCCGCACGCCGCCACCGCCGCCGCGCGGCUGCCACGCGGUCUGGAGCUCCGCCCGCGGCAGCGAGGAGGGCGGUGACCAGAUCGCGGCGAGGCGAGGCGAGGCGCGGCGCGGCGCCCCCCGCGGGAGAAGGCAGGCAGGCAGCCAACCAACCAGCGGCGGGCGCGGGGGUCCGGGCCGUGGCAGCCUACCCUUUUGCUUUGGGUAAACUUCUUCUGUUCUGCGUGCGCCCGAGACAGUUCGGAUAUUUAGCAGCUGAUGACAUGUGGGGGCGAUGCUUCCGCGGACCCCACGCGUCAGGCAUCCCCCGGCACUUUGUUUAACGCGGGCGGGCGCGUUCGGCGCGGGGCGAUAGCUGACAGGCACAAAUGUCGACGCACCGGCACCGCGUUACUGCUGGUGGGGCCCGGCCGGCGGUUUGUGUGCUUGCCCCACAAGGCAGCGUGAUGCGCCUCCGCGGCUGUCGUCAUCUCGUUUUAGCACUUCUGCUUGCCGCGCGUCCAAGCAAAGGGAGCUGCCGGUUUCUCCCUGACGCGUGGGUUCUGGGCCCCGUGGGACCACGCGGCAGUGGAAGGGGGGCUAGAGCUGUGAUGCGAGACUUGCGUGUUCAGGCUAGCGGGAUCGUCUGCGUAGUUGUGCUGGAGUCCUUGGUGUGCAGGUUCUCAGGUUUCUGACGUGCGCCGAGGGAUGGGCACGGUCCUCCGAGAUGGCGUUUUGGCGCGAGCCCGUGAGGUGUGCGGUGUUCGGAUAGAUGCACGGAAGCGCGGAAUACCACGGGGGCACGCAAGCAAACGAACGGCGUGCGCGUGACGCCUCGUGGCUCGAGCCGAGCGACGGGAAACGCAAUUGUUGCUUUGCAGGCAAAAUUAAUUAUUGGCAGGCAAUCUAGGCCUUGUUUAGUUGGCAAAAAUUUUUAAGAUUUCCCGUCAUAUUAAAUCUUUGGUCGCAUGUAUAGAACAUUAAAUAUAGACGAAAAUAAAAACUAAUUGCAAGUUUAUCUGUAAUUUGUGAGAUAAAUCUUUUGAGCCUAGUUACUCUAUGAUUGGACAAUGUUUGUCAAAUAAAAACGAAAGUGCUACAGUAGCCAAAACCUAAAAAUUUUGCAAACUAAACAAGGUUCUACUACGGAGGGAGUAGAAUUGAUCAGAAGCUGUAGUAGUCAAUGAUCGUGGGCCUAGGCCUUGUUUAGUCAAAAAAAUAUUUGAAAAUUUUGUUAGAUUUCCAUCAUAUCAAAUAUCAAAUGUUGUAGCUCAUGCAUAAAAUAUGAAAUAUAAAUAAAAGAAAUAAUUAAUGAAGUCUGAAAUAGAGGCUUUGUUUAGUUUAAAAUAUUAGGAUUGUCUGUUAUAUCGAAUCUUUGCAUGUAUAUAGAAAGCAUUAAAUAUAAAUGAAAAUAAAAACUAAUUAUACAGUUUACUUGUAUUUUGUGAGACAAAACUUCUAAACGUAGUUAAUCCAUAAUUAAACAAUAAUUAUCAGAUACAAACGAAAGUGCUAUAGAACCUCAAAAAUUUCGCGAACUAAAACAAGGCCAGAGUCCUAGGCCUUGUUAGUUCAUCCCAUAAUUCAAAAAAAUUUUCAAGAUUUUCCGCCACAUCAAAUCUUGUGGCACAUAUAUGGAGCAGUAAAUAUAGACGAAAACAAAGACUAAUUACACAGUUGAUCUGUAAUUUACAAGACGAAUCUUAGCCUAGUUAGUCUAUAAUUAGAUAAUAAUUAUCAAAUACAAACGAAAAUGCUACAGUGUCAAAGUCUAAAAAAUUUUAUAACUAAAUAAGGCCCUAGUAGUAGAUUUUUGCAACUUCUUGAUGGCAAAGGCCAAUCAAAGUAUCAAACAACAAUGUUUGACAAAAAAAUUGUAGAAAUAUAUAUAGAAGUAUGAAAAUGUUAAACCUACUUUUGGAUAGCCAAUCCAACGAUACUUUUAUUGCUUUAGGCCUUGUUUAGUUCUAUUUUUUUUUAUUUUCGGGACUGUAGCACUUUUGUUUUUAUUUGACAAACAUUGUCUAAUCAUGAAGUAACUAGGCUUAAAAGAUUCAUCUCGCGAUUUACAGGUAAACUGUGCAAUUAGUUUUUAUUUUCAUCUAUAUUUAGUGCUUCAUGCAUGUGCCGCAGGAUUCGAUGUGACGGAGAAUAAGGCAUUAUUUACUUAAUUAACUUUUUUAUGACAACAUUUUUGUUUACUUAGUUAAACACAAACAUUUUUAAAAAUAUAUAGAUAUAAAUAUAUUAGUGAAAGUGAGAAUAAUAUAACUUUAAAUUGUUAAUUGUAUAUAGUGAAUUCUUUGUAUCUAGAAAACCUAAACGAUUUACAAUUAGAACUGAUGGAGUAGUUAAAUUAAAAGACGGAUGAAGUAGAACUAGUUCAUUCCAGCAUGUAGUUGAACAUUCUUAAAAGAAGAAAGAGAAGAAGAGCAACAUGAUUGAAGUAUCCGUGGUGGCACAUAGGAUAAUUGAGCCAUCUACUUGUCUUAAUCAUGCCAGCAAAAAAAAAAAGGAUCAAGUGGCUUAUCAAGGUCCGCACUGACAUGUUAGUGCUGUUUUGGUCUCUGCUACGAAAAGGAGGAACUGAUUGAGCCCCUCUGCAUUCUCCACAUGGCGGAUCCUGGGUCAAGGCCUUGUUUAGUUUCAAAAAAUUUUGCAAAAUUGACACUGUAGCACUUUCGUUUGUAUUUGACAAAAAUUGUCCAAUCAUGGACUAACUAGGCUCAAAAGAUUCGUCUCGUCAAUUUCGACCAAAAUGUGCAAUUAGUUUUUAUUUUUAUCUAUAUUUAAUACUUCAUGCAUGAGUCUAAAGAUUCGAUGUGACGGGGAAUCUGAAAAAUUUUGCAAAAUUUUUUGGGAACUAAACAAGGCCCAAAUCCAAAAGCAUAUCCGGCAAUACCACGCGGAUAUGCCGACACGGCCAGAUCGGGCUGAAAGCGAAGAACAAAGGCCUUGCUGGACCGAUGGGCCAUCGGCCACAUCAUUACUAGCCGGAAGUCGUCGUUACUGUACUACUCCUAGUCAACAACGACUCGCGUCCGAGUCCAAUCCGUUUCCUGCCACGGGCAAGGCGGGCCCAAAGAAAUCACACUACUAGCCCAUUACCGGAGAAAACACAGCCCAUUACUGUACGACUACUUGCAACUUAGAAGUCGGUCCGACGGUUUUCCUGGCUUACAGCCCUUAAAUACCCACUCUCCAGCAAUACUAGCGCCCCUCCGGCACCGCCUCUGCGCACCCAACUUCGCCGAGGCAGCAACUGCAACACAAGCUCUCGAGGAGGAGUCGAGGGUUCUCUCACCGCGCCCAAGCUAAGCCGCCGAGUUUGUCGACCAGCAAGGAGCGCCCGAAACCCUAGUACCGCCGCCGCGGCCGCUGCUAAAAUGCCUCGCCGCAGCCGCGAGGAGGAGGAGGAGGUCGACGACAUGGAAGAGGAAGAGGAGGAGGAGGAGGAAGAGAGGGGCGGGAAGAGAUCGCGAGCCGGGGGCCGCGGGAAGCGGUCGGGCGGAGUAGAGAGCUUCAUCGACGACGCCGCCAGCGAGGACGAGGACGCGGAUGAGGAGGAGGAGGACGACGACGACGAUGAUGAUUACGGGGGCGGCGGCCGUGGGCGUGCCUCUAAGAGGAGGCGGUCGUCGAUCCUGAUCGACGACAUGGCCCAGGUCGACGACGACGACGACAUCGACGACGAUAGUUCGGAUGUCGAGCCCGGUGAGUCGCUGAUUGCCCUAUCGAUCGGGUUCCAGUUCCAACUUCCGACCUUGUGUGUAGAAUCGCUCGGUUGAUCUUACCAUAUCCUAAUCCCUAAUCCGCUGAAUUCACCGUGAAAUUACCCGAUUGUGCACCGUUUGCUUUCAUUUUAUGCCGUGCAUUGGCCAUGGCUGACAAAUGCAUUGUUAGAUGUUAGUUUCUUCUCUGGACUAACAAUGUGGACAUAAGGACAUUGAUUCCAUUUGGGAGCUGUCAGGAAACAAAUGCAGAUUCGUUUACUUGUCGGUUUAUUAUGUUUGAUUUGAUUCUGUGUUUUUAUAAGGCCCGCCAGCUAGGUUUUUAACGAGGUUGUGUUGGUUUAGUCGCAUUAGGUACGUAGUGAUGGUUUCUGCAGAGCUUUUGCAACCCUCAAAGUUUAGAACCGAACUUCAUUUAUUUCGGGGAUUUCAUAUUGAUUUGGAUAUCUUCUCGAAGGAAGCACCUAGUUCCUGCUCCAUAAAUCUUAUCAAUUGUCAACAUUAUGUUUACACCUACCCCUGAAAUACUCGAGGGCUUGUACACCCAGUUAACAGUAUACCAGUGUGGAGAGAAUCGUUUUCCAAGAAAAUAUAGGAUUUCUACAUUAGUUGUAUCUGUUAAUUAUGUUGUUUCUUUUGUCAUUCUUCUGUUUCUAAUGGAUACCGCUCAGUGCCUUAAUUGGACAAUGUGAAUGUUACACUUAAUUGAUUGCUAAAUUGCAAUGACAUUCCUUUGGUGAACCCGGAUGCAGUUUACCAUGACUACUUUUGUGUUGAGUCGCCGUUAGAGAGAAGCACAGGCAAGGAAGCAUCUGUGUCACUGCCAUGACUUGUGCACCAUUUUCCUUUUAUCAGGCUUUAUAGACGAUACUGAUGCUGGGGUUGAAAUUCGUCACAAUGAUGCGGCAAGAAGGUCUAUUCCUCAUUCUAGCUCUAUGUUGGAAGAUGAUGAGGAUAUGCAAGAGAUUGUGAGGCGACUACAAAAUAGAUAUAAAGAAGCAUCCCAUUUUGAUUAUGACGAGGAAGUUACCGAGGUUGAACAGCAGGCUCUCUUACCAUCAGUGAAGGAUCCAAAGCUUUGGAUGGUGAAAUGUGUGGUAGGUUAGCUGCAAGUUCUAGAAGAAUAAGAUCUGCUCUAUCAUUUAUUCUUUGUACAUUUGAACAUCACUAAUAUCUUAUUAUGACUUCAGAUCGGACAUGAGCGGGAAACAGCAGUUUGUCUAAUGCAAAAGUUCAUUGAUAGGUCAGAUCUCCAGAUAAAAUCUGUUGUUGCACUAGAACACCUAAAGAAUUUCAUUUACAUUGAAGCAGAGAAAGAAGCCCAUGUCAAAGAGGUCAGUGGUGCUUCACUUGACAUUUUUAUUCAUUUUGGUACAGUGUUUUAAGUGAACUUAAUUUCAGGCUUGCAAAGGCUUGCGGAACAUUAUUGCUUCAACAAAACCAACUUUAGUUCCUAUAAGAGAAAUGGCUGAUGUCCUCUCUAUUGAGAGCAAGUCUGUUGACCUUUCAAGGGACUCGUGGGUUCGGAUGAAGCUUGGUAUGUAUAAAGGUGAUCUUGCUAAGGUAUAAAGGGUGAUCUUUGCUGCCUCCAGUCCCUUAGAAUACACGCAAGAGCCAUGUAUAAAGUUUUAAGAAGAAACUCAUGUUUUAAGGGGUUUACAAUUGAAGGAUCUACUUCCUGUCCUAACAGGCUUUCUCUGUAUUUUGUUUUGACUACCUUUAGGUUGUUGAUGUUGACAAUGUGGGCCGAAAGGUUACUGUUAAGCUCGUUCCUAGAAUUGAUUUACAAGUGCUGGCAAAUAAACUGGUAAGUUUAUUCUUAUACUAGCAAAAUAUCUGAGUCUAUUGUUCAGCAAAACUUAUGUAAAGAUGUACGGUAUUGCAUCUUCUGUGAACUGGGUAACUUUUUAUAGGUUUUACAUGAUUAUUAUGUUAUUUUAACACACGAUCUCAGGGUUUCCUUUCUCGUGAGAUUCUGAUUAGUUUUCUUGCAAUGAUAUUCAAAAUGUUACUGAGGCCUACAUAUCUAGAGGAUUUUCUAUAUCCCAUCUUAUGGGAAAAAAAGUCAUGCCUUUUCUUUGUCAUGCUCCUUCUUGUACUUGCUCAUCAAAUCGCUUUGCUUGAUGAAUGAAUAUUCUGGUCUUUUCAGGAUGGGCAAGAGGUCCCGAAGAAGUCAUUCAUUCCACCACCUAGGUUCUUUAGUGUCGAUGAGGCGAGGUGCUUUUCAUCCCUCUUAUUAUCAUUGUAAUAGUGUUUUGUAUUUGUAUUUAUUGGCUUUUGCUGUUAUUUGCUAACUCGAAUGAAACAGGGAGUUGCACAUCCGUGUUGGCAGAAGGAGGAAUAGAGAUUCUGGGGAAUACUUUGAUGUUGUUGGUGGUUUGCUGUUCAAAGAUGGUUUCUUGCACAAAACAUUCUCUAUAAAAUCGAUCAGCACGCAUGAUAUUAAGCCAUCAUUUGAUGAAUUAGAGAAAUUCAAAAAACCUGGUGAUGACCUCAAUGAGGAUGUGGCUAGCUUGUCCACUCUGUUUACAAACAGAAAAAAGGGCCACUUCAUGAAAGGUGAUGCUGUAAUUGUUAUUAAGGGUGACCUCAAGAACUUAAAAGGCUCUGUUGAGAAGGUGGAGGAUAGUACCGUGCACAUUCAACCAAAACUAGCUGGGCUUCCGGUAGUUACUCGCAGACUGAGUUACUAUUUUAAGGAUGAUUUUGUUACAGUACUUGAUCAAUAUUUACGUAUGAUACUUUCCUUCAUAAUCACAGAGAACACUUGCCUUCAGUGAGACGGAUCUCUGUAAAUAUUUCAAUCCUGGAGACCAUGUAAAAGUCAUAUCUGGAGUUCAAGAGGGUGCGACAGGCAUGGUUGUUAAAGUGGAAGGUCAUGUUUUGAUCAUUUUAUCAGACACUACCAAAGAACAUGUGAGAGAUUUUGCUUUUCUGAUGUGUUAAUAGCUGCUUAGCGAACACCGUUUUUGGGGGUAUGCUUUGACCUUUUACUGUCUCUGUUAUUAUAGAUCCGUGUGUUUGCAGACCAUGUUGUGGAGAGUUCUGAGGUCACCACAGGGGUUACCAGGCUUGGUGAUUAUGAAUUGCAUGACCUUGUUCUUCUUAAGUAAGUUGUUUUCUUUAGUGAACCGUUAUUGCUCCAGUUUUGUAUUAGCGAAUUAUAUCUUUUGGUAGAUAUGAUUGCUUUCCUUAACUAUAUAUAUCUAUGGUUAGCUAGGAACUUUAGUGACUAUAUAUCUAUAUCUGGAUAUUGUUUCUUACAUGAGGUUCUAUGGCAUUCUUGCUAGGAUCAGUUAAGGAAAGCAAUUAUAUCUACUGAAAAUCAAUCCGGUAACAAUUUAUUCUGAAUGGAUAUGAACUAACUCAUUCCUCUCAACUUUUCAGCAAUUCAUCUUUUGGGAUUAUCAUACGGGUGGAGAGUGAAGCAUUUCAGGCAAGCAGAUUGUAUCUAUCUUGUUUCAUGGAUUUGAUGAUUUAUGUACUAAUAUAUUGACCUUAAUAUAUAACUAGGUUCUGAAAGGUGUGCCUGAUAAACCUGAAUUGGUCCUUGUAAAACUGAGAGAAAUAAAAUGUAAGAUUGAUCGACGCACAUCGGCAAAAGAUCGGUACAAUAACAUUGUGUCAACUAAGGAUGUUGUGAGGAUUGCUGAAGGAGCAUGUAAGGUGUGUCUAACGUCACAUGAUCUUGUACUUUUCAGUUUGUAUCAGAAGAUAUGAUUGUUUUGAGUAUAUUUUAUAUAUCUAUUCUUUUUUCUUGACAGGGAAAGCAAGGUCCUGUGGAACAUAUACACAGAGGCAUACUUUUUAUCUAUGAUCGCCACUACCUUGAGCAUUCAGGAUUUAUCUGUGCAAAAGCACAAUCAUGUUUCCUUGUUGGGGGGUCAACUGGCAGCCACUGUGGGAAUGUAUGUGCUAAUAUAUACUCAAGAGUUGGUCAAUCCUUAAAAACUGCAAACAUCAAUAACUAUUGCAUUAUUUAGUUUGAAAACAUGUAGUAUAUGUGUCUAUUCAAAAUACUUGCAAAAUAUCUUAUAUUUGAAGGAUUUUAAGAAUAUAUUCUUGAAGAAAUUAAUGGUCAAAGAUACACAUCGUAAAAUCGUGCAAAUGUUAAAUAUGUCAAGUAUUUAUGAUGGGCAGGAGUAUUGAUGUACUUUAGAGUUUAGAAUACCGUGCCUGACCAUACCUUUUUGUUAUCUUACGCAGUCCAUGGAUAAAGCAGAUCCACAGUUUCGCGCUUUUGGCUCUCAAGCAAGGAUUUUGCAGUCUCCAGGGAGGCUGCCCCCAAAAGGACCUCACAUGAAUUGUACGAACCUUUUUAAGUUGAAAAAACAUCUGCUGUUAUGGGCUCCAGUAGCCUAUUUAUUUGUCCGUAGCAAAUCGAGUUAGUUCCCUUGUGUUAUACAAUAAUGCAUGCCUCCUAUGUUAUUCAGCUGGUGGAAGGUUUGGAGGUAGAGGCAGUGGUGGUAGAGGGCACGAUACCCUGGUGAACAGAUGUAUCAAAAUUAGAUCUGGGCCAUAUAAGGGAUAUCGAGGCCGUGUUAAAGAAGUAACUGGUGUGCUUGUGCGUGUAGAGCUUGACUCGCUGAUGAAAAUUGUCACAGGUAAGUCUGUUUCAAGUGUACUUGUUUCUCUUAUGUUUAGUUCUAAUAUUUAUUAUGCAAAUAUAUAGUUAAGAGGGAGGAUAUCGGCGACACAGCUGCUGUUGCAACACCAUUUCGGUAACUUUUCAUUUUUGCUCAUCAUCCAUAUUUCUAUAAUUCUAUAUAUGGUUGACUUGUUUAGUUUCAUUUGCUGAUGAGUUGUAUAAGCAGUGAAACUUGUUAUUCAAGGGGUGUUGAAACACCUGUGCAUCCAUCUCGAACGCCACUACAUCCUAUUCAGACUCCGAUGCGGGAUCCUGGAGGUGUGUAUUACAUGCUUUGUUACACUCUAAGAGUAGAUUACUUAAAGUUUACUUAGUAAACAUUUGGCAUUUUGGGAAUGAACAUGAUGGUCCACAGGAUUUGCUUCGACUGUUAAUUUCAUCUUCUCUUAGCAUUUACCAUAUUUGCAAGAGUCACCUUUCCUGGGCUUCCACAUGUAUUGUGUUCCCUAAAAAGUUAGGAAAGCUGGACGAUAUGAUCCCUAGUUUGAUAGGGAAGUACCGUAAUUCUGCUGCACCUACUUUGAUUACUUGAAGAGGAUUUGAGUAUUUGUGGUAUUCGAUCUCUAUGGAGGCAACCAAAAUUGCCUAGUACUUGAACUGAUAUCAACCAACGCAACCGGAUAAAAUGAUGUAUAUGUGUAGUUUCUGCCAUUUUGUUGGAUCAUGCAUUUCUUAAUUUACUUUUCUGGUAACCAUAUUAUAUUAUCUCUACAGCGACCCCAGUUCGAGAUGUAAUGAGAACUCCUAUGCCUAAUCGAGCCUGGGUGCCAUUGAGUCCUCACAGGUCUGUAUGUUCUUUUGCAGAAUACAAAUUAAUAAAAAUUUCCUAGAUGCACAUUGUCUUAUAAGCUGAUAGCUUGAUCUAUGAAUAAAUCAGCUUAAGAACAUCUCGUUUAAAUUUUGGCAAUAGCCUCUAUACUGUUGGUUGCUGACUGUUUCUGUUAUUGACAGGGACAACCGGGAAGAUGGAGAUUCCACUUGGGCAAGCAGUCCAGCCUACCAGGUCUAGUGAGGCCCUUUCUUGUAAUUAUCUUGGAGAUCAUUAAAGUUUUUGCUGGUGACUGAUUGUGUUUCUCCAUCUCUGUUUUUUUCGUUAAAAAAAAUCAGCCAGGAACUCCACGACCUCGACCAUACGAAGCUCCCACUCCUGGGUCAGGGUGGACAAGUUGGGGUGAUGCGUCAGUGAACACCCCAAGCACGAAUGUUCCCUCAACACCUAUUGGUCAACCAAUGACCCCGGAUCCUGCCUCCUAUUUGGUUGGUACUCCUGGUGGCCAGCCGAUGACUCCAGGCUAUGGUGGAAUGGAACUAAUGUCUCCCGUAAUAGGUUCGACCUUGCCCUUCUCUGUACUGUUGCAUUUGCAGUGAAAGACAUUCUACAGUCAGGAUCAUAUUGAGCUGAAUCAAGUCGUCAAUGGAUCAUCAAUCUGGAGGCACUUAAAUGAAUCCUUGUUGUACAAAUGCUUGCAGGUGGCGAGGCUGCGGGAAGCUGGCUGCUGCCAGAUGUUUUGGUGAACGUCUCCAGGGGAGGUGAUGAGGUCAGCAAUGCUGUGGUGAAGGAAGUGCUCCCGGUAUGUGGUUACAUCGGUUAUGAGCGCAUUGUUUCCCCAUUUUUCAUUUGCUUUGCAGUGCUAACGUCUCUGAGAAUCUGAAUUUGCAGGAUGGAUCAUGUCGUGUAUCCCUUGGGCCAUUGGGUGAGGGAGAUGAACUGAUCGUCACUGCAAACGAGCUAGAGGUGGUCAGGCCGAAGAAAAACGAGAAGCUCAAGAUAAUGAAUGGCCCCUUGCGCGGAGCCACAGGAAAACUCAUUGGACUUGAUGGGUCUGAUGGCAUCGUGAAGGUGGAAGGUAGCUUAGACGUGAAAAUAGUGGACAUGGCGAUUCUUGGCAAAUUGGCAGCUUGAAGAAUCUGCACAGUAGAGAUUAUUAGUUCACGAUCGAACUUAGCAUAGUUUAAUUGGUUGCUCAAACUGCCGUUAGCUAUUGGCGUCGUUAGUUUCUGUAUAUGUCGUCCGGUGCUAAGAAGUAAUUUGGAUGUUCAAAAGGUAACUUUCACCGUCGGGUGCUUCUGGAUUUGUUCCUGACUGACAUGAGAUAUGUCGCCGCGCUGUACAGUUCGUGUUUGCUGUGAUAUCGAUAAUAUCAUCCUGUUGUCUCUAUUGAGUUGUUACUCCCUCCAUACCCAAAAAUAAUCUGACGUUUAGAACAUGAUUGUGAUAAUUAAGGAGUGAUUAACUAGGGAUUAGUUCUCUUUCUUUGCCCCUAAUAAAUAGAGUUGUGGUUGCUCUCUAUAAAAAAAAAAGUUAACUAUCUCAACUAGCUAGUGCGUGACAACUUUCAAUGCUAUGACCCAGGUUCGAAUCUUGGCAACCUUACUUUUUCAUUUUGCAUGGGUGCUGCCAUGGGAGGAUGGGCUAGGGACCACGUGAGAGCAUGCAAGAUUGUAUUCGAAUCUUAGCAACCUUACUUUUUCAUUUUGCAUGGGUACUGCCAUGGGAGGAUGGGCUAGAGACCACGUGAGAGCAUGCAAGAUUGUAUGGCAAAGGGUAAAUGAGUUUAAGGACACCUUCAAACCAGUAGAACGUCAAGUUUUGUAAAAACUAUAUGGAAUCCAGAACGUCAGUUUUUUUUUUUUGGCACGAAGAGAGUACUUAUUAUUGGGUGCAACUUUAAUAUGCCAACAUAGAAUCAGACCCGUUAGUCUGUUACAAUAGAAACCACAUAGACCCGCUAUUUAUUCAGUACAUUGACAGAUAUCAAAAAGGAACACUUCUUUUGCGUUGUACUACCACUAUGCUUUAAUGAUAAGAUCCAGAAAACAAGACCUACGAUGUAUAAAUGUUUCAAGAUAGUUUUUAUGUGUACAGUUUACCCUAUGCAUUGAAAUAAAUAAUCCUAGUAAUAUAUACAUGUAUAUCGGUGUACAUGGUAAUGGCAAAGACGAGCAAUUUAAAGCAAGUUCACGUGUACUUUUUAUGAUUGCAGAGAUCAAUAGUUUAGAUGUGGUUUUAGAGGGCUAUUUAUGUUUUUUCACAAUGAUAAAGUUGGUAUUUUCUCUUUAAAAAAUGGAAUAGACCUGGGCCUUGUUUAGUUUCGAAAAGAUUUCGAAUUUUGGUAUUGUAGUAUUUUCGUUUGUUUGUGUUAAAUAUUGUCCAAUUAUAAACUAACUAGGCUCAAAAGAUUCGUCUCGUAAAUUACAGAUAAACUGUGCAAUUAGUUUUAAUUUUCUUCUAUAUUUAGUGCUUCAUGCAUGUGCCACAAGAUUUGAUGUGACGGAGAAUCUUGAAAAAUUUUUAAAUUUCGGGAUGAACUAAACAAGGCCCUGAUCGCUAUUGUUCUUUAUGAGUUCUAAGCAAUCAAAUUGAUGGCGAAAUAUUUCAGAUUAUUAUAAUAAAUUAGUAUUUUAUUCAAUCUAAUGAAUGGUAAACUUUACUGUACUUAAACCAUACAGGCCUUUAUUAAUAUGUGCGUGCAUUGCAGGCCUCCGCUUGAGCCUUUGUGGAGUUAGGGCACUCCUAAUGCUUGAAAGUAUAUGUAGUUUCUAUACAUAUUAAUUUUUAUAAAUAUUAUAUAAAAAAUAUGAUCCCAAUGGAUAGUAAUGAAACUCCAUUAAAACUGGCAUUAUCUAUGCUACCGUUGCCUUCUCAUGCUACAAUUUUAUGCUACCUAGCCCGCACAACCUUUGCGGGUCUCAUGCUAGUAUAUCAUAUGAUUAGUAGUAUCUGUCACCCAAUUCCUCGUCGGGGGUCUCCAUCCUCCGGUUAUCCGCAGGUGACGGGCGUCACAGGUGAGCGAUUUCGGGUGGGCGGUGACGGUCGUCGCAAGUGCGCGACACCCGCACAUGGUGCGCGAUGGCGAAGUGGGACGCUCCUGUCCGCUUGAUUUGGGAGAAUCGAUCCGUCCCGCAUCUGCUGGACGAGCCCAUACCUCUGUGACUCUGAACCCAACCCCGUCCCGUCACAAAUGAAACUCACAUGUGUGCAUAAAUUUCAAUAUUUAACCCUAAAUUCGUGAGCCUCUCAGUAUUUGACAUCCAAUUCGUAAGAUUUUUUAAUAUUUAACCCUGCGUACCUGAAUUAUUUCAAUCUAGGGUAUUUAUAAGAUUUUGUAUCUUUUUUCAUUUUUAAAUAUUUCUUAUUACUGUUUAGCACUUGGAAAAUGACUGAAGUACCCCCUGCCUCUUUAUUAUCCUUUAGUAAGGCCUUGUUUAGUUUCAAAAAAUUUUGCAAAAUAUGAAUAGUACCACUUUCGUUUGUAUUUGACAAAUAUUAUCCAAUUAUGUACUAACUCGACUCAAAAGAUUUGUCUCGUCAAUUCCGACCAAACUGUACAAUUAGUUUUUAUUUUUACUAUAUUUAAUAUUUCAUACAUGCAUCUAAAGAUUUGAUGCGACGGGCCUGACGAAGGCCAUCGUAAUCGUAACUAGCUUCUCGGGUCGCAUUUUUCCGUGGCGAGUCGCAGACAAGCGACACAGUGCGUCUCUUCUCAGCCAGCCUCCCUCCGCUCGCCCAGGCCUCCUCCGCCGGCCGCUGUUCCCUGACUCGACGGCCUAGGGUUUGGGGUGACCGUGCUCCUCGCCGCCGGUGACCCCGCUGGGCGAGCGUCCAUGCCAGUAGAAUAGAGGGAAGGGUAGUGUCGUCAUUUUUCCAUGGCCUAAACAGUGUAAAGAGGUAGCUGAAAAUAAGAAAUGAGAUAAAUUCUUUGUAAUCCUUCGGAUUGAAACAAUUCGCAUGUGCAGGGUUAAAUAUCGAAAGACUUGAAUAUUGAAAUUUCUCCACCUGGUCCUGAAGACGACAGGGAAGCGGUCAUGGCGGCGGCGGAGAACAAGAGGCCCAGGCUCAGCAGUCGAGCAGAGAAGAAGCCAAGUAGGAAGGAGGUCCUUCUCUUUUCUCUCCUCUUCUCGAUUGAGUCCGCAUCACUCAGCUCCUAUGCCUUGCAUCGACUUCCUAGUCUUUCUUUACCUCCAUUGAUUAAUGCAUAGUUGCGCUUGGUAUGCUGUGUGGCCACAGAAAAUCUACUACUGAUGCUUAUGGGUAGUAGAAAAAGGCUCUCCUAGGUUUCUAAUACUUAUUUGAUGUGUUAUACCGAGAGGCCUCUGCAAGAUUUUAUCGGGAUACUAGACAACUCAUUCAGUGUUCGACAACGGGCUGAGGAGUGAGAUAGCUAGAAAUUGCUACAAGUUCUUGGGCUCCUCAGGCUGGGAUACAUUUGCUGCAUAAGAUCAAAUAGUUAAUUACUUGAAAUUUAUGAUGUAGGGACAAUUUUAACGCACCCAUCAACCAGGUUGACAUUGUCCUGCUGAACUUGUGUCAAUCAUCUUCGGUGUUGUUUUCUGCUUGGUGUCUGAAUCUGCUUUUAAACAGAACUAAUUGAGGUGCAUAGAUACAUUGGGGCUCGCACAGAUAAUUCUAUUCUCUUGUGUAGAUUUUGGAAAGGAAGAAGGCGACCGAUGAACUUAUAAGAAAAGCUGUAGCUGUGAAGGACCAUCUAGCUCAAUUCUCAGACUUCCAUAAAUAUCAGAGAAAUGGUAACCAACAUUGACUUUGUACUUGGAGAAAAGAGUUACAGAACUGUUGAAUUUUGAUGUCAUGUUAAGCACCUAAUGUUUUCAAUGAUUUGAAACAAAAUUUAUCUUUAGAACUCAUGGAAGCAAAGUUGAAUGCAUAACUAGUCCUUUGCAGUUGCAGUUCAGCAUAGUGCUUAUUGCUUUUCAGUCUCGUGUGUUCUGUUGUUCUGGAUGCUGAGUGCUUCACAUCAAGCUCAUUUUUUUCUGACAUAUUACAUAUAGGUCUUUCAGUGUACCUAGAGUCUGGACGUGGUCAUCAACUCACAUUACCAAUGAGGAAGUACAUCCAAAAUCUUCUUAAGGUUAGAUGCAUUUUAUUGCACUGCAUCCUGUUGUUAGCACAGCAUAUUGCAAAUGUUCCUUUUACAUGUUCCCGACUUUGUAUGUAAUGCGAGUAGACAAAUUUUAGGUUAACAUGGAGGAAGCCUAUGGAGCAGAAUGGCCUUCACAAGAGAAAGUUAAGCGCCGGGAGAUGGUGGUCCCAGAAGCACGAUAUAUCUUUGUGAAGCAAUAUUCUAAUGGUUUUAUUACUGAAAAAUCCAUGAAGGAAGGCACGGAGGUGGAACAUAUGCAUGCGGCAUGUACUGAAAGCUGCUUGCUUGGUUUUGUACACUAUAGAUUUGUUGUGGAAGAGGAGUUGCCUGUUCUCUAUGUGUAUGAGCUACAAAUGGAGCCUUCUGCCCAGGGUAAGGGGCUGGGGAAGUUCAUGAUGCAGUUGAUUGAACAGAUAGCUUGCAAGGUAAUGUGAUCUGUUCACUAUUCUAACUAUUUGUUACUCAUAUCUUCUGAAUAUUUUUCUUGAUAUGAACUGUUGCUGCACUUUUUUGUUCUUUCCACUUCUUGCGUUUUUAGUUCAAUCAUCACUGUCCUCAUUAAGAAUGACGAUCCAAAGUAUUUAUAUAAGCAUGCAGAACCAAAUGGGAGCUGUGAUGCUAACAGUUCAGAAAGCUAACACUCAAGCAAUUGCUUUCUAUACCAAGUUGAGGUAUGUACACUAGAUGUCUACCUUAUGGUUGCUUAAUCUUUUGGGUACUGCUCUGCUUUGUGUCUAAUUCUUUCACUCUUUCAGAUAUGUGAUAUCUAGUACCUCACCAUCGCGAGUCGAUCCUCAGGUAUUAUUCAACAUUCCAACCAACAGUGCCAUUUAGUUUUUUAUAAGCAUGAGAGUUUUUCAUAUCAUUAUCACGAUUUACAUGGAUACCUUUAUUUUCUCAGAUAGGGCUUGAUAAAAGCUAUGAGAUUUUGUGCAAGACAUUUGACUCUGAAGCUAAGUCAAAACUAGAGGUAUGUAUCAAACUUAUUCGACAUGGCAUAAUUUUGUUGUUGCAUUUGCGUAAGACCAUUGAAUCUCAUAGAAGUUUGUGUUAUCCUAGAACAGGUGCCCAGCUCAUGCUCUUCUUUCUAAACAUCUGCAGGAUGGUGAUUAUUAAGAGUUUAGAAUGUGUGAUGGACCGUGGGCCUUUUAGCCUGAUCUGUAGUUCUGCGACAAGAUCCUUGUCACUGUGAUUUAUUAUUGGCGCGCUUGUCCAACUUCCAUUCUAUUUGUUUGUAGCUUAUUUUGGAAUUGACACAUUUGUUCUAGUGACUAAUGUGCUGGAUGCUUAUAAAACUUAAAAGUUAACAACUCUGCUCCUCUUUUUUUAUGCCUGAAGGCUGGAAGCCCUAUAUUAUAUUUCUAAAAUAAAUGAAAUUGGCCCACAAUAAAAUUACAUGUAAACCUAUCUUUUUCUUCAAAAACCUUUGUACUUUUUCCCUUGUGCUAGACAUGGCCAUAUCACUAAUACCCAAAUAUUCUCUCUUUUUUCUAGUCAUACAAAAUUUCUCCCCUUGGACAGUUGGCAUUCUCAUAUGAAUGGAGAUGUCACAAUGCUUGUAGUGUGAAUGCAGAUACUUUGAUACUCAGUUACCAAUUCUCUUUGACGCUCAAUCUAAUUUUUCAUGAAGGGAGCAAGAGACUGCAUAUGUAACUGUUGUAUUAGAUUGAUGUAAAACUUGGUUGAUUUGUACAAUGUUUUUGUAUAAGAAAAAGAAUCAAAAGAGGGAAAGCAAUGUAUUAGCUGGUAGAACGAAGAGAAGUUUCAAUGCUGAUGCAAACACUGCAAGAGGACAAGAGAAUAUUAGUGGGUAUGUUGAUUCUGGAUAAAAUGGCUGCUUGAGGCCUUGUGCCUUGAACAGUUGAACUCUUGAGGAUGCUGCCCCGCUGCAGAGUCAAGAUUAUUAGGCCAUUCCCAGUCGAGCGUGCAUUUGUCGUUUAUGAGGGUCCUGCGUAAUUAAGAGAAUUUUGAAUUUAUGAAUGAAACACCUCCCUCCAAUACACAGUUCCAUUUUAUUUAAGGAUUUGUCAUCUUAUUUAAUGGGGAUGAAACCUUCAUGAAACUUUUACUGGAGCAGCCUUUACACCUUGUUCGUUUGGCCGAUAAGCCAUUGCGGAAAGUACUGAUUUAUUGUGAGAGAAAAAUAUUGUUGAAUGACUGGCAGAUUCACUUAGCUUAAUUUAAUUGAUGGAAUCUCAAAAUAGAAUUGCAGUCGUUUGUCCUUUUUUUUUGGGUUCGUGGUUUGCAUCAAUACUCUCUACAUAUGCUCUCUAGUGCUAACUAGGAGCAAUUUUUCUAUUUGGGUAUGAAACGUCAACUGUUCACUCUGGGUACAUGGAAUCCCCUGUCGACUUCCUGUCUGAGAUAUUUGUUUGUCAGGUUCGACAAUCCACUGAUUCUUGUUUAGUACUUCAAUCAUUCCAUAGUAGAUACUUGUAUUUUGUUAUUUCCUUCUGUGAGCAAUUUGCAAUUUGUCAACUGUAGAACAUGAAAUCUAGUGAGUCCUUUGUUUCAUUCUUUCUAUCUUGAAACUUUGUACCAGGACUGCCCUUCUUGUUUUAAAUAAGCACUGUAGGGGGCUCCCUCCUCCAGUUUACAUCAAAAAAAUAUCUAGUGAGUCCGUGAUUUCUGACAAAUGUUUAUACUUGUAUAACAGUACACGUGGGCGAUGACUCACAUAGUGACAUGAGUUAUAUAACAGUACACGUGGACGAUGACUCACAUAGUGACACGAGAGGGAAAACUAGUGAAACAGCUCCCUAUACUGUCCAUCUCGAACCAAAAGAGAUGGAACUCAUUACAACUGACAGCAAAACUAACAGUUACACGGAUACAAGUGAGCCUUGUAUGGCUGGCAGAUUCGGCUUAUAAAUUCAAGUGAACAAGGUGUUAAAUAACUGGCAAAUUCGGCUGAGUAGGGCAAUUGCUGGAGUGCUGGUAGUAGUAUGGACAUGCUGUGGAUUGUCUGAUGCUGGCGCUAUGUGAGGUCAGGCCCGUGGCAUGAACAGCGACAGGCAACUGACGAGCCACGCCAGAAACAACCGAGGCAGUGGCACUGGCCUGAAAAGCAUCAGCUGGAGCGCGGGGAUGCGCAGCGGCUGCCCACGGCCAGCGCUGGUUUCGGGGGCGAGCGCCGGCUCUUGCUCUUGCUCUUGCUCCUGCUGUGUCGCGGGGAUGUCCUUGGUGACACUGCUAGCAUCCUUCCAAGCCAUCGCAGUCGUCGCAGCCGUGAGGACAGAUUGCGGCAGCACCAAGCCACCAACACUAACUCAAUUCUGGCCAGAGCAAACGGACGCUUUGUGCCGGCAACACUCAACUCGACCAUGGAUGUUUAUAGAGCUCGGUGUUCACAUUAGACAGUAACCCGUUCGGUUUCCUAUCUGGUGAGCGUAUUCGGCUUGGAUCAUUGGAUGAACCCACCUUCGUCACUGUCUGAACCCAUCCCGUCCCGCUACAAGUUGCAGCCUACAACAACCUUCAAAUCAAACACACCUCUGUCGCCUGCCUUCCUAUCUUGAAGACAACAGGGAGGCGCUCAUGGCAACGGCGGAGAACAAGAGGCCUAGGCUCAGCAGUAGAGCAGAGAAGAAGCCAAGUAGGAAGGAGGUCCCUGCUCUUCUCUCUCUCUUCUCGAUUGGGUGGCCAAUCAUCUUUCAGUGUUGUUUUCUCUGCUUGGUGUCUGAAUACGCUUUUAAACAAAACUAAUGGAGGUUCAUAGGUAUAUUGGGGCUAACACAGAUAAUUCUGUAUUUCGAUUAUGAAUGGUAAGGUAAAAUUUGGCAUAGCCAGAACUAGAGCACAUAUAAGUGCCUUCUUUAGAGCUUGAAAGGAAGCCUCUGUGGCUGAUGUCUAACAAAAAAAUGGUGCCCUUCUUGAGGAGAUUUGUCAAUGGUUUGCUGAUCAUCCCAAAUUGCGGCGCAAACCUUUAAUAGUACCCUACCAUCCCAACAAAACUCCUAAGAUCCUUUACAUUCUCUGGUUGAGGCCAUUCCUCUUGAUUUUGGAGGGAUCAGUGGCAACUCCUUGUUCGCUGACAAUGUGACCUAGAUAACUCAACUGUCUUUUGGCAAAAGAACAUUUGGUAACCUUGACAUGAAAGCCAUGUUGCUGCAAAAGAGUGAGUGCAGCUUUGAUAUGCUCCAAAUGUUCACUCCAAGUCCUACUGUAGAUGAGAAUAUCAUCUAUGAAAACCACUACACAUUUUCUCAACAGUGGGUAUAGUAUUGUGUUCAUAAUUGUUUGGAAAGUUGCAGGUCCUCUUGUAACUCCUUAUGGCAUUACCAUGUACUCAUAGUGGCCACUAUGUGUUUGAAAAGAUGUUUUGAACUCCUCGCCAGCUGCCACAUUCUUAUUUGAUGAAAGCCAGAACACAAGUCAAGAUAUGUGAACCAUGUAGAUCCUUGCAGUUUCUCUAGUAACUCCUCAAUGAUCGCCAGUGGGUACUUAUUCUUAAUCAUCAUAGCAUUCAAACAUCUAUAAUCAACACAUAACCUCCCGUCCCUGGUCUUCUUCCUGACUAGUAGGACAGGUGGAGUAUGGGCUGGUAUUUUCUUGGAUCCACCCUUUUCCCUACAUUUCUUUGAUCUGAGUCUCUAUCUCUGUCUUCUGGACAGGAUUGUACCUAUGAGGUCUAAGGGCCUGUUUGGUACAGCUCACAACAAUUUCAUGAGUUGUUGUGAGCUGGUUUUUUUACCAAACACUUAUUUGCAAAACAGCUUCAUGGGUGAAGCUGUUUUUCCCCUCCUCUCACGAAGACAUAAGCUGGGAUGAAGCUGAAAAAAGUAGCUUAUUGCAGCUUUCUCUCUCAUUUCUCUCUCAACUAUGAAUGAAGUAGUUGGUGAAGCUAUUUUACCAAAACUUUUUUCAAAACAGCUCAGCUUCAUCUAGAAAGUCAAUCAUGAAGUUAUUUUCUAAAAAAAAUAGCUUUACUAGUGAAGUUGAGCUGUGCCAAACAAGCUCUAAGACAAAAAGGUUGAGCACCUUCCAGUAAGGGUAUCUUGUGAUCUCCCAACUCCGCAGGAGGCAGAUCUGUUGGUGGAUCAAAAACUGAUGCAAACUAUUGGAAAAGUUGUUAUAGAUCUUCUGGAAGAUUUUCUCCAUUGUCAUCUCGUAGAGUCUGGAGGUGGUACAAAGCGUAACUAAACAACAUAAAAAAUUGAGUCAUUUCUUGUCAAAAGCUUGAAGCUGUUCCUCCCCGUCAAACAUCACGUUCUAGGCUCUAGCCCAAGAAAAGCUUGUGAAGCUUGCAAAAAAGGCCCAUGAAUAGGACAACAAGCAUUUAUUUUGGGCCUUAGAGCCCAGCAGUUCCGAUGCGAAUGCGACCGUCCCUUCCGUCCCGAGCCCCGUUCCCCAUUGCGGCGGCUCUGCCUGGCCAAGACGGAGAGAGUCACAGCGCGAGGUGGCGAGAAGCGAAGGCAAUGGCAACGGCGCAGAACAAGAGACCGCGGAUCAGCAGCGGCGUGGAGAAGAGGCCGAGUAGGAAGGAGGUCCGUCUCUUUUAUCUCUUCCCUUGCAUCCUAUUCUCGAAUCUCGACUGGGUUGGCAGCACUCCGAUUCCGCUCCCUUUCCCUGCGACCCUGCCCUGGCGCCCUGCCUAGUCGAAUUCCUGGCCAGUGCAUGCUUCAACCCAUUGGCCGUUGUUGUAGGAUUGCGCUUGCUAUCUGGAUGGUUCGCAGCUUCAUUUGUUCCAAAGGGCGUCUCAAAUAGCCUGGUCGUCGUAGGGUUACGGAGGUGGUGCCAAGCUGGGAGUUGCUGAAAGUUCAUGUAUUCUCACGCAGGAUGUAAUGUAACUGCAGCAUAAGAUCGGAUAGUGAAUAAUCUGAAAUAGCUGGUAGAGUCAACGCUUGUGUUGUGUGUGGCAACAUUAUCUUUCGUCACUUUCAGGGUUCCUUUUCUCUUGUACAUACAGUGUACUGACACAGCAAUGAAUAGUUGGUGAGGCAUGGUCCCUGAUUCAUUCUAUUGGAUAGAUAUUGGGGAGAAAGAAGGCGGUCGAGGAAUGUAUAAAGAGAGCUGUAGCUGUGAAGGAUCAUCUAGAGCAGUUUCCAGCAUUUCAUAAGUAUCAGAAAAAUGGUAGCAUACACUUAUCCACUUCUUCUUUGAAAAAAGUUUACUGUAGAACUAGUAGUAAUGUACUGAUGUCACAUGUUUACGGAAUUUAUCUUCAGAAAUCCAGGAAAACAUAAUUGGGUGCCAAAUUAGUCCUUUUCAGCUGCAAUUAAGCAUACUGCUUGUUGAUUUUCUGUGUGCUUGUUCUGAGAUGAAUGUAUCACAGCAAAGCUCAUUUUUCCUGAUAUCUAGGUCUUUCAGUCUACUUGGAGUCCGGACGUGGGGAUCAGCUUACAUUACCAAUGAGGAAGUACAUCCAAAAUCUUCUAAAGGUUGCAUCCAUUUGUUUUCACUUUACUCUGUUCUUUGCAUGCCACAUAGCCAUUUAGCUGUUGCAUGUCACCACUCUGACUGUAAUGCUAGUAAGCAAAUAUAGGUUAACAUGGAGAAACCAUAUGGACCAGAGUGGCCUUCAGAAGAGAAAAUUAAGCGCCGGGAAAUGGUAGCCCCAGAAGCACGAUAUAUCUUGGCUAAGCAAUAUUCAAAUGGGUUUAUUCCUGAAAAUCCCAUGAAGCAAGAUGCAGAGGCGGAACAUAUGCAUGCAGCAUGUACUGAAAGCUGCUUGCUUGGUUUUGUACACUAUAGAUUUGUUGUGGAAGAGGAGCUGCCUGUUGUUUAUGUGUAUGAGCUGCAAAUGGAGCCUUCUGCCCAGGGCAAGGGGCUGGGAAAUUUUAUGAUGCGGUUGGUUGAACAGGUAGCAUGCAAGGUAAUAUGAUCCAUUCAUGAUCCUGUAUACUUAUUAUUACAAUCUCCUGAAUAUUAUGUCAUGGCGUCACUGUUACUACACUAUUUUCUUUUCCACUGGCAUGUGUUAGUUCAGUCACUAUCUUGACAUGCGACCAUAAAUGAUAAUCCAGAAUGACGCAUUGUGAUUGUAUAUGCAUGCAGAACCAAAUGGGAGCUGUGAUGCUAACAGUUCAGAAAGCUAACACACUAGCUAUGGAUUUCUAUACUAAGUUGAGGUACACUAACUAGAUGCUUACCUUCUGGUUACUUAAUCUUAUGACUACUGCUUUGCUUUGAGCUAAUUAUUUUUCUCUUGUAGAUACGUAAUAUCCAGUACCUCACCAUCCCGAGUGGAUCCUCAGGUAUCAUUUGACCGGUAUAAGUAAUUUGCAUACUCUUGUCAUGAUUUACAUUGAUCUCUUCAUUUUUCACAGAUAGGACUUGAAAAAAGCUAUGAGAUUUUGUGCAAGACAUUUGAUUCUGAAGCUAAGUCCAAACUAGAGGUUUGUGGCUGUAUACUUAUUUGUGUGGCAUAAGUUUGUAGCUACUACUGCAUAAGAUUGGCAAAUCUCAUAGAAAAUUAUGUCACUACUAUAAUUGCUGGUAUUUUUGGCAUUGCUUAUACUACUACUAUUUGCAACAUGCUCUAUUAUAUGAAAUUCAUGAAUAAAUAAAGUGGGAGUUUCAGUUAUCUCUAGCACAAGUGCGCUGCUGAUGCUCUUCUUUCUAAAUAUAUGCAGGAUGGCGCCUAUUAAGACUUGAGAGUUUAGAAUGCACCAACCACUUACGCGACCACUUACACAACCACUGAGCAUUAUGUCCAGUUACGCCACAAGAUUCCGCAACAUCUUUCAUGCAGACAAUUGUUACUGUGAUUUAUUAUUAUAGUAGCAUGGUGUGCUUGGCCUAAAUUCACAAUCCUGUUUUCCAGUAGCUUCUUAUGCAAAUGGACACACCCUUCUGCUAAUGGGUACUGCCCAGCUGGAUUUUUAGUAACUUUGCUCGAGUUGCUUUCUCAAAAUAAAAAGUAAAAAAAAAACUAAGAUAAAGGAACAAAAUGUUCCCACAACUAGAUACUAGUGAAAUUACAUAUUCGACACAUGAGUGACGUGGCGUUGCGAUUUUGACUUUUGAGGUUUGACAGUUCAACCCUGCUGUCAUUAUGAUCGAUGAUAGUCUUUGAGUCCACAUAGACCUGUUCGUUUAGCUGAAACUAUUAUUUACUAAUUUAUUUUGAGAGAAAAAUACUGCUGAAUGAUUGAUAGAUUUGGCAAAUAAACUUAAGUAUAAUGCCGACCAAGUAGCAGUGUAGCACGUAUUUUUGUGAUGCUGGGCCUCUUGUAAUAAUCAAAUGAUUGGGUGUUGUUUGGAAAUCAGGCCACCAGAACAGUCUUGUGAUGUUUCCAUUUACUAAAAAGUCAGGCGGCUGCCAUUCGCUUUUUCAAUUAGAGUAUAAUAAUAUCAAACUCAUAGCAGAGUAGACAGUUCUCAACAUCGACACAGAAGACAGAACUGUUCAAAAAGAAAAGUAAUUAUACAAUAACUGACGUCAAAUGAUCUCCAUGAUCCAAAAGGGAAGAAAACAAGUGAGCACUUCAUUUUUUUUUCCUGGUCCACACCAAUAUCCAAAAGGGACUCUAGUACGUACACUAGUAGGACUAGAAGUCGUCGCUUAUUUUAUUUUUCCAAAACAAACAAAAUGGGGGGCCGCUGGCUAAUCUAAACGCAGACGCAGCAGUGCCAUGACACAUCGAGGAAUGAGGCAAAUGGACGGCCCCGGAGAAGACCGGCGCUUCGGUCUCAGGGGACCAGGGGAUCAUCUGCAGCUGCAGGCUACAGCGCGAACAAUGACAGGCACCCGACGAGCCACGCCAGGAACGCGAAAAACAGGCGAGGCAACGGCGCCCGCGCCGGCGCCGGCGCGGCGGCUUCUACGAUUAUGGCCGUUGCCCCCGCGAGCAUCAGAUGGAGCGCGGCGGAUACGCGCAGCAGCUGCUGCCAACGGCCGCCGGCGUCUCGGACCAAGGCGCGAUUUUGCUCUGGCUCCGGACCGCCGGCGUCCACAGCCUCUUUGUUGGCAUUGCCAGCGUCAUCUCGAGCCAUCGGAUGUGCCACGGAAGGUGAGCGCGAUUUGGGACGAGGCAGACUCGGCGAAGGGUGAACAAGCAAAGGGAGCCUGUGUAACUUGAUGUGACUUUGUGAGCCAACCUGAUUGAUGGGUGAUCUUCUUUUUGAUCGGGCCUGAUGGGUGAUCUUGAUUAUAUAGAGCGCGGUGGAACCGUGGAACAUGCGAUGCGUUUAAUUGGGCAACUCAUUUGUUGGUGAAAGCGAUCGGGCUAGUUGUCCUCAAGUGACAUACGUUGUGAGUGGCUUCGCGGAACGCCCCCAGGAAAGCGACCGCCGACCUCUAUAGCAUCGGUACAACACCGGCCGUGUCGAGCGCGACCUGACCAAAACAGAGAUCCAGGGUAGUUGAUGACGGCAAAAAGGACGGUUCUUUUUUUAGAUAAAGGGCAAAGAGGUUUGUAGUGCUCGCUCGGCAUGGCUUUCGUCGAGAACUGUUGAGAUUUGAGAACACAAGACCACCAUGCCGUAUUGCCACCGUCUUGGCCGUGCUACGCACGCUCGAUGCGACGAUGCUUUCAUGGAAAUUUCCUCAGCUCCAUCCACAACUUCCUGCCUUCCUGGCAUGGUGCUACGGCUACGGGGCCGGCUGAUUCUGAUCCCGGUGGGCGAUCGGAAUCUAUCGAAUGUUGGUUGAUUCACAUAGCAGGAGAGGCGAUGUGAAUACGUGAUCGAAGCUGUGAAGGCAGCCCCGGCUCUGCGGCAGUGUCGCACCUUUUGCUAAGCGCACACGGUCCAAAUAGUUCGAUAAAAAGGCCCAUACUUCUCUCAGUAGACAGGUAGUAGUCUUGUGUCUUAAAAGGCCCAAAAUAAAUGUACAUUUCUAUCUUGUGUCUUAAAAGGCCCAUUUACUUUUUUUUUCUUUUUGCAAAUAGAUGUACAUUUAUUUUGGGCUCACUAUAGCACGCAUGUGCAUCCCUCCUCAGCGCUCACACCCCAUCCUGCUCGGCUAAUGUGGUGCUUAAGCCGCCUUAUGCCACCUCCAACGCUAUAUCCAAGCCAAAUCUUCUUCAGGUGAUGUCCUUACCACUUGCACCAUUCAACCUUCGUCUCCCACCAUCCUAGCGGGCGGCAUUCUCAUAUCCCUACCCUACUACCGUCUUCCACCAUCGUCAUUCGUCCAACAUCCUCCUCUCGAUGAUCCCUUCUAAGCCAGGAAGCCGUGGACACCCCUAAACCCACAGAAAACUACAAACCCUAAUCCUCGAAACCUAACGUCAGGCGAACUUUGUUAUCUCUGGUAGUGGCAGCAAGUGAGCUUUGAUUUUUUUUUCUAUUUUUAUCUGCAUUUUUUGCUUUUUUUUCUGUGUGCAUGCCGAGAGUAAAAUCCAUGUGGAAGUAAGCAUUUUUGUACAUUUUUGGUAAUGAAUAAUUAACGUUCCAGCUGGAAUGCUUAGCAAAUAUCCAUAAUCAAAAUAAUACAAAGUUAUAGGGUAAACAAUACACUCAAUGUUUGCCAUCUAAUUAAAGUUGCAAUUAAUCUCCAUACAACCAAAAUUGCAUGUAUGGUGUGAGCUGUGAGCAUAUAUGUUUCUUUUCCUUAUCAAAAGUAAUAUAAUUUACUUUUAUGUGGUCCAGUCAUAACUUUAGUGUAGGGUCCUUUUUCAUGCCACAAAAGGUGUCAUUUUAGUUUCAUCCUAGCCUUCCAAGGUCUAGCUAUAUUAAGUUUGUGUAAAUAAGUAUAACAUUAAUGAUACAAAAUAGGUAUAAUUUAAAAGUAUGCUUCAUGAUGAAUCUAAAUAAAAUUAUUUAACUUCGGAUGAAACUGUAAUAGCACUUUUUGCGAGAUGAAGGUACGUAGAAGAUAUAGUAUGUGAGUAUGCCUUUUUUUUUCUCUCUCCUCAUAAAUUCCUCUAUUUGUUUAGUUUGAAUGUUACAAUGUGGAGUGCAUUACAGUGGGGGAAGGGGAUGGGUCCGCUUCAUGACAAGAUAGCUACGUUCGCAGGUCAGCCGCAGAUGGCGCCGUGGCGGCAAGGAGCCAUCGCCCGUCGGAGAUGAGAAAAGGCUGCACUCACUGUAUGAUAGAGUUGAAAAUAAUUAAUUAUAUAUUAUUUAUGGUAUUUUAUUAAUGUGGCAGUAUAUUUAUUGAAGAAAGAAGUAAAAAAAAUAAGACUCUAAUUUUUAUUUAGACUCUAAGUCCAUACUAUUUAAGGUAAUAAAUAACUUUAUAUCAUUAUACAAAGGUGUCACAACUCAGGAAUUGAAUGAAGAGCUUUGCAUGGUGGGGAGCCAUGGAAGAUUGAGAGAAAAAGAGCGGACAUGAGAUUCAUGAAACGACAUGCAUGGUCCUCGACGUUAGAUUUUUUAUCCAAAGAUCAGAAAACUUCACGUGUCGGAGUCAAAGUAUUAAGGAAAGAGUAACACAUCGAAAUAUUUUUCUCUUUUUAGACAUAUAGUACUAAACAAAUUUCCACGCUGAUGAUUGACACAACUAGCAACAAAAAUUUGAUUAUUAGAAAAAAAAACCAAAAGUGUCGACCAGUUUUCUAGGUGAAAUCGGAUCAAAAUUAAAACCACAAGACAAGAAAACGCUACCCACGCAACUAAAACAGUGCACAACACAUAAGUGCACAAACACAAUGGCACGCCGUGGCUUCCCCGCAUAUCACGCUUAGAGCAUCUCCAACAAUUAUGCAAUUAGACUUUGCAUUUUUGAAAUAUGUUAAAAACCUUAAAAAUUGCUUUUCCAACAGUUUUGCAUUUGACUUAUGCAUUUUGGUAAACUUGGCAUUUGAUGGACCAAACUUGACAUUUUUGCAUAGACACAAUGGCUUGGCAAUUUUGAUAUCCCGAGAAUCUUGGACUCAAUGUCGUACCCGUACUCCCCACGUCGCGGUAGUUUCCCGCGAGACGAGUCCUUCCCCGCACGCGACUCUUUUCUUCCCGCGCGCCGCCUCCUUUCUUCGCGCGCCGCCUUCUUUCUUCGCAUGGAGACGAAGGAGAUCCAUCACCGCCUCCUUUUCUUGCAGCGACGCGAGGCUAGGAGAUCCAUCGCCGCUCCUGUACCACAGCGUCGUCAUCUUGUUGGGGUUCACCGCUGUGAGGAAGACGUCGAAGUCCACGCGCUGCUGCCGCGUCAAGUUGAUCACGGAGAUCGAUCGCAACGAAGGAAUUGCGUGCGACGGGCGAAGGAAUUACGCGCGAAAAAGAAAGCGCAUGCGCGACGCGCGAGAAAAUUUCCCGCGAAGAUGAAAGAUACCCGAACUAAAAUAGUUGGGUCUACUAUUUUGGGAAAUGUCAAGUCAAAAAUACCAAACACUUGGAGAUGAAUUUAUUUUUCCUUUGACAAAAUGUUUAGGGACUUGGCAAACUCCAACAAACAAAUUCCAAUUGCAUAACUGUUGGAGAUGCUCUUAUUCAAACUUCAGAGCUCACACCACGACGCGCGUCUUCUCCUGGCCGCACGCUUCCCCUUUGCCAUCGCGUCGCCGGGAGUCCAAGUCUGCCCCUCUGUCUUGUCUUCGUCCUCGCCGCCGCCGAGGUCCAGCGGCUGGAACUCUCCCAGCCUUCUGAACACGGACCGCUUGCGCGGCGGCAGGUGCUCGUCCCAGAUGCCCGCGUUGGGCCUGCUGCAGCCGUGCUCGCCGCGGUGCAUCCCGCACCUGGCGCAGAUGUGCCGCCUCAGCUUGCAGGGGUACCUGAGCUGCUCGCCCGUGAAGCCGCCACACUCAUCGCCGCCGACGAACGCGCACCGGAGGACUGUACUACUCAGGGGCUUCGUGUCGGCGCCCUGCCUCGGCAUGAUCUCUCGAUCAGAUACCUCACUGUCAUACACUCAUACUACUGCCUGCUGAUCGAUAUAAUCCUGAUGAGUGAUGACAACGCACACGUAUUUAUUUAUAGGUCAGGAGAGCUUGGGAUCAUCUGGGGGAGAUGCGAAAUGAUGUGUAGCAGAAUUGGCAGUGCCGAGCAUGAAGAGAGAGAGAGCCUGAUCACGCACUGGGUGAUGGUGGACGGCGGCGCCGCGACGACAACAGAAGAACCUGUAACGCGCGCACGUUAUUAGCUUUGCUUCAUGCCGGAAUCAUGCGAGUGCCAGCCGAGUGAGGAACCCGACGGCGGGCCACGGGAGAUCGAGGAAACACAACACGUCGUCGCUCGAUCUCAUGGCCCCUUGCACGGUUUGUUGUGAGUGCAUCCAAGAGAAAUAAAGCUAGCCGUGGCUUGCUUUCCUCUGAUAGGCGACGAGUUCAGCCACACGUACGCACGCACGGCACUCGUGGGAGAGGCCUCGCCGUCGUGAGCACCGGAGCAGAUCAUCGAGUGAGAAGCGGUAGAAGAGACGUUUGUCUCUUGUCUGAUUCAUCUUUUCGGUCCUAGCGAUGAUCUUGUGGAUAUACUUGCAAACGUCGCGGCCGGGUCACGCCGCCAGCCUGCUGGGCUACACCGCGCCACGAGCCCGCACCAAGCCUCCAAGGCUCCAACCCGUCACGAGCGAUGCAGCAAAGAGCGCCGCCGCUGCCACCACGGGCGACUCAGCCGCUGGCGUCGCAAUUUCCACGGGCGGCUAGUAUAAGCAAUCUGAUGCCGAACUUGACACCACUAUGUCGUAUACUUGGUAUCCCCAAGUGCCAAACUGCCAAUACAUUAUUUUGACCUCACAUUGAAUCAGCUCUUUCAUCUUGUGAGGGGGAACCAAGCCUUGGCUAGGUAAAUAGCCAUCUCCCUUUAUUUUUUUAUUGGCUUUAGUAAUCAUGUUUUUCUUAAUAAUUGUGCUGAGAGGGUAAUAGUGGAAUAGGUACAAAGGUAUUUUGGGACCAUUUUUUGCAUAAUGGUAGUAACGGGUAAUUUUAAAAACACAUGUGUAUGGGUAUUUCUCCUAAUUAUUGUGGUAAUUUUGAGGUCUUAAUAAUUAAAGUGGAGAUUCCUUUAGUUGGUCACUUCUGCUGUAUUUCAUAUGUUUGAAUUUUAAGUAAUUUCAGGCAAUACUCUUAUAUCACCAACAAGUACAAGUAAAUUGUCACUUUUAUAAUUUGUUAUUUAUCUUUGUGUCAUAGUAUAUUAAUUUUUUGUCAUUGUCUAGCUAUAGAAAUAAUUGUAAAUUGUUAAAUAUAUUUGUGCCAAUAAAAAUAGAUUUUGUCGGAUUUAUAGCUUUAUCUAACGGAUUUUUUAUUCUCGAUGCCAAAAGUUGCAGAUUGCAUCUAGAAAAAAUUGCAAUGGAUGAAAUCUGCAAUUUUAGUAAAAAUCAUAUACUCUUAUAAAGAUAAACCCUACUAGAUGAUUUCUCUUGACAUGCAAACUAUCAAUCCUUCUAUCCAUUUCUCUUACAAUGCAAAGCGUCCACCUCAACAGUCCAUUAUCAUUUGCCAUUAUCAAUUUUUCUUGAUAUACCAGGUAUCUAUCUCAGCAAUCUACUAUCAUUUGCAUUAAAAUUCACUAGCACAAGAAUUAUGAUAUCCACAUCAGCGAAACACAUCAUCCACUAUAGAUACAAUCUCCACGAUUAUGCUAAUAAAAAAGUUAUAUAUUUAUAUUUCUCCUUCGUACCUGCGGCAACGCACGAGAAAAUUCUCCUAGUAUAUGUAAUAAUCAAAGCCUGAAAUGAAACUAAAAAUUUCGACACCUAAAUUUUAACAAGUCCCAACUCCCAAGUCCUAACUUGCCAUCCUUAAUUUUUAGCAAAAUGUGAAAAAAACCCUCUCCAACAGUUUGCCAUACUACUUGCCAAAAUUUCCCAACUUGCUAAAAGUAGCCCUUCUGCGCGUAAAUAUACGCGCGCGCAUCGCCCCUUCGUCACCCGCGGCUUCCUUCUUCGUCGUGCAGUAGUAGCGCGGUAUCUCCACGGCCGAGCGUCGUGCUUGGCACCUGCACGGGCUGUCAUGCUAUCGUGGUCGGGGGCACCCUUUUGUGCGACAGAUUGGAUCGGCCCGCCGGCGUGCGCCAUGCAGCACAGCGUAGGGCCGCGCCAUGCAGGGCAGCGUAGCGCAUCGGCGGUGUGGUGUUGCACGGCCAGGGCCAUCAGCCUGCUGUUGGUACGUACAUGCAUAACCGCUUGGAGAGAAUCUCCUUCGUCAUGCAGUUGCUGCCCUGCCGCCGGCCGGCCGGCCGUCCGGAGCGUUGGUUGUAGCUGGAUCCAUGCCGGAGACAUCCGGAGGCCGAUGAAGAAGGACGUGAAUGCAAUUUUGUUUCUUUUUCAGGGCUCCUAAUGCAAGUUUGUUAGAUUUUGGGGAGUAAAUUAUGCCAAACUGUUGGAGAUGGAUGCUUUUUUUCCUCAUAUUAUUAUUUUGUGAGUUGCCAAAUGAUGUGAUUUGGCAAACUAAAAAUACCAAACUGUUGGAGAUGCUCUAUAAAGAAGGAAGCCCAAGCUAUAUAGUAGCGCUAAAAUUCCUCCGGCCCACGAUGGUCCAAGGCUCCGGGCCUGUUCGCAUAUGCAACCCAAGCCCGUCCCACCCGACCGCAUAUUGUCUUGCAGCCCCACCAACAGCGGCGCUUGCGCGUCCCCCGCUGCGGCUGCCAGUGGGCCACGGCGUCAUGCGUCGACCAUUAUCAGGCGCGGGCCCAUCCUGUGACGGGGUCAACACUCCGCAGUCCCGCAGCAGCCGCAUCUCGACCCGCACACGCGUAGCGGAGGACGGACGGGAGCCGUCCGAUCCCCGUAUCCCUCACCCAACCCAAGCCGAGCGGGAGGGAGAGAGACAGCGCCUGUGUGUUGCACGGCCGCGGAGGAACCGGCGCGCGGGGCCAAGUACGAUGGAUCGAGUCGAGUCGAGUCGGAUCCCGCGCGCGCCCCACGAUCCGGCGAGAGAGUUUUUCUACCGCUACGGCACCCACUCGGCGGCUGUCCUGCUCCCGUCCUCUCCUCCCUCAGGUGCGCGCGGUGACGGCGAGGCGGACCGGAGGCGGCCGUACGCGCGCGCGGCCUUGCGAGUUGCGAGGCCGGGUGACGACGGCGACGCGGAGGCAACCCCGUCCGUAUUCUCCGCCUUGUUGGUGUGGCGCUGGCGCGUACCACCACCAAUGGAGAGGACGACGUGAGGCCAAUGGAUGGGUUUCGUCAUUUAUUUAUGCCUUGCUGUGUUGGGUUCCUUUCCUGCGGUACUGAUGCUGUAUGUCCGCUGCGGUGGCGCGGGGGAACUGAGGGUAGGGAGGAGAGGAGCCCUGGAAAUGAAUUGGAACAACGAAGCGAAUCAUAAUGCAAUCAGUCGUAGACGUCCUUGGCUCUUUGCAUUGGCCGUGACAUACAUGGACAAGAAAAUUAUUGAGCCUCCAUGCGUCAUAUAUCCCCAUGCAUGUGCACCAACGCUCGCGUGUCGCGUUAGCGUCACUACUAGCAAAUCCUUCACGGUCAUCACGCCCCAUGCAUAUUGCAUGCAUAGCCGCGAGCUCGGUUAUUGUUGAUGACGAGAGACAAACAAGCGCGAACGAAUAAUUAUUGUCCGAAAUCAAUUCAAUUAAAAAUAGCUUGACGAACGAUUUUCAUUCAUCGUCAUAUGUAAAAAAGAAGACUGCACACAUCAGAGCGAGAUAUGAUUCGUGAUAAAUACAUCCAUCCACCAAGCACUCGGCCAAAUGAAUUCAAUCGAUAUGGCACAGGAUGUGAGAGCAAGAGAACAUUUAAGAGGGGCUAUGAAUUGGGAGUAAAUGGAAACCAGAAAUAGCUAUUCAAUGUAGAGUAUCUUCCUCACCAGCAACGACUCUCCGUUUUUUUCCCCCUUCCCUGCUGCCCUCUCUUCAGAAGUUUUUAAUACUCUCCUACUUCAUGCAUGCAGCGUGGCAUCAUGUAAACGAAGAAGAUUGUGUAUGAAGGGCCUUGAAGAAAAAGACUGUAGGCUACUGAUGAACUGCUAGCAUAAAAAAAGGGAACCAACACUAGCUAGUUUUCUUGUUUCACAAUCGAUCGACACAUCGCUGCUAGUACCACCAGUAGUACUACAUCUGUUGAAUUCAUGUGUGACACUUGCCAACGAGCACGGUUAAUAAAUUCGGAAUCUAUUUAAAAACUCUUAAAAAAGGCAAUGAGAGGGGCCUAGGAUCGGAGUAUUAAUAAACACUUCACUAGAGUAUUACGCUUUUAUAGGACGUCCCUCUUUUCUGGUAAAAAUGAGCUUUCUCCCACCUGAGACCAGCAGAACAUUUAAAGGGUGGGAACUUUGAUCCAUUCCAGCUUCCAUCUAUCAAUUCAUGAACACCUCCGGAAAUGAAAACUUGAAAAGGACAUUCAAACACUUGAAUACACUCCAUGAAUUUACCUUCCGCACGUAUCAUAUUCAUAUCAAUGCAUGCAUAUGAUUACUCCUUUUUAUUUUGAAAUUAUGCCGUACGUGUAUUUAUUUAUGCAUUCCGCCCGUUCAAAGUCAAUGCACAUCACAUCGGUCUUCACCUCCGAUGUUUCAGUGUCACUGACUAGCAUAAAAGAGGCUGAUUCUACACAACUGCUGGAUUACCACUGGGAGGCGUCGUCAAUCCGGCACGCCUCCCCAUGGGGAGCAAAGCGAGAAGCAAGUGCCUCUGGCAUAGGAAACAGACUCCCAAGAAAGAUGGUCAAGCGACGAACUCGUUUAAACUCAUGUGUUAAGCGCAUCGUGAUCGUGUGCGACACAGUUUUUUAAUAGUCUAGGGCCGAGUUUUCAGAAUCUUAGGGUUGGAACGAAGCACCUGAAUCCUGCAUGCAUGCGUAGUGCACGGGUUGGUGCACUCAAGUUUGGACCUUGAACUGGUGGUUGGCCUGGCUUGACGACGAACUGCAUGAUCUGCCAUGCACGCGUGCAGUGUGCGCCAUGGAAGUGCCAACAUGCCGGUUUGCAUGCAUGGUCUUGUAUGGGAAUGGGAUGGAAUCGGUGGAUGGAUCCAAAGCCCAGCCGGCCGGCCAGCCCAACCCCGGAGAAGGAAGUCUUGAGUUCAGUCUUUUGGUUUUCGAUCCCGAUACCAUUAUCGCAUUUGGGAAUCCCACCAACGAUUUAAUGCCGGUUCGUCUCUUUCCACGGUUGCGUUUGCGGUGCAUGCAGCGCCGGGUCUGGGCGAGGCAGAAGAAUCCGGCCCGUUUGUCAAUCCGCCCAACAUGUUUUUUUUUUAAAAAAAAUUACAUUAAAGAUCUGCUAGAAUAAAUGGUAAUUUCAAAUGAUCCAUGUGAAAGAAAAUCAUGGAUCUCAGUAGGAUUGGGUAUCGUCCAGUUAACAACAAUAAAUUUACUUACUGGAAGUUCAAAUCAGUAAAUUAAUUAUGGCAGUGGGUAUAUACUUCCUGUUUUCAGGGUGUCUUGGAUUUGAUUUUUACUCCAGGGUGUCUUGGAUUUGAUUUUUACUCCAGGUGUUUUUAGUUCUGGUGACACAGGACCCUGGAGCUGUACAUCAGCACUUGUAUAUCAUCAUCAUAUACUGUAGUCCGGUAUAUGAACGCAACACACAGCUGACAGCUGAGGUUGGGCACAGCCUAAAGAGGCGUAGCCAGCACAAAAAUACCACUCCUACCAGUACUGUGGAGCACCAUACGCAAACAGUAGAAGCGGGGUGGAACGGUACUUGCCUGCUCCUGCUCGCGUUGCGGGUGUGGCAGGAAAAGUCAACAUGCCCGACCCGUUUGAGGCCUUUAAAUGGCUCCAGCUGUUCCCACCCAAACCCAAGAAAAGCAGCAGUAGGCCCGGCCUCGAACCGAGGUGGUGGGGCCCUUUUAAAUACUCUCCCGGCUCUUAAUUCGCAUCGGUUAUUACUCCGCCCCGCCUACCGCUCCUCCCUCCUCCCCCUCCGUUCCGUUCCCCUCGUCGUCCCCCACCCCACUUCCGACGCGCAAAGGCAAAAGCGCAGCGCAGCAAGCCAGCAACGCAAACCCAGGGCGCGAGAGCGAGGUCUCCGGUCAUACUCAUACCCUGCUCGGCUCGCUGCCGCCCGGCCUGUCUCAGUCCACUCUCAUCACUCAUCAGCGAGCGAGCGAGAGGGGGGGGAAGGGGAGGGCGCGGGAGUUAAGGGUGGAACGGAAUUAAUGGCGCCAGCCCAGGAGGAACAAGCGGAGGCCUGAAGCCUGAUCGAUACCACUGCACUGCACCACUUCUCUUCAUUUCUUUCUCUUCUUCCUGGCGAGAGAGAGGGGCGCCUCCCCCCUUCGAUCCCCUCCUCCUGAGCUGUAGUGUGCUGCUUCGUCAGGACCAGCGAGAUUACUGCUGCGUACCACCGCUGCUAUUUCCUGCGUAGCAGCGAGGCUAUAUUAGCGCCUCGGAGGAGGAGCUAGCUAUAGCUAGGCCUCGUGGUACUAGUACAGCCGCAGCCGCCCUCUAGCUAGUCCAAAGUCCAAGCAGCCAGCCCUCCCGCUUCCGGCCCGGAUUGCGCUCGAAGCAAGCGGCCGCCCGAGGCGAGGCGAGGCGUGCGCGCGCCGCGACGAUGGACUUCGGCGACGACGUCAUGGACGGCGGCUCCGACGCCCAGCGUCGCAAGAAGAGAUACCACCGCCACACCCCGCGCCAGAUUCAGCAGCUCGAGGCGUACGUGCACCCCGGCUGAUUUUCCCUCCCUCCCUUCCUUAAUUAUCUAGUGAUUGAUUAGCUGUAUCUGUUCGUUUUGGAUGCUUUGCUCAAAUGGCGGCGGCGUUUGUCUGUGCCGUGUGCGCGCGCGCAGGAUGUUCAAGGAGUGCCCGCACCCGGACGAGAACCAGCGGAUGCAGCUGAGCAGGGAGCUGGGGCUGGAGCCCCGGCAGAUCAAGUUCUGGUUCCAGAACCGCCGGACGCAGAUGAAGGUUGUACAGUAGUAGACUCGCCAUUGUUACCGGCCUUCUCUCCGUCCCUUGGCUGCGGCAUCCUUUUCACGUUUCUUCAUAACAUCUCCGUUGGUGUUGGGUGCUCUAUUUGAUUCGCGCUCCUGUUUGAGAUGACGGCCAUUAACUAUGGUGUCGAUUGUUUGUUCGACCGCUGGAUGGUACUGCAGGCACAGCACGAGCGGCAGGACAACUGCUUCCUGCGCGCGGAGAACGACAAGAUCCGGUGCGAGAACAUCGCCAUGCGGGAGGCCCUCCGCACCGUCAUCUGCCACACCUGCGGCGGUCCGCCCGUCACCGACGACUACUUCGACGAGCAGAAGCUGCGCAUGGAGAACGCGCGGCUCAAGGAAGAGGCAAGCCACCUCGCAUUCUCCAGCCAUUUUAUCUACAUUCUCCGGCCGGCCUUCCCCAUUUUAUCCUUCUCUCGUUUUCACACGGCGGCGACGUGGCACGCGUUUCAUGUGAUCGAUGUGCAGCUUGACCGGGUGUCCAGCCUGACGUCCAAGUACCUGGGGCGGCCCAUCACGCAGCUGCCGCCGGUGCAGCCGCUGUCCAUGUCCUCGUCGCUGGACCUGUCCGUCGGCGGGCUCGGCAGCCCGGCGCUGGGCCCGUCGCUGGACCUCGACCUCCUCAGCGGCGGCUCCUCCGGGUACCCUCCGUUCCACCUCCCGAUGACGGUGUCGGAGAUGGAGCGGCCCAUGAUGGCCGAGAUGGCGACGCGCGCCAUGGACGAGCUCAUCAGGAUGGCGCAGGCCGGCGAGCACCUGUGGGUCAAGACGGCGGGCGGCGGCCCUGACGGUCGCGAGGUGCUCAACGUCGACACGUACGACAGCAUCUUCGCCAAGCCCGGGGGCUCGUUCCGCGGCCCCGACGUGCACGUCGAGGGCUCCCGCGACUCGGGCCUCGUCUUCAUGAGCGCCAUCGGCCUCGUCGACAUGUUCAUGGACUCGGUAAAGUUUAUUUUCUGCUCCGGCCGGCUGCCUGUAAUGUACAGUAAUUAAUAGCUGUUGAUAAUCGUUACGUGAUUAAUAAGACAUGUCUAUCUAGCAUUAUUACUGUUCGCACCUACCACGUCGUAAGCGUGACGUGCACGGUCGUCUUUGUUCUCGCAGAGCAAGUUUACGGAGUUCUUCCCUGCCAUCGUGUCCAAGGCGCGCACGAUGGACGUCCUCGUGAACGGCAUGGCCGGGCGGAGCGACUCUUUGGUUCUGGUAGGGCAGUUGAUCCUCCCGAUCCAUCUCUCCCUCUUUUGUCACGUUCGCAUGCACGGGCCGUCUGCCUUGAUGCCACUCACCACUGAUUCUUGCGUGCUUAUUCGUGCGUGUCGCCGCGCAUGCAGAUGUACGAGGAGCUGCACAUGAUGUCGCCGGUCGUCCCGACGCGCGAGUUCUGCUUCCUCCGCUACUGCCGGCAGAUAGAGCACGGGCUAUGGGCGAUCGCGGACAUCUCGGUAGACCUGCAGCAGCGCGACGCAAGGUUCGGUGCGCCGCCAUCGCGCUCGUGCCGCCUCCCGUCGGGAUGCCUCAUUGCUGAUAUGGCCGAUGGCUCCUCCAAGGUACUGUAGUUAAAGUGCAUUUUUGCGUCGCCAUUGCCAUUUCCAUUCAUGUGCGUUGCCGCUGCACGUGUGCGUAUAUCUAUGGUACGGAGUCGUGGCUCGCGUGACAUUUUCGUGCAUCAGGUGACCUGGGUCGAGCACAUGGAGAUCGAGGACAGGGUUCCCAUCCACCUGCUGUACCGCGACCUCAUCCUCAGCGGCGCCGCGUUCGGGGCGCACCGGUGGCUCGCCGCGCUGCAGAGGGCGUGCGAGCGGUGCGCGUGCCUAGCCACGGCCGGCAUGCCGCACCGGGACAUUGCAGCUGCAGGAGGUGUGUUUGUAUUUUUCGGCAUGCAUAUAAUAUAUAUACUCCUAGUGUAAAUCUCAUCGAUCAGAAGCUGCUAAUUAAUAUAUUGCAGUGACGCCGGAAGGGAAGCGGAGCAUGAUGAAGCUGUCGCAGCGGAUGGUGAGCAGCUUCUGCGCGAGCCUGAGCGCGUCGCAGCUCCACCGGUGGACGACGCUGUCGGGGCCCAACGAUGUGGGCGUCCGCGUCAUGGUGCACCGCAGCACGGACCCGGGGCAGCCCAGCGGCGUGGUGCUCAGCGCUGCCACGUCCAUCUGGCUGCCGGUCCCGUGCGACCGGGUGUUCGCCUUCGUCCGCGACGAGCACACGCGCUCCCAGGUCCGCCGCGACGCCACGCCUUCCAUUCGGUCCGUCCGUCCGCACCGCAGGGGCGGCGAGUCGCGUUCUAUCUAGCUAGCGUGCCACCACGCUCACGUCUCCUGCUCGUUUAACUUUGCUUGCAGUGGGACGUGCUGUCGCACGGCAACCCGGUGCAGGAGGUGUCGCGCAUCCCCAACGGCUCCCACCCUGGAAACUGUAUCUCCUUGCUCAGAGUAAGCAUGCAUCGCAUUUGCAUUCGCGCGUGCAUCUCUCAUCUGAUGCCUGACUUUGCUAUUACUAGGGCCUUGUUUACUUCCCAAAAAAUUUUGCAAAAUUUUUCACAUUCUUCGUCACAUCAAAUCUUUAGACGUAUGCAUGGAGUAUUAAGAAAAAACGAAAAUAAAAACUAAUUGUACAGUUUGGUCGGAAUUGACGAGACGAAUCUUUUAAACCUAGUUAUUCCAUAAUUAGACAAUAUUUAUCAAGUACAAACAAAAGUGCUACAGUGUCGAUUUCCCAAAAAUUUUCGGAAGUAAACAAGGCCUAGCUAGUGCCGUGCACUAGUACGUACGUGUCAACGAAUGGCAUCCGCGGAUGCACGUGUUUUAUAUAUGUGGUGUUAGUUACUCCAUUGACCACAAGUAAACUAAUAACGUGUCUGAUGAGAUGCCAUGUGGCGGCAAUGCACAUGUGUGUGUAGGGCCUGAACGCGAGCCAGAACAGCAUGCUGAUCCUGCAGGAGAGCUGCACCGACGCGUCGGGCUCGCUGGUGGUGUACGCGCCGAUCGACAUCCCGGCGGCGAACGUGGUGAUGAGCGGCGAGGACCCGUCGGCGAUCCCGCUCCUGCCGUCCGGCUUCACCAUCCUGCCCGACGGGCGGCCCGGCGCAUCGUCGUCGUCGUCGAGCGCUGCCGGUGGCACGCUGGGCGCGACGGCGGCGGCCGGGUCGCUGGUGACGGUGGCGUUCCAGAUCCUGGUGAGCAGCCUGCCGUCGUCGAAGCUGAACGCCGAGUCGGUGGCGACGGUCAACAGCCUCAUCAGCACCACUGUGGAGCAAAUUAAGGCGGCCUUGAAUUGCGCCAGCCAUUGAUGAAGCCCCGGCCCGGGCGAUGGAUCCAUGGAAUUGAUGCGUGCCUGCCCUGCGUGCAUGCAUGCAUGCCGGCCGCAUGCACGCGUAGGUCUCCUCUCCUCGCCCCCGGCCGGCCGCCUGCCGCUUGCCUGCUGCUGGCUGCUGCGAGGAAUGAAUUCCCUUCAAGGCGUUGGUUCGCGACGGGGUUCUUGGUUGGUUGGGGGGCUUCAAUGCUGCCCAUUCAAGGAGGCGGGGCUGCUGCCAUGGUGUCGCCCGCUUGGGGUUCACCUGCCGCUGUUGCUGCGCCGUCCGAUCACCCCAUGCAUGAUCAUCAUUCAGCUCUCUCGCUCUCUCUCUCUCUCUCUCUCUCUCUCUCUCUCUCUCUCUCUCUCUCUCUCUCUGCCACUCAUGCAUGCAUGAUAACGUUUCCUCUUGCUCUAGGUGUCCGGUCCCUGUUAAGUACAGGAUUUGAAGCUUGCUUGCUGGCGAGGCUUUGCAUGAAACGGAGGAGUCAAGAACGCACCAUGCUCGUCACAUUCCUCUUGCUGCCGUCACUCACGUUCGGUUGUUAAUUAAAUUCAAUUCCAUUCCCUCUUUUGUGUCUCCCCCCCCACAUCUCCAUAGUUUUUGCCACCCAUUUGCAGUCUCCCAUUCUGUAGUUUGUAGCAGUUUGCAGCAGAGGAUGAUGAAUGGUUCGGGUAUUGACUUCUGUCUAAUGGUGUUAAGCCUUCAAUGAUAUCAUUAAUUCUCUCUAUUUUCCUAGUAAAGAUAAUUUAAGGCAAAUAUCACUGUCACAGCUUUGAUUGUUUCUUUUUCUUCUCUCGCUCACUGCUUCAGUUAAGGCCUUCAAUAUUAUUUGGCUCGUGGAAUCUGUCAUGAUUGCGGUUAUAUAUGAGCUAGCUGGUUGUCGAUUUCUGAACAGGCUUUUGUGAUGUGCGCACACUACUGCCAGCGGUCGUUACUCUGCUGGCUGGCUGGGGGUGUCCAUGCACCUAACACCUCAUCAGUAGGAGUAUUAUCUGUCCGCGAUGCAAUGCAAAAUGAGGGUGUACGUGAUGUUCGGGGUGGAGAAUUAAGAGGCUGCCUGCAGGGCGCAGGCUGUAAGUAGGGGCCGCCAUUGAAUUGAAUCGCGACGUUGCGAUGCUCGCGUCGCCUCCUCCCCGUCCCCGGCCCUUGCAAUUGCUCUCUUUUAAUACGGGUGGUUGCCAUUCCCCUGCCAGAAUUAAGCGAGGCUACAGCCUACAGCGGACGGCGACGACGAGAUGAGCCAGCAACCCGUAUUAGUACUAGCUUGGCUAGCGUUCCCCACAGCCACGCACCCCCCGCACCUUGUUGCAGCCCAUCGAUGCACUGGGUUGCUUGCUGCACGCCUCCAUGGCUCUCUACAAGCUACUCAAAAGGACCUAUCAGAUCACAGUGGCUCCCUCCGACGCGCCCUUGGCUUGGAAUUGCUGCUGGGGUCCGUCCGGCAGCGGCAGCCUCUCCCGGCGCCGCGCAUCAGUACGUGGAGCGCGUCGCUCUCGAUCGGCUUCUUCAUUCAGGCGGGCCAUGAACACACCCCUUGAGUUUAUUUGCCAACAUGUGUCGUAAGCACGGCGAUGCUCCGGGUAUUGAAUGGCGCAAUCAAUUUGCCAUGCUGUUGCGACAGCGUCGUCGAUCGAUCGAGCAGAGCGCGCGCGCGCGCCCCUAUCUAAUUUGUCAUUAUCGAUCCCAUUUUUUCGGCGUCCGGGAGCUGGAAUCGUUGUUGGCUUGCUCGUCUUCAUCAAUGCCGGCCGGCCGGGAAUGGCCUGGACUGGCCUGUGUAGUGUGUGCGUGUGUGUUCUCCAUCCCAGGCACCCGCGCGGCUCAUUCAUUUUGCAACAUGCACGCACCCGCCCCGUCGUCCCGCUCGUCUGUCGCCGUAUUCCCCUGGUCCUGCUCCGUGGUGCUAGGUGCAUGCUCUGGCCUCCGUUGACGCCCAAUGAUGUGUCGCAUGCAACGGAAGUGUUGCCUGCCUCGCGCUGCAUGCUUGCUGUUGACAGCCAUGGCACUCCUACUGCUGCUAAGCCCAAGAACAUGAAUGAUACUUUUUUUUUAAUCCAACAUACCUAUAUUGAUAGUUAAGGAUACUUAUAUAAGGACUCGUACAAAUACAGAUACAUUGAAAAAGGAUACAGAAGACAGCUUUUCUGUGGAAAAACCACAAAACACAACCAUGGAGACGAAGACGGUCGGUAGAUUCGCUCGCGCGCGGUUUAAAAAGGAAAAAGUCCACUUUAGGUCCCUCAACUUUCGCAAAAGUCUGUUUUUCAUCCCUGAACUUUAAAACCGGGUAAAAUACAUCCCUCAAUUUUUGAAACCAUACAUAUUACGUCCCUAACAUGAUUAUGAACGGUUUUAAAGGCAGUUUUGUCUUUUUCAUUUUUAUUUAUUUUGGCUGAAUAUUUGUAAAUUAUAGUAAAUCACAUUAAAUUCAUAAAAUAGUAAAUCUGAAUUUGUUGGACUCCAAAUAAGUAGAUCUACACAAUGAACAUAUAAUAUGGUAUGCUUUAGUAGAAAGUUUUUGUUGUAGCUUUAGAUAUGUGUUUUUCUAUAAUUAAUUAGAAUAGUUCAUAGCUAUAGUUUAUAUGGUCCAAUUAUGAUGAAUUUUUUAUGUUGGGCUAAUUAUUAUAUGUUUAAAUUGUGGUAAAAAUUUAAUACUCAUUAGAUCAUGUAUAACCUAGUUAUAGAUUUAUUAAGAUUUAACAAGCAUAAACCUAAAUAAAUCUAUAACUAAGUAAUACAUGUUCCAAUGAGUAUGAAAUUUUUACUACAACUCAAUCAUAGAAUAAUAGCCCACCAUAUAAAUUUCAUCACAAUUGGACCAUAUAAACUGUAGCUAUAAUUAGUCUAAUUAAUUACAGAAAAGCAUAGAUCUAAAGCUGUAUUAAAAAAAUUUAUACUAAAAUAUACUAUAUUAUAUAUUUAAUAUGUAGAUCUACUCAUCAGAAGUUCAACAAAAUUGAGUUUUCUAUUUUAUGAUUUUUAUGUGAUUUACUAUGAUUUUUCAAAAAAAAAAUCAGCUAAAUUAAAUAAAAAGAAAAGGACAAAACCGCUUUCAAAACCAGGCCAAGGAUGUAAUGUGCACGGUUUUAAAAGUUGAGAGAUGUAACUUAUCUGGUUUUAGAGUUCAUGGAUAAAAAUUAGACUUUCGUGAAAGUUAAGGGACCUAAGUGGACUUUUUCCGUUUAAAAACUAGAUACAUGACAUGGGCCUAAAGUUGGGGUUGGGCUGAUCUCCAUGUCAGCCCACAAUACGCUAUCGGGCCCCGGCCCAUUGAAGUCCGAAGGAAGCUAGCUGCUCGAUAGUACAAGUACGUCUUUGCUGUUUGCUCAUUUGAAGUCUGAACGCAACGGUCUGGUGUUAGACAAAAUUUUCAGAAACGGAUUCGUUUACAAAAACGUGCCGAUCACUCAUAGUUUGCCAUUGAUGGCGACAUGGCGUGGAUGAUGGAUGGAUCGCGAUGCUGCUCAUAAAGUGGCGCCGCGCAUUUUUGCCCGAGUAGCCCAAAGGCCACAAUCAGUUGAACGAAAAUGGAGUACCAAAGCCCGGGCUUUCUGCCAACACCUGGGUGGCACGCAGUUUAUUACACACGAAAGCGACUUUUAUAUUCACAAGAAGCUGAUCUCCAGUUGUCGUUUUCGAUAUUUUUCCUGACCCUUCCACUUUUCUUUAUUUAUAUUAAAAAAAGACUUUUCGUCAUUUGUCACGGUUUUAUUAGAAGGAUAUAAAAACAAGAAAAGAAGGAGCAAAAGUAUAACUGGGUUAAUGGAUAUCCUCACAACCCGCCCGCCCACGCACCACCACCACCACCACCACACGACUAUAAAAAAGCUACAUUGAACAGCACAAAAAGACAGCUAGAUAAGCGAUUGCACCAUUGACCUAGAACAUCCAUAUGUAGCGUCAAGUGGUACUGCCAUAUGUUAUACUGGCAAAGAGAUGCUACUUGACAAGGUUGCAACUUAUUUUGCUUGAAGGUUCUCCUGUUUUUCUCUCUUUCCAAAUAUUCAACCGGUAGGCCAGGAGUUAACAAUGAUCCCAUUGAAGGAUUUUUCAGUAUCUUUGUUGAAUUUUGCAUGAUAUUUGUGUUGAUACAAGGAUCAGAUUGACGAUCAUCAAGCCAAACCAACUACAAAUAAAAUGACAAGGUUUGCUUAGUAAAACAACAAUUCUUGCAUAAGUACGUGAGUCGGAGUUUCCAUUUGGAUGCAUCUAUGUUAGCAAAGAUAGUUAGUGGCGAAACCGGGGGGCUAGCAGGGCCGUGCCCCCCCCCCCCCCCACAUAGUGAAAAAAAAAUUAGUAUAUUUGUAAAUAUUUUGCAAAAAUUGUUGAGACAUAUGCUUGAUGUAAAUAUUUACCAUCGUGUUUAUCUAGCCCCUUAAUCAAAAGUCCUGAUUCUGCCACUAAAGAUGGUCACAUCACCCGCAUAAAGCAAAGCAUAUAAGAUUUACUGUUCUUGGAAGGUCUGGUUUAGCCUGGUAAAGAUUCGUGAAGAGGACGUUGCUAGGAUAGAAGAAAUCCAGUCUCUCUACUUCAAGCUAAAAUUAACCCCAAGGCCAGAAAACUUCUAGCUAGGAUAGAAGAUUUCGCCAACUGAUCGUGUCAAACGUUGGCGAAAAAAGCUGAUCGUGUCUAAAGCCUUUAAAAUAUUUAGCUCGAUAAACAAGACUUGUUUGGGGCUGCUCGAGUUCAGAGUUCAGACCAGCUAUGAAUAAUCUGCAGGGCCAUAACACAGCUGCCAUUGCAUGCAGUGUAAUGGCAUGUCCGAACAGUGAAGGCGACAGCUGAGAACUCAUGAUUAAGCCUGCUUCUUUGGAGGGCAAAGGAGGAAAAGAAAAACCAGACAGCCUUUCAGGCUUUCAGCUACCCUUGACAGGAAGCUAGCUAGCUGGUUUGUGGACCCAUCCAACGCAAUCUGCAAGUAAUGAUCAUGCAACAUGCCAAGAAAUGUACAUGCAAGUAUAGUGUACAUGCAACAUGCUGGUCCCAGAUGAUGGACUCAAUCACUCAACAUGGCUGGAUUGCAUCAUACACGUAUACAGCAGCAGACACCAGCAUUAUAUAGGUGCGUACUACAUUUCGGCGUCAAUUAAGCAUUUAAGCUGUGAUCCAGCGGCCAAUAGCCAUGCAAUCCCCCUUAACUCUCCCAGCUAGAUCGACAUGGGCAUGCAGGACAUGGCAGGGCAGCUAGCCGGCUUGCUCGGCCGAUGAGCUGCUGCCGUCCUCCUGCCUGCAUGAGUGCUAAUCUAAUCAGACAGCGAGCUACUCCUCCAGCCUCCAGACGGUCCGGUACUCCAGUCCACAAGGGUAGGACAGGACUGCCUGGUGCCUGCGAGGUCAUGUUGCAGAGAGGACAUGCAGCCUGGUCCAUUCCUCCUCCUCCACGGUUAAUUACUCCAUGAAUCCCUUGAUAGCAAGUAUUAUAGUAGGCUGUAAGCCGGCUAAAUGCUGAGGUGGAGGAGAGAGAGUAAAAGCGGGCUGUAAGCUUACAGCCGGGCUCAGACACAAAAACCAAGAAAGACUGUGAGACAGACAAGUGGGCCAUGUAUUAAUAGUGAUGAGCUAACCAUUAUAUGACUGGGCUGCAAGAAGGCUGUAAAGAAGUCUUACAGCCAGCAGCUGACUGUAUUAUAAUACUUGCUCUGAUAGGGUUUAAGCUUGCUGGAUGUACUGCGACCGCGAUUAUGGCGCUGCGGCGGUCGCAGGCUCCGUGGACUGCAAAGUGAUUCGACGAUGACCGGUGAAUCUCCCUAGCAGGUCGACAAGAUCUCAGCACGGAAAAGGGUAAAAGGUUCCCGUGUCGGAUCGAGAGGAUUCAGGUUUGCUCGGGACGAGGGUCAUUUCCUUUCCCUUUUCAGGCGAUCGGCGACGCGAUCACGCGAGUCAGCGACAGGGAUCAGAUGCCGGCGGGCGCCCGAUCGAGAUAGCUCGGGUUUGCCGGAGAUCGUCCUGGCCCUUCUGUUCUGAAUUUGGAGCGCAUCCAUCUUCAGAAGAAUCAUGUGUAAUUGCCGAUUGCCGUUUCAACUAUUACAUCCAGGUAUCCAACAACCAUCGCCUGCGAGGUACAAUUUGAUUUUCAUAUACAGUAUUACGCGCUAAAAAUGGAGUGUCAUUGCAAUUCACCGGCCGGACAACAGCUGUACUUGACAAAAAGAAAACGCGAAUUCACUUGAAACACGUACAGGAGUUCAGGAUAGAUGCAGCUCCAUGUACCAUACAUAUAAGCUACAUGAACUGAUGUGUAAUUUGAGGCAUUUAAGGCUUCUGUGUGAUGGCUCCAGUCUUGUUAAUUUAAGCCACGUCAUUAUAACUAGCCCCUGCAAGGUCUCAGUUAUGCUCCACAAAAAUGCAGUCUGUUUAAGUUUAAUGAGGGCCGGGGUGAACGCAGAUCCUCAGUACGGACCACAAAUAAUUGUGGAGACAUAUUUGACGUUACUUGCAGAGCAGCUUGGACACCACAUAUUUUCAAUUUCAUUAGCCAAAUAUAAGCAGAGUUAAUAUGAUCUGGCUUGAUAUCCAGAAACAUGUAUGGGAUUCCCAUCAAAUCCAAUAAACUAGACACGAAAAAAAGGAAACGAGGAGAUGUCUUUUGAAGAACUUAUGGUGACACAUUGACCCUGACGUCCAUUGCUCGCCCCCCCCCCUGAGAAUAUCAUUCUUCUGCAACUGAUGCUAAUGUUGACGCUGGUAUUGAUUUGUUGUGAAAAGCAUACUAUUCUGUAGCUGAAAAAAGUACGACUGUUCCUGGCUGAUAAGUUCAUAUCUGAAAAUAAAGUGGGAGAACUUUAGUUCAGCCUUGCUAAUUGAAGUGAAGGUUGCCACGUUCAAAUAUGAAAGCCAUCUCCUUCUUUAUCCAAAUCUGGUGUGGAGAGAGAGAGAGAGAAAGGCUUACUUAUAUUCUCCAUGUCCAAAUCAUACGAAAGCCUUGCUUAUAUAUAUUCCACGUUCAAAUAUGUUCUUGCUUGGCUGAUAAGUUAUGACUGAAUGUACUGUUGGCUGAUUUAUUAUGAGAGAAAAAUAUUGUUGAAUGGUUAGCAGAUUCGGCAGAUAAGCUCAAGCGAACAAAUGGUACUAGAAAUCUGUUUCUUCAGUACUGUUCUGUUUUUUCUUAAAAUUAUUUCUCUCUUUCUCUAUAUACUUCAAAUUCUCAGAUAUUUCCUCCUUUGACCAAAACUUGGAGACCACUGGCCACAUUGCCGCCCAGGAACCAUAGACAGCUGGAUCAGAAAUCAGUUUUGCUCAUCAAUUGGUUGAAUAAUAAGUUGCAGCCUUGCAGGUACAGAAAUGCCAUUUUAGGCCCUCAUCAAUUAGAAAUUCCAGUUUUAGUUAAAAUAUAUAUCAAUUUAUUAGCAUAAAGUUAUUUUGAAAUAUAAGAUAAUAUUAUCUCUCCAUCCCACAAAAUAUGUAUGUCUAAAAAUAUGAAAUUAUGCAUGUACCCCUGCUAUCUUUCUCUCGACACACGCCUCGAACUCAAAAGAACCAAUUACAUGUGUAUCAACCAUCUAGAACCUUCACUGAAAGUGUAGAAACAUGUUUUUUCAAUUGCAUAUGUAUUUUUAUUAAUGGGUCCCACCAUAAAUCUUAUCUCUAAUUUAGAAUUACAUGUUUUCUGAGAUAAAGAUUUAAACUUCAGGAUCAUAUGUUUUUUUUCUAAUCCUAUGUUUUUCGCGACGGACUGCGUUUCGGUGGAAUAUAUAAGCCCCCUUUAGGCCCUCAACACCUCUCUAUCUAUCUAAUUUUGGCCCAGGUUAUUUCACAGCUCAUUGUACGUCUCUCCGCUUUAUCUAAGGUCGGCCCCAUAUAUCUAUGAAGUAAAAAGAAGCCCAUAUAUUUUCCAAAAAAAAAGAAGCCCAUAUACCAAAGGCGUCCGCCCAUAGAGGCCUCAUCGCCGGUCGCUUCGAAGAGGCUUGGAGCCGAGGACCCCAGCGGCAGCGCCCCUCCCGCUCGACAGCUCGAACCCGCCAUGGAGCCCUCGCCGGAGCCUUCGCCGCCGGUCACCACGGCCACCUUCCCCGCUGCCGGCGAAGGACACGAGACGUACCCGCCCACGGUGUCAUCCUCUCUAUUCCCACUUUUCCCCCUCUCUGCCUCCAGCUCCUCCGCUCCCACAGCCGAAUCCCAGUGGCUUUCAAACCCUAGCUUCUCCUUCGAUGCCUCCUCCCUGAACGUCCCGGCUACCACCUCCUCGUCGCUCCCGCCACCGCUAAGCCCCUCGUCCGAUGAGGACACGCCGCUGCAGCGCGCCCCUGCGAAAUACGAGCUGGUGCCUUCGUCGCCGUCCUCCGACGAGGAGAGGGGGUCGCGGAGGAAGGAGAGUGGGAGGAGGAAACGGAGGCGCGAGAAGGAGCGCUAUGAUGGGGCAGCGGCGUCGCGGAAGGCUGUGGUUCGCACCUGGGCUGGGUCGCAGACGAAGCCAGCUAAGGAUUACUAUGUCGACGCGAAGGGCGACCAUGAUAACCUGGCUUUUGGAUCACUUUACAGGUCUGAUCGUGAACUAUUUAAUGCAGCAUACAAAUCUAAUUUCUGUUCUGUAGCAAAUCUAUGGUGUUGAAUUCGUGUUUAGUUUCCUGAAGUUAUUUAUUUGUUACAUGCUGACGUGUUCAGAAAUUUUAGUGUGAGAUCAAAUGUCUCAAUAUCAGUAAUUCAGUAGUAUUUCAAAACGUCGCAGAGACCUGCCCUAGGCUAACCAAGUUGUCUAAAAUCCUAGGCCUAGUUAUUUGUACACGGGAUUCUGAAAUGUUCUCCACUAAACCCAGAAUGAUGACUGCAAUCCCCUGCCAAGUGCAGGGUUGGACUAGCAUUUUGAAUAUACUUUACGCGUUAACCAUGGUUCAUUCUAUGCAACUUUUGCACAUUCCGUACUUGUGUUUGAUACAUCUAGAAUAAUCUAAUAUCAGAUUAUUUCAAAGGCUGUUGAAUCAACAUAAUGAUAUGACGCGCCAUGUCUUCAUCGUUGGUAACACUACAGCAUGUUUAUAUGAAGUGAUUGAGCUUGAAAUUGUACCACAGAAUAAUAUAAUACAAAUACUGUAAACUCUGUUUAAAUUACUCCCUCCAAGCAAAUACUUGAGGUUUUGGGCAAUGGCACAGAGUCCAUACAUAGCUUUGACCAAUAUUUUCUAUUAGAGUAUAAAUGAACUUGUAAAAACUUAUGAUUUCAUAAAAAUGUACCUUUCAAGGCAAAUUGACACAUAUGACCUUCAAAAUUUUGAACAAGAUACUUUAAAAGUUGAACUCAAUCCUUGUUCAAAACAUCGAGUAUGUACAAACCAGAGGGAGUACAUGAACAAUUGAUUUGAUCAACCUUUAACACUACUGUAUAGUUAGCUAUUAUCUUCUACAGAUGUCAGAAAAUAGCACAAAUUUAGCUACUGACAUUUCUGGUUUUUUAUAUAGACCUGGUACUUUCUAUCUCCAACUGAUGCACUGGUUUCUCAUCCCUAGUCUGUUUUAACACAAAUUAGGAGUCACAAUCUUCAAAAUCAGCAUAUCAUUGAACCCCCUUUGGUUGAGAAAUAUGCAUUGCCACUGUUGGAUUGUUAGCACCAAUGAAGGCGAGUGUAUAAGUAUAACAUGAAUCCCAAUUAAAGCUUGUAAUAUUUGGACUACCACCAAGCUACAAAAGUUUAUGUAUUCAUUUCAUGGCCUGGUUAGAAUAUCAUUACUUACCUAUGACUGAUAGUUAUUACCAGAUCUUAAAUCUUCUGUUUCAGUCUUGUUUACUUGAACUUGUUUUGUUAGCACAUCUUGACAUGCUAUUCACUGAAGUCUAACACCUCAAGGACAUCUGCAGAAUGGAUGUUGCACGCUACAGAUCCCAGAACAUGCUGGAGGCACUUGGUUUAAAUCGUUUGAGGUUUGGUUCAUCACAUAUUGAUUUUGAUUCAGACUUGGAUGGAAUAGAUAACAAAGUAAGAGCUGGAGGCCGUUACUAUUCAGCAAAAAAUGCAGUUUUUGAAAGAAAUAGGGGUUUCAAGCAUCUGAAACUAUUUAAGGGAAACACCUCUGUAAUGCUUGCUGAAGAUUUUGUCCCCUUUGAUACACAAUCACUUCCUGUGAAAAGCACAGCUGCGGAACAGGAGCUAGAGGAAUCUUGGGAAGAUGAAAUACUUCGUCGGACUAGGGAAUUCAAUAAGAUGUCUCGUGAACGUCCUCACGAUGAAAAAGUUUGGCUGGCCUUUGCUCAAUUUCAGGUAUCAUGAAUUUCUAUGGUUUUAUUUAUGAUGUUUCUUGCAAGAAGCUAUGCUUAUUCUGCCUUAGUGCUACAUUGUCAGUUAUUUGGCUCAAUUCAUUCUGGGACAAAAAGUUUGUUCUUAGAAAUGAAAUUGUACAAUUUUGACUCACCACUAGAGUUUUGUUUCACUCAUUAUUUCACACUUCUCUUCUGCAAUUUCCUUUGCCGCUGAACUACAGGACAAAGUUGCUAGUACUCAGCCACAAAAGGCUGCUCGUUUACAAACUACUGAAAGGAAAAUUAGCAUAUUGGAGAAGGCUGUGGAGCUUAAUCCAGAUAGUGAGGAAUUAUUGCUUUGCCUUCUGAAGUCAUAUGGCAAGAGGGACAGCACUGAGACUCUAUUGGCUAAAUGGGAGCAAGUACUUACGAAGCAUCCAUGUAGCUGUAAGUUGUGGAAACAGUAUCUGCUUCUGUGCCAAGGGGAAUUCUCCAGAUUCAAAGUUUCUGAAAUUCGGAAGUCCUACGUGUAUGCUGUACAGGCUCUAUCUGCAGCUUGCACCAAGCUAUGUAGGCAGGUUUAACUUCAAUGUCUCUCUGUAAACUACUUUGUCUGUAUCCCAUACCCCUACGAACUGAAACGUCGAUAAUGGUUUCUCUCUCUUUUUUGUACACAGGAUAAUGAAAGCAUGGAUUCCAAAUCUUCUUCCUUAGUUCAGCUAGAAGUGGGGUUAGUGGAUAUAUUUGUUAAUCUGUGCCGAUUUGAGUGGCAGACAGGACAUCGGGAAUUAGCAACUGGGCUAUUUCAGGCGCAAAUGGAGUUUAGCUUAUUUGCCCCUCCUCUGUAUCUGACGACAAGCAGUAAGCAAAGGCUCUUUGAACACUUCUGGAACAGUGGCGGCGCCAGAAUAGGGGAAGAUGGAGCUCUUGGAUGGUCUGAAUGGUUAGCAAAAGAUGAGGAGAGUAGACAGAAGUUGUCUAUGCAAGAAAAUUCACAAGAGACUGAAACAGGAGGCUGGAGUGGUUGGUUUGAUCCUUCUGUGGGUAAUACUGACGCAAAUGAUUUGUCAAACAAAUCACUGGAACCAUCAUUGAGCGAUGGAAAUGAUGCCGAAGAUCUUGAUGCUGAGGACUCACCUGCACAAGAUGAUGUUGAAUCCUUGCUAAAAAAGCUUGGUAUCGAUGUAGAUGCAGAGUCCAAUAGUGAAGUUAAAGAUGCAGAAACCUGGAAUAGAUGGGCCUUGAUGGAGUUGUCUCGGGACAAUGAGCAAUGGAUGCCUCUUCAUGAAAAUUCUGGUGAUGCUCCAUCUGGGGAAGACAAUGACCAGCUUUCCAGAGUAAUUUUGUUUGAGGAUGUAUCUGAGUUCCUGUUUUCGCUAUCUUCAGAGGAGGCCCGCUUUUCUUUGAUGUGCCAAUUUAUUGAUUUUUAUGGUGGCAAAAUCUCAAGAUGGUAUUCUUUUUACUUUCUUGCUUAUAUAAGCUAUGAUCAUCCUCUUGACACAACAGAAAAUUAGUGAAGACAUUCUUUCACUGGAGAUGUGUUCAAACACAAAGUUAAUAUAUUGUAUCAAUGACUCUUUUUCCCCCAUAACAUAGUGCAUAUGUCAUGCAUGUAAGUUCAGUUUUUGUUGUCAAAACCCAUUCCUUAUAAGCCAUGGAGAUAUGCUUUCAGCCAUUUUUUAUGGUCAGCCUAUAUGUGCAAAAGGAAUUGAUUUUGCCAUUUGCCAAUUUGGUGGGAGGCGCCCCUACCACCCUGGUAUGGGUCCUUGAAUUGGAAUUGGAUGCUUUUAUUCUUAACUUAACCCAGUUCCUUUUAUGUACUCUCAUUUUUAGUCCACGGUCUUAAAAAUUCAUAGAAUGUAAUGGUAUCCCUAGUUGCUUACGAUAUGACAAUAUAUUAUCUAAUAUCAGGAGCUAUUUGUUGGUCCCUACUAAUUAUUUUGUUCAUGUCAUGUGCUGGAGUAUUGGUUAUAAGUGUUACUUCUGUUUGUUUUAACUCUUUGCAAACAUACGUCAAUCUAAAGUAGUGACAGAAAACUGUCUAUGUAAUUUUUCCUCAGUUAUGAACUUUGAUAUUAUUAUUGGUCAGUGAAUUCACCACUAAUUCUUAAAUUCCAGGACAUCCACAAACAGUCCGAGUUGGCUUGAUAGAAUUUUGAGCUUAGAGAUGAUUACAAAUGACAUCCUGGAAGAUCUAAGUGCUGUAUCUGACGUUGUAAACAAGAACCAAAGUUCAUAUAGUUACAAAUUGGAAUCAUUACUGGGAAGCAUGCAUGACCUUUCACAAAGGCCAGGCCUUAUGAAGUUUCUCAGAAAUGCGAUACUGCUUCUGCUUGGUGUUUUCCCUCGUAAUCAUGUCUUGGAGGAAGCUGUUCUUGUUACUACCCAAAUGUUUGCUCCUCAAGAGAACUCCUCCUCUACUCAAGCUAACGCAUCACGGGCUUUGGCCAAAAGUAUGUUGAAGAAAGACAGACAGGUAUGAUUUGUUCUUUUUUUUUGUUGAAUUGCUUUGUUGAGGAGUGUAACAUGCUAAAACUCAGGUGGUAGGUGCCUAGUUGUGUGGCUAGCUAGCUAUAGAAGACAAUAACACGCUUGUCAUUUUUCGACCAGCUUAUUCAUUUGAUUAGUUUGUCAUUUGGUAGUAUUAAGUGUAAUCUGCAUCGUUUGAUGGACUGAACACAUCAUGCACUUUUGGAACUAAAAAUAAGAAAUGCAUCUAGAGAUUUGUGACAGAAUUCUAUCCUUCAUAUUCUUUAAAAUUUAACUGUACUAAUAAUUCUCUAUGUGCAUCUUUCCAGUUCUAUACAUGUUUUUAUUUCUGAAAAGAGAACUUGCAUUCACCCAGUAAAAACUGAACUGACAUGCUUUGGUUGGGAUAAUUUCACAUGAACCCAUUUAUGGAUGAUUGGUGUAAAAGUUUUACCAUAAUUGUUUGUUUGGCAGGAUUUUUUGCUUUGUGGGAUAUAUGGACGAACUGAGGCAAUGAAUGGGAACAUUGAACAAGCAAGGAAGAUAUUUGACACAGCACUAUUAUCAACUGAAGCAACUACUGAGGUAAAACUAUGAACUAUUAUAUCUAUUUUUAAGGAAGCUCACAUGGUUACUUCCAAUUAUCCUGUACUGAAUUUGCAGUUGUUAAUUGCAAUGCUGCUGGUUUAGCAUAGUUUGUUUCUUGAAUGCAUGUUUACAAGCAUGGGUUCCUGUUGUUAAGGUUUUCUCAUUUUGUCUGGGUAACAACCGUGUGCUCAGAUGAGAACAUUAUGGCUCCUUUCAGUCCAAAGUAUGUCACUUUAGGAAAUCUCUUUUGAUUUAUGAAUUGAUGCCAUUCUAGAUUUACACUGGAACCUUUUUUUUUACAGCAAAAGAGAUUUAUUGGUAGUAUUGUAGAGUUUAUUACUAGUUAUAACUGGGAGAUGGGUAUACACUUAACAUGGGCAAGCUUUAUCUAAAAUACUAAAGCACUAGCUUAUUCGUUGUUUUCUUUUACGGAGCUAACAAGUAAUUUUGACUGGAUGAAGACAAAGUAGAUUUAAGUAUCUUGAUGAUAGUGUAUUGUCUGCUCUCUUGAAUAGUCCCUCAGUUCAAACUUACAGAUCAAUUCAGUUUUGUCAUAAAGUCGAACUUAUGUAACUUUUACCAAGUUUUUAGAAAAAUAUAUUACCAUCUACAAAUUCAAAUAAAUGCACUAUCAAGAUAUUUCAUGGAGAAUUUAAUGAAGCUAAGUUGUUUAGAUGUAUUAUUUCUAUGAACUUGGUCAAAGUUAAAGAAGUUGUCUUAGGACAAAGCUGAAGUGACCUAUAAUUUGGAACGGAGAGAGUAAAUCUCUUUAAGGAGGUAAUGCUAUUGGCAAUAAGCUAUAUCAGCAACACUGUUAUUUCGGUUACAGAUGGCACUAGCUUCAUGGUCAAGUCCCUUUAUUUCAAGUAGAAUAAUUUUGUUUGUACUAAUUGUGCAUUAAUGGUCAUUGCCUUUGCUGGGCAGGAUCUUAGGAAGAAGGUUCCUAUCCUUUAUCUUUGGUAUUCUGAGAUGGAGAUAACAGUGUCCGCUUCAAGAAACAACUCUGACUCAAUGCAUCGUGCAGUUUACAUCCUAUCCUGCUUAGGGAGCAAUCUAAAAUAUUCCCCUUUUGUUAGCCCUAUUUCAAGGCUUCAGGUCUUGAAGGCUCGCCAAGGGUUUAAAGAGCAGAUUAGAAGCUUACAAUCUGCAUUUUCCUGUGGUCAUAUAAAAGAAGAAUCAGUUGCUCUGAUCUGCUCAGCUUCUUUGUUUGAAAGCAUGACAACAGGCUGUUCCUCGGGGCUUGAAGUGAUAGAGGAGACCUUCCCAAUGGCACUUUCAGGUCUAGCAUCCUUCUCAUUUUCUUAUAUUGCUAGAUUUUUGUGGCAUUAUUUUAAGCUUCUAUUUGGCUAUUGUACAUGGCUACAUAUUUUUUUAUCUGCAUGAACCAAGUUUAAUCCCUCUUGUACUGGUUUGACAGUCAGAGUCAGGACUCAGUUGUUGCAUUGCACUGUAGUCACUCAUAUUUGUGUAAAUUCUGUAUUGUUUUUGUGCUGUGCUAUUCGUUUAGAGUACUCUAUGUCCUUGAUAAUUUCUGUUUUUGUUAUUUUUCUCCUUUACACCCUUUAAUUUUUCUGUUGCUUCACAAUGUCUGUGAACUGCAAAUUUGUUCUCUUCUGCCGACAUUUUCAAUUGGUAAAUGCUCUUAUAUUAAUUGUAUAUCUGUUCGGUUCAGAGAGCAGUCAUAACUUGGAGUGUGAGGAUUUGUGGGUGUACUACAUCAAACUGCUUCAGAAAAAUCUUAACCGGUUGAGUCUAUCAAGGGUCUGGCCAAGCAUAUUGCAAGGAGUGCACAAAUAUCCCUACAAUCCAAAAUCAUAUUCAGCCAUGUUAACCCUGAGCUAUCUUUACAGUGUAUCCAACAAUCUCCGUCUCACACUCGACAAAUGUAGUCAAAGGUGAAAUUUCCACUUUUUUUCCAUUUUAAUUCUCUUCAUAUUGUUCUCUUUCUUUCUUUCUUUCUUUCUUUCUUUUUUGAAGAAACCUCUUUCUUUUGUUUACCAUCAUCAUUACUUGCUGUCUCUUUGCAAAUAAAGGUGAACGUGACUCUUUUCCAUGAAUUUUUUUGUAUCUAUGUUCCAACUUCUUUUCUCUAUUCAGCUUUCAUUAAUGCAUAGCCUUGUUUUCUGUAUGCAGUUUUCAUGGGUUAUACGUGCAUUUUCUUCCAUUAAAUAUCUUGAAGCAUAUUUAUUGUUGUAUACCUGCCUUUUGACUUUGUUAUUUUUAUUUGAAUGCAACAGGGAUCCUUCUGUAAUCACCUUGCUCUUUGCUUUGUCCUUUGAAUGGAGUAAAGCCGGAUCUGACAAUAGAAUACACAGCCUCUUUGAGAGAGCUCUAGCUGAUGAUAAGUUGCAGAAGUCUGUUCUGUUGUGGCGCUGUUAUCUAGCCUAUGAGGCAGAAAUAGCCUGCAACUCUUCUGCAGCACGGCGUGUGUUCUUCAGAGCUAUACAUGCCUGUCCAUGGUAUGAUGCUGACAUGUAGUGUUCUAAUUUGAUAUUGGUGUGGUUUUAUGUCUGCCUUCCACUUCUCCUAAAUAAUUGUUAUGUAGUCAAUUGAAUAUAAACGAAGUUAUUUUAUUGUUAUGGCAUUUGAUCUACAAUCUCCUGAUACUGGCCCAUGAAAAGUUGAUCUUAUUCGAGUAUGAUAUUUCCUUUUUCAGCUGUUGAUACCCACUCAAGUGCAACCUGCUCUUUCAAUAAAGUUCCUGUAUAAGGAAAAAAAAAAUGCAGUCACUAUUAAUUUAUGUUGUCACAAUACCUGAACAGCUUAUGAACUGUUUGGGACAUGUUGCAGCUUUUGCAUUCCUUACUUCCCAUAUGAUUUGUAAAAAAAACGAUGAGGACACCAAGUGCAUUUUAGUUUCAUCCUGUUUAUAAAUUCUUUUGGCAGCUGUCAUUAUCUGAUAUUGACUAUCCCUUUAUCUGUAUUUUUUGUUGUGGUCAGUUCUGAAUGAUGAUUGGAUCCUUCUGUGGUUGCUCAUUUUAGCUUCUACUGUCUAUUCCUUAUCAAUUGUAACACUAAUUUUUUUCAGGUCUAAAAGAUUAUGGCUUGAUGGUUUCCAAAAGUUGGGCUCGGUUCUGACAUUGAAGGAGCUAUCAGAUCUCCAGGAAGUGAUGCGUGACAAGGAACUAAACAUCCGCACUGACAUCUACGAGAUACUCCUAGAAGACGAAACAGAUACAUGAUUCUGUAUUGAUCUGGUUUGUAUGAAGAUCCUGGAACUGCCUCGCAUGAUGUUGGGGAUUUGACUUUGCCCGAAAACAUAUAGCCCUGAGACUUCGGAGUUGAUCAACAAAGUUGUAUCUCAAAGUUUGCUUGCAGGAGUCAAGGGCAAAGGAGAAAUUUCGACUUCGCUUGAAACAAGCAAAAGAGGUGAAGAGAUUCAAGUGUGAAGACAACUUUUUGACUUCGCUCGACAUGCAAAGACAACAAGAUUCAGUGCAGGGACUUUCAAGUCAAAAGAUGCAAGGACAUCACUGAUGAAAGCAACUUUGAGGAUUGACAAGGUAACGCGAAGAAUGAAGUUAGAGUAAAAAGAGAACUUCGCCCCUGUAGUUUAAAGGGGUUGUAUUGAUAGAGAGGGGGUAUAAUAGUCAAUUGUAUACAAAUUGCGAAGACUAGGACCUCUAUAAAUACCUCCGCUGACAUAUAUACUGUACGAUUAUAAGGAAAUGAAAUAUAACUUUACACUUGUGUUCAAAUCUGGUGUUUGUGUGAUUAUUUCACCCAACAUCUGGCACCAGCAGGUGGGUCAUCUUCGCUCCCAGCAGCAGGUAUUUCUCUUGCUAGGCCGUCCCAUUGCUCUCUUGGGGUCAUGAGGGUCUCCGAACACACACAAACGAUUCUGCGGUGCAAAUUCUAGGCCGCAGCUUAUUCAAUUUAAAUGCAGUGGGGGGUUUUAAGCUAGUUAUUAAACUAGAGAAGGCAGCCUGCAUUGAAAACCCGAGGGUGUAUUUACAUCCGCAGCUACUAAUCUACCAUGAUUAUCCUGAGCAACAGGCAGGCAACCUAAAAAUAAUAAAAAAAGGAAAUGGUUGAUCACAUCCAUCAGCCUCUUGUUCUAAUGAUGGUUAUGGUGCCGUUUCCUCCCGUCCUGAUCUUGGUCAGGCUAACGACUGCCUUGCCGGACAGGCCCAGGCCGUGAGCCGUCACGGCGGGGCCGCACGCGAACGGGCCAACGGGGUGCCGAACUGGUCUUGCCGGUCUCUUGAGGAUUCGCUGGUUGACGUCGUCCAGCGUCGUCAUGCGGCCGUCGUCUAACCCCAGCGGCUUGACGACUGCAAACGGGUACAGCACUCCGACGCCUCUCUUCUCCUUCUCCUCCUCGGCCUCCCCUGAAACAUAUUCGAACGCAUGCAUGCAUUUUAAUAACGAACGUAAACAAAAAUUAGUCACAGAAUUCAAUAAACUUCAGGUUUGUUCUGGCUGCAGCAGGAGUUAUAAUGUAAAGUGAAAGCCAAACGGUAGAGUUACGAAUAGCCGAAGCUUGCGCAGCUAGUUUGGCACUUUGGCUGGCUGGCUGGGUACCAAUGCCAAUACGUUCAAAAUAUUGCCAUGUUGCAGCGACUGCAACUGCUGCUCUCUGUAGCUGUAGUCUGUACGUCCUCGGCGCACCAGUGGCUGUCAGCGUGCCAGCCCAGCAGUGUGCACACAUGCGCGGCGCGAGUAAUAAUGGUUCCUCACCGGUCAUCUACCCCAACCCACCUGACAGCGACGAGGGGCAGACAGAGGCGGGCGCCGUCGUGGCAGCCGCGGCCGCGGCCGCAUCCGCACGGGAAGGGUGCUCGCGGCCGCAGAAGUCGACGACGGGCCGCAUGCGAUCGUCGCGACGCGCUGCCGCGUGGGGCGCCGGCGCCCCCGCGGCCGCGGCUGCCUUUUGCAGCUGCAGCUGCAGGGGGGGAGCAGCGGCUCGCACGGUGGCGGGGAAGCGAGGAGGGGGGACUACCGCGGCUGCCUCCUCAUCUCCGGCUGGCCCCGGCAGCUGCAGCUGCGCGCUGGGGCCUCUCUGCUGCUCAUCCCUGCCCGAUGCACCUGCCCCGUCCUCUCCUGCACGUCCGAGCUUUUAGUUUCAUGUUCAACUGUUUGUAUGGAGGCAUAAGUAGCGCGACUAUUGCUAACACCUUCGCUACGCGAGCAAUUAAUCCAGGAGCAGAGUGCUCUGCAGCCGCAGCAGCAGGCCAGAAGCCCAGUGAAUCCAGUCGGCUAAUGGGCUAUCAGUCAGUGGAUCAGCAUCAGAACUGACAAGAAAAGUACGACUAGUAACCACUAUUUUGUCCGUAGCUGUUGUUGUCUACUACUACCAUUGUCUGCUUCCCCGCUCCUGCUUGCACUAUCGGCGUACUAACAAACAAUGGCUAAUUAACACGGAGUAGUAGGAGUGCAGUGCGAGUGCGUACGUAGCCAACAGCGGUUAAGUGAACUGUGAACGUGAGCAAAGCUAGCUAGCAGGCCGUGUGGCGAUGUGCGGCGUAUUGAAAAGGACGUGUCGAGCGAAUCACCUGAGACAAAACUGCACCGUAUCUCCGUCUUCGGGUCCGGGGUCGUCGUGGUGUUCAAAUCAUGGCGGAAAUCUGCUCCUCCUCCUUCCUCGGCGCUAGAAUCCCAGAAGCCCUGCAAUGCAAGCCGAGAACAACCGGACAAGUAAUAAGCGGCGACGCUACGAGGCCACUGCCCGCUCUGGCGCUCUCUGUCUCUGCGUGCGAUGCAUAUGCAUGCAUGCUUAUCGUUUAGCGAGACGGCGAGGUAAAAGCUUUUCGCUUCGUCUGGUGAAUCGAUAUCGACAAUAUGCAUGGCUAGAGUACCAGAAGAUGGACUUGCAUUGCAUUUGCAUCGUUUUAAUUAGCAGACUAUUAGUAUUGGGAGCAAAAUAAAGAAACAGCCGUACACAAACAUUGACAAAUGUUGCAGGGUCGUCUCUGUAUAUAUGAUUCAAUUUCAACAUGAGGAGUAACCAAUAUGGCCACACCAUUUCCAUUUGUAUGCUGGUAUAUUAUGUGCGACUUACCGCAAGAAGGCACUGAAGAUCCUCACUCACGGCCGUCGCCGGACGCCGAGGGGGAGGUGUCGUUGUCUCCGCCAUCCGCUGCCGCUUGCUGCGACGGUCGCUCCAGUGAGGGACGGCGUCGUGCAGGUAGCCACUGGACGCCUCCGACGACGACGCCGGCGACUGCACACCUGCUGCAGGCAUGCAGCACGAAGCCGGAAGGACUUCAGCUCAGUACUCCGCUACUAUCAUCUCUACUAUGCCUAUGCCCUAGCUAGCUGUAGCAGGUUUAUUAGCAGCGAGAGCUAGCAUGCGAUGCAUGCGCAUCUCUUUAGCUGAGCUGAUGAGCACUUACGCGUCGCCGGGAAGAAGGUGGGCUCUGCUUGGACGGCGGCCGCGGCACCUCCAGCUCCGGCUCCGGCUCCGUCUCCUCCGAGAGUGUAGUGAUGAGUGCGAAGCAGCUCCGAGUCCCAGUCCCAGCCCCAGCCCCCGUCCAAGCAAUCCAGCGGAGGCAACACGCAACAGUCGUAGGAGCAGGUGUCCAGGGCCAUGGCGUGUUGUUGCUGUUGGCAGUGUAGCCGGGGCCAGCUGAGAUGGCUUGUCAUGGAGAGGGGCGUGCUGGCUGCUGCUGGGAGAGGGGCGUGUCCUCUAGCCCUCUUAAAUAGGAGGCCCGGCCGGCCCUUUUGGCGGAGCACCAAAAGCUGUGUCAAACUGGGUGGAUGGAAAUGUGAGGAGGAGGUCGUCUUUUGCUCUAUUUGCAUUCCUUUUUUUUUUUCUCUUUUUUCUCAGGAGCUAAAGGCUCGAGGAGAGAAGUGGCAAGCACUGCACUGCGAUGCAAUGCAACAAACCAGUCAAUGGAAAAGAAGCAGUAAACAAGUAAAGAAAAGGGAUAGCAACAAAAGAGCAAAGGGCCAAAAGUUGCGGUUGCCGGGGCUUGUCACUGCUUGGACCUUUCUCGUGAUUCGUUAUGUUUGAUUGCUCUACUUCCUUUCCAUCCUCAUCGGAGAAUGUUGCCAUAACAUGCAUCAAGUGCACAGACUUUGAAUAUUAGCUUCCACUGCUCCCUCAGUCUUCCAAUAAAUCAAUUUUUAAAAUCCAUGCUAAUCAUUUUUUUAAAAAAAUUAACUAACUUUAUAAAAAAGAACAAUAACAUGUAUAUCAUAAAAUAAGCACCUUAUAAAAAUAUAUUGUAUAAUAAAUCUAAUAAUACUAAUUUAUAUUAUAAGUUUUAACUUUUUUUCCAGAAAUUCGAUUAAAGUUUAACUUAAAGCUAUUUUAGGAAGCUAUUUAUUAAAGGACAGAGGGAGUAUAUAAAAAAGUGGCAGAGCUUGGACUAAAAUGGAGAGUUGCAGUUAUCAAAUGGCAAUGAAUUGUUUUUUUUUAGAUAAUGGAUACAAAAUAUCCGGCCUCUACACCCGAGGGUGUACACAGCCCAUUAUUACAAAGCUUUGAGGAUAUGUAAAGAGAAAGCCAUAGUCUCAAAGAGCGACCAUGGACGCUAAUUCAAACAAUACAAAUUUUUCCAUCCUUUAUUGGAUAUCUCUAAAGCAAUGAUUUCUAAUUGCUUUCAAGUAUAAUAAGGCACAACACUAAUGGUGAGUCGCCUAGGACAGAAGGGAACCUACAAAUAAGCUCCACCUGCCCCUGAUAAAUAAACCCAAUCGAGUGAUAUGUGUGUCUCCACUCCAUAAUUUGCUCAUAGAUAAAAGCAUGUACUCCCUCGUCCCACAUUAGACGAUGUUUUAGAAUCUCCCACGAAAACCAAUGUCGAAACUAAAAGAUCAAAAUACCCCUCGAGGAGUAGAGAUAGGAUGUAGUAUUGAAAAAUGAAAAAGAUGUCGGAGAGAAGAGAAAGAUAUAUUAGCUGAAAAGACUCAAAAAAUUGGCCAUGAGUAGUUGCACUGCACAUACAUGUACAAUGUGUUUCAAAAGGCUAAUACUCCCUCCAUUUGAAAUUAUAAGAAGUUUCGACUCAUCAAGGUACAAAUUUUCUAUGCAUUUAAAUAUACACUAGUUAGUUAAAGUAGUAUAUCUAAAAACCAAAACGUCUUGCCGGUAUAAGAGUACUACUGUACUAGUAUAUAUGCACAUGGUUGUAAUAACGUAUUUGCCUAGCAUAAUCAUUCGGUUACUAUUGCCUGGUACCACUAGUUGUCAUGUUCAGUAGUAAAAGAUUACUGCGGACUAUGAGGACGAUGGUAUUUUUUUUUUUUGGAAAGGGGUAAAAGAAAAGUUGCUACUCCGUACGAACUAGUGCACUAAGGCGAUCCAAAAUUUUUUUAUUUUGAUACUGUAGCAUUUUUGUUUUUAUUUGACAAACAAUAUCUAAUCAUGGAGCAACUAGGCUUAAAAAAUUCGUCUUAUGAUUUACAGAUAAACUGUGCAAUUAGUUAUAUUUUUUUAUCUAUAUUUAGUGUUCCAUGCAUGUGCCGCAAAAUUCGAUGUGAUGGGGAAUCUUGUAAAGUUUUGGGUUUUUGAUGUAUCUAAACAAGGGCUAAGUAUACUCCUACUAGUACGAGUACUACUUGCUAGUACGUGCCUGUUGAUGUUUUGUUGGUAUCCUUGUGCCGCAGCAGACGGGGACAGCAGCAGCUCCAGUAGCUUUAGCACGCUUUCAUGAAAAUCUUUGGACGAGGCCCAAAAUAUUUCCGUUUCCUGUUGUCUCUAUCUCUUUUCCAGUUUUCACUGCAUAAGCUUGCCCGGCGUCUGCCAUGUACUGUAUAUUACUGCGACCUUUUGGCGUUGAUGAAAAUUUUUGCAAAAUGUUACUGCAGCAUUUUGUUUGUAUUUGAUAAUUACUGUUUAACUAUGAACUAACUAGAUUUAAAAGAUUCGUCUCGCAAAUUAAAGAUGAACUAUGUAAUUAAUUAUUUUUUUAUCUAUAUUUAAUACUUCAUACAUGUACCGCAAGAUUUGAUGUGAUAAAAAAUGUUAGGCCUUGUUUAGUUCCCAAAAAAUUUUGCAAAAUUUUUCAGAUUCCCCGUCACAUCAAAUAUUUAGACGCAUGCAUAGAGUAUUAAAUAUAGACGAAAAUAAAAACUAAUUGCACGGUUUGGUCGGAAUUGACGAGACGAAUCUUUUGAGUCUAGUUAGUCUAUGAUUGGAAAAUAUUUGUCAAAUACAAACGAAAAUACUAUUAUUUCUAUUUUGUAAAAUUUUUUAGAACUAAACAAGGCCUUAGUUAUUUUACAAAAUAGGUGAGAAAGUAAACACGGCCUUUCUAGUACAACGGAGCUUAUUAUAGAUUCAUCGCGCCCCCAUGUACUUGUUACACCAACACGUAGCCGGUAGCCCCAAUUGUGGGGCUUGCCUCCACGAAUCAAUAAUGGCCAAAGGACUACACGUACGUGCACAGCAGUGGCAGUGGCAGUGGCAGUGGCAGUGCGUGAGAGAUUGCUCGGAUCAUAGAGACAGUGGUCUCCCUGUACUACCAGACCAUCAUUGCUUAUAAAUCUACCGAUGUCUGAUCUGUAUAUAUAUGGCUAACUUCAAACUUUGUUAUGUAUGAAUACAAGGAAAUAACCAAGGAACGGGUUUGAUUUUGUGAAUCUCAGCUCUCACUUCAUUGUAUUCUGAACUUCUAUGUGGAAAGCAUCCUGUACUGUACCAAAAAACUAUCAUUGAUUGCCUUGCCUGAUGAACUAUCCUAAAUUUUGUAAAUCCCGAAAAACUAAAGUUGUUCAUCGAUCAUCCAGCAAACAUCUCUCCCGAUGUAUGUAUGCAUCUUGCAUCGAGAGAUACAUGCAUGCAGAGUUUGCAGAUUGAUCGAUAAAGCAUGGUCCAAAAGCGAGAUCAAACUGACCUGGAACAGAAAUGAGCUCCCUAAAGGGGGUCAAGAAAGGCAGCCAACGAGUACUUAACACUGACAUGUAUGAGUAUGCGUAACCUGCUGAUCCGACUUCUUUUUUUUUUGUGCGUGUAAACCCAUGAGUUUAGAGACAAGUUUAAGUUGGGCGUGACCUCUUAUCUUUUUCAGUGCAGUGAUAGUACUGCUCGUCUUUACUUGCCUAUUCUUUUCUGCGAACGGUCAAUGCAAAAGCAAGGUAAAAAUUGCCACUCCUUGCAUUGGGAGCUGCUUCCACUCUCAUGUCAUGGGCUGAUGACACUGCUGUAGCUGUUGCUACUUGCUUCCAGCGCCAUUGGUACCAUCUGCCUUUGUGCAUACUGCAUACUGCAAGAAUGGAAAUUGCCCUAUCUUAACUUCUUCCCAUGCUGGCAGCACAUUCCGUCUUGAGGAAACAUUUUUUUACCUGUACUGUGGUACUCUUUGUGACAUUUGGCAGCAUAUAUAUUUACGGUGGCCUUCACCUAGGUGCGUCUGUGAAUGAUUUGGUCGACACGCAUAUUGCAGGGGCUGGGUUGGAGGCCGUCCUAUCGUAAGUGUAGUCUGUAGCCUCCUAUUCCUAUGUGAAGAAGGGAUGACCAUAGCGCGGCCCGGAAAGGCAUUCUUGGGCCCUGUGUUGACGCCAAUGAUUCACGUACGUACUACAGUUGGUUAGUGCAUUGUUGCCACAUGUAACUUUGGUUAUUAGUCCAGUCUCAAUGUAUAGUUUCAUAACACAGUUACCAAGACUAUAAACUAGGUAACCAAGCCACAGAAGUUUCAUGGGGAUGAAACUUCUCUCUCAUCUGAUGAAACUCCUUCAUUUAAUGACCUUACCAAGUCAGCAAUUAUGCUUAUGUGGCACAUUAUUUAAUGUGCAUGACACUCUCAUGAAACAUGUAUUGAGACUGGCCUUAGUAGUACUACGUACUAGCUUACUUCCUCCUACCAUAAAUAGGAAUGCACCCAGGUUAAUUUGUGGAAGUUAACCUUUUCUAACUUUGAUCAUCCAUAUUUAAAACUUUAUUUGGAUUGGCAUUAGUAGAUUCUUCAUUAUUCAUUACAAUACAAUAUUUGCAAUAUGUAACUCUUCUUAUUUAAUUAUAAAAUAAUGAAAUUUUAUAGACACUGCUGGUUGAAGUUUAAAAGGCUUGACUCAAUACAAACUUAGAUAGACUUAUUACAUUUGUGGCUAUAUAUGGGAAAUAUAUAUUUGAUUUGUCAUUUCAUAUCAGCUAGUACAAGACACUGCCCCGAAUGUAAAUUGGAGAGCCAUUAACAAAUGGCUCAGAAGGGGUAAUAAUAAUUAAUAAGUCACGAACCCCGAGGAGAGGCAAAUGCAUGCCUUGCUUAGGAUACAUAAGAACCGUGAAUAGCAGAGGGAUGGAGAUCGAUGUUGCAGUUGCAGACUUGCAGGGCACCAAAUAUGGACCAAUUUCACUGCUCUUGGCGACAAUGCAAUCGAUGUUAGGAUCUGGUAGCAGCUAGAGUGGAAUUAUUGGCGACUUUCACCUUCCGAGAGCUAGCUUUUGGCGGCAGCCCAAGAGGGCAGACUACUACUCGAAGAGCAGUCGAACGCGCGCGACUUUCCGAGCGGCAAAAGCAUGUGCCAGACACUCAGGGCAGCGCUACGUUACGUCCUGGCCGAAACAACAGUGCGCCUAGCGUAGCGGCCUAAUUAACAAGCCGUUGUUACCACUGCAUGCUGCUGCCUGCAUUAAGUAAUGAAAAGCAUCGUCCGUACUACGUUCGAUCGGGGCUCUGCAGGCUGUGUGCUGUUUGCUGCACAAUGAUGAGGAGCAAUAUGCAAGCCUUCCCAUGGUUUCAAUAUAAAAUGUUUCAUCAAGAGAUGAUCGUAUUGCGGUUGGCAACUUGGCAUCAAGAUUCAAGAGAGUAUAAACACAGCAGCGGGGGUGGCGGUGAUGAACCUGAUGACCGACAAGAACUUCUGCUCACGAAUGGGAAACAACCACAAAUUUCAGCUUAAUUAGCACCUCUGGAGUGGAGCUGCAGUGAAGUGUACGUGGCCGAUCGAUGGAGCCGAGCACAGGUAUAGUAACUAGCUAGCUUAAUUAUGUGCAAGUGCAAACAAACUUUUGAACUCGACACUUGUCUCUGUUGCCUACUGCCCUACUCCAACCAACUUUUUUAUCCGAGAGUCGUCAACUGUUGUUGUCGCUAAACCUACAGCGAGAAUUGAAAUAAGGGCCGGGGCGAUCCCACUGCAAUGCAUGUAUCCUAUUCCAAUCCACACAUCCACGCUAAAGCCUGAACUCCGCCACUGUUUGUCACCGUUGGCACCGGGGCCCUGACGAUGAUUACCGCGCGCGCGCGUCUUCUUCGUCCCCCCGAUCCUCGUCACGGCAGACGGGCAGACGCCACCGAUCGAGCUCCCUCCCUACGCACAGUGCCACUGGAGGACCAUUACGCUGCUGCUGUCGCCUUCUUUACAGCGCGGACGACGGUAGGGGGGGGCACGCACAAGCGUGCCUGCCUACCGUCUCUCGUUCGCGUGCAGUCGCGCGAAGCAGCGCAACAUUCUGCGCCCGCCGCCACCAACCCAACCAGCUCGACCGUGCACGCCGGCCCGCGACUGCGCUGCACGGGAGUAAAACCUAACGCAGCAGCAAGCUGAGCUGCAUGCGCGCCGGCGCCGCAUUGAAACGAAAGCAGAGGCGCAGGCGGUGUACCAUGCGAACGUGUAGUACAUGGACGGAUCACAUUGGUACCGGGCUCGCUGGCCAUCGGCAGAUCGACAGCGUAGGCCGUAGGGUCUGGUGGGUGCAAAUGCUGACGCUGCUGCCUGAAUCCGGAGCCGCGGCCUUUUGCACUGAAAAAAGCGGUGAAAAUUCGUGGUACCACUGCCCGGCGCCAGGCGACAGGCGCAGGCGUGGUGAAAACUGACACCCCUCUCUCUCUCUGCGGUCCUGCGUGUUUCGUUUCGUUUUGUGCUGCCUGCGUGCAGGCUACCGUAGCGACCGAGUGGCCUUGCUUUCAGCUAUGCGGAGAACGUAGUACGCCGGACGGCCGGCAUGUGUGUGUCGCUGUUGAUGCAGUUGUAGGUAGAUGGAGGCUUGGAACUGGCCUGGACUGCGUGCGAGAUGUAGGGGCAAAAAAGCAGAUGGCGGCGUCCGAAAUGAUUCGUCGAAGGAUCGAUCGAUCUGAGCUUUGGGGCCCCGGCCAGCCGCGGCCGCUUUUGCUCCUGCCGAUUUGAACGCCAAGGGCAACCAUCCAAAUUCCAAAAGAGCAGCAGCUCGGGAACGGGAAUGGAUGGUUGUAUUGUAUGAUCCCUAGGAAUCUUCCCGGAGUGAGUGGGUAAUUGGUAAAAAGCUCGGUAAAGAUACAACAUGAACAAAGCGCCAAAGCGACAGUCUUCGUCAGGGAAGCCUAGGGGCCGGGGUCUCCACUUCGCCAGCCCGGUUUGUGACGGGCGUCGUCUCGUCUCGUCUCGUCUCGUCCCGUCCCGACGUCUCGUCCAAGUCCCGGCUGAAACACUCCUGACUCGUGGUCCGCGGCUAUGUACGAUGUGCCGGCGUGCAACACCACACGAUCAACGAUUUCCAGUCCCCAGUGCCGCGGAGGCCCCGAGCGGAGCAGGAAACUGGCGCACACGUCCCGUCCCGACGAUCGCGGCGCGGGGGCAGCCGCAGUUCUCUUCGAUCUCCAGCGAUUCCGCAGGUCGGACGCGACGCGAUCGGUACCGGUACGCACAAGGGCAGGAGGUGUCGUGUCGGCCCGACCCGGCCACCCUGUUUCGAAAUUUUCGAUGCAACGCACGCACCAGCGCAGCGCCCGUAGCAGUAGCACGGAAGACGUUGUUCCUCCCGCAGGCAGGGGCGACCGAUGGUGCCAUGGUGGGCUGAUCGGCUGCGAAUCAGCCAUGCGGGCAUGGGGCAUCAGGCCAUUGGCCCACGUACGCGGCUUGGUGGGCUAUCCGUCCAUCCGGGCCAUCGCGCCUCAAGGCUCAAGCUCAACUGUUGUUUCGGACCGUGUCAGGACUGAGUGGUGCUACGGGAAAAAGAGACUACUCACUCCGUUCCAAAAAUAAUGCAAUUAUGCCAACAGCUUCACGGCGCAAUGGCAAAGGCUACUGGUUAGGGGCUUCCACCCAGGGUUAAAAUCCUGGGUGCGGCACUUUAUUUUAAAUUUAUUCUAGGUUUUUUCAGCGUUAUGCAUUAAGUGGUAGGCGACGUGUCCGUCGACAACGAGACGUCUGUGGUGAACUUCAAGAUUUGCCAGCUCAGUCCUUCGAAGGUAUGUGCGUACGUGUUGAGUGUCUGCGUUGUACUGUGUAAUCUAAAAAAAUGCAAUUAUUAUAGAGUUUUAUUUUUUUUCCAAAUUAAACGCACACUUACAGCACAGUCCUCACACGGUCUUCAUUUUUCAUUUAAAUAAAAAUAAAAAAAAAACAAGGAUGCUGCACCCAGGAGAAAACAGUAGGCGCGAGGCUGCAACCCUGCAAUGCUCAUGUGUGGCUUCCGGAGCGCUCCAUCUAGAUCCUUCUAUCUGCUGAAGGAAAAUCUGCACUGCUGCACAGUUUGGUGGGGCAUAGUUUUAUAGGGGCAUUAAGGUAUUUCAUAUGUACAUUAGUUUUCGUGUCCAAUUCUAGAAUUGUAAUUUUUUCGGGACGGAGGGAGUAAACACUAAAUACAUCCUUUGGUAUAUAGGAUGUGAAUGAAAAAUUGUUGUCGGUUGAUAGAUCAGGUCCAGUGUUGAUCUAGGAGAUUAUUGGGAGGCGGGGUUUGGUCACGAGACUAUCAAAUGUUGGUGUUGCUGAAUUUAUACUUACAAUACUUACAUGAUGUUUUUUGACGAAACUGGAGGAGCUUGAAAGCCCAUACAAGAAUUUAUUGGAAUAAAAGCACAAUUUUACAAAAAUAACAGGUUGAAGCAAAAGACUCAAGAAACAAAAAAAAAAAGAAGAUGAUGAUGAAGAAAGAAAGACAGAUUACAAUAGAUUCUGAAUCCAUAAAUCAAACUCUACAGUGUGCUUAGUCUUGACCCUUAGGGUAAGACUGCUUUUGCUCUCGUGACAUCUGGGGGAAUUCCUUUGAAGAUCCGAUCAUUUCUUAUUGUCCAGAUUGCCCAACACAUCAAGAUUACCAACAUCAUAAAGAAAUUUUGGUUGACCUGUUCCCUAAUCUGUUCCACUGCUUGAAGAAUGCUCAUCUGAUCAUGAAUGACUAUCCCCAAUGAAUCCCAGCACUGAGUCGCGAAUUGACAGCCAAGGAAAAGGUGUUGGAGGGUCUCCUCUACUCCUGCUUGGCACAGAACACAGGUAUACGAUUCCAGCUGCAUUCUUCUCCUUCUACAUUUGGUGGCGGUGAAGACAAGUCGUUCGUGGAGAGAAAAUUCAGAAACCGCCAAUGUCAGCAAUUUUAAUUGCUGCAACAUCUACAAACUAUGCUCUAGCAUCAACGAAAUCAGCUGUGACAAACAACAACCAGAAGAAAUCGGCAGAAGGUUUUCUAUUGAUCAAUGUUGAUGCUUCCUAUGAUGCAGCAGUGGGGAUAGGAAGCACAAAUGCAGAGAUGCAUCUAGGGGAUUUAUUGCUACAUGACAUAGCUACAUCCCCCAUGCAUGUGGUGGAUGCGGCUAUGGUAGAAGCAUUUGCCCCAAGGGAUGGUCUCUUGCUAGCACAAAUACAAGGUGAGUAUGGAAGUCGUGACCACGAUGAAUGAAGGAGGCUUCUCAGCCACGACGGCAGCCCCUAUCUAUGGUGAAUGUUGCCAACACUGGAUGGAAUUCGCUGCUAUAUCUAUUAGCCAUUGUAAUAGGAGUUGUAAUUCAGAGCUCAUGAAUUAACAAGGCAAGCUUUGUUAGAUAAGAGUUCUUUUGUCUGGGUUGAUGACCCCCCCCCCCCUAAAUUCUAUCCUGCAAUUGAUUGUAAAUGAUGUAACAAUUUUAGUGAAUUAAUAAGGUUUGUCAGAUUACUAAAAAAGCCAAAGUGUGUAAUCAGUGUCAACGGUGAUUAAUCACUACUAUAUAAACCAUAACCUCUGCUGGUCCAUCGCUGGAAUUUUAAAACCGGUAACGGUAGAGUUAUCACUGAGAAUUCGUAAGAAAAGGACAUUACUGCCAGAUUUUAAAACCCGACAACGGUGAUAAUAAGGUGCUCAUGUUUGCGUAGAUCAAUAUAGUAUAUCUAAGGACCUAAAUACUAGUGCCUAUAAUAUUGUAGUGAAAAUAUUGCCUUGUUUAGAUCAUUUUUUUUAUUUUAACACCGUAUCAUUUUUGUUUUUAUUUAACAGAUAUUGUUUCAAUCAUGAAGUAAAAAUAUGUCGCCGUCGUGGCAGUUCCCGGUGAAAAUAUUAUUGAAGCCUUAUACUAGCUCGGACGUCGUCGUCGUCGUCGUCGCGCGUCCGUCGUACGUCACACGCUCUCGUGCCACCGCGGCGGGCGAGGCCGCUAUAGGCCAUGCACGUACGCAAUCAACUAUUCAACUCACGCUAACGGAUCAGAGGAGGGCGUCUACUCAGGGUACACGCGGCUUCUCCAGCGACCAGCGACACCGUACCUGCAUUGGUCGACGACGAAAAUAAAAACGCUACAACGUACGUGGACGAGUUGCUAAUUAAGCUAUAAAGCCGGCCAAUCGAAGACCAAUCAUUCGAAGUUUUUGCGCCAUGACGAAGACGAAGUAAUAUAACGGAGAAUAAUAUAUGCAUCCCUAGCUCGUCAUUGCAUUGGCAUGGCAGCUCUCUCGGCUCGCUCUAUAAAUACUUGCGGUAUCCGCGGCUGAUGAGCAUCGCAGCAACGCACGGAGAGAGCUCGCAUUUUGCAGUAGCUAGCUAGCUAGCCUUUGCAUUACAAUCUCGCUCGCUCGCUCGCUGCUAAACACGUUCCAAUUUGCUCAAACCUAACAGAGCACACACACACACACACACACACAUCAUCAUCAUACACAAGAUCAAGAUCAGAGAGAUAUAUAGCUAGGUGAGCUAGCUCUGCUGCAUCAUGCCCCUUCGGCAACGUCCGACGAUGGGUGGUGUAGCUAAGAUGCCGGCUGCAGGGCUCUGCUGGUUAAUGCUAGGCGUGUUGUUAGCCAUUGGAGUUGCAGCUAGCCCGGCCCAGGCCUCCAGGAAUACUCACUACGACGUUGUAAGUUGAUCUCCAUACAUCUCAUUUCAACUUAUAUUUACCAGUUUGAUUAUUUCAUUCAGAGAUGCAGGCAGUAGCAGUUGUAGUAUUUGCAUGCAUGCUGGACUAUUAAGAAGCUAAGACGUCGGUACAAACGACUAAUAAUAAUGUAAAACGCCGGCGUACGUAUGGUAAAUUCUUUUGCAGAUAAAGGAGACGAAGGUCACCCGGCUGUGCCACGAGAAGAUCAUCCUGGCUGUGAACCGGCAGUUCCCGGGGCCGACCAUCUACGCGCGCAAGGGCGAUGCCGUAGUCGUCAACGUGUACAACCACCAGUGGCGGAGCGAGAAUUUGAAUCUUGAGUAUUCCUUUGUUGGUGUUUAGUGGGCCACCACUCAACUGUUAUCUAUAACCUCAUGACCGAUGUGCGUCUUCACCGGUCGCUAUGUAGGCGUAGCAUAGAGACAGAGGCCGCGCCCGCGCUGCACGCCCCGCGCCGCUAGGAGCUUAGGACACUGGGAACCAGCAGUGCCGCUACCACGUUAUGCCUAGUCAGCUAGGGUUAGAGAUUUAGGAAGGAGGAUUAUGAAAUUGUCUCCUACUCAUGCCUCGUUCACUCACACAAAAAGAAUACUUUGUUAUACAUGUUGCCAUGUGCAAGACAAAUAAGAUAUGAUUUGUACUAAUAUUUGGUGGCACGAGUCGAUAUGUAUGUGAUCUGGAGAUAAAUAAUUAGAUUUUCAUUUGCAGAAACAACAAAAUAGAAUAAUGUUGGCAAUCGAGCUAACAUAGAACCUAUGUGUAAAAAGAAAUACAAGGAUAGACUAAAAAGAAUGAGAAAAAAAUUUUAUUUGCUAAAUAUAAAAAGGCUAAUAUAUUAGAUAUAAAUAUAUAUAUAUAAAUAUGUACCUAUAUAUACUUAGUGCAUAAAAAGUUGGGUAUUCGUGGAAAUACCACGAAUACCCACGGUAUCCGCCCAUGACAACCAGGGCAGCAAGAACAUCACCCUCCACUGGCACGACGUGGACCAGCCUCGGAACCCGUGGUCCGACGGGCCGGAGUACAUCACGCAGUGCCCCAUCCAGCCUGGCGCCAACUUCACCUACCACAUCAACUUCACCGAGGAGGAGGGGACGCUGUGGUGGCACGCACACAGCGACUUCGACCGCGCCACUGUGCAUGGCGCCGUCGUCAUCCACCCAAAGCACGGCUCCGCCUACCCCUACCCCAAGCCGCACAGGGAGGUGCCCAUCAUCCUCGGUGAGUGGUGGAACAUCGAUGUGGAGCAAGUUCUCCUAGAGGCCCAGCGGACCGGCGGCGACGUCAACAUCUCUGACGCAAACACCAUCAACAGCCAGCCAGACAACUUCGUCCCGUGCUCUAAGAACGACACCUACAGGAUGCUCAUGGAGCACGGCAAGACGUACCUGCUCCAGAUCAUUAAUGCGGGGCUCACCAACGACAUGUUCUUUGCCGUUGCCGGGCACCACCUCACAGUGGUCGGCACCGACGGCCACUACCUCAAGCCGUUCACCGUCGACCACAUCAUGAUCUCCUCCGGACAGACCAUGAAUGUGCUCCUCGAGGCCAACCGUGCCACCAAUGGCUCAAGCGACAACAGCCGCUACUACAUGGCCGCGAGGCCAUACUUCACCAACAAGGGACCCCUGGUCGACGAUAAAAACACCACGACCAUUCUGGAGUACAUGGAUGUGCCAGCGUCACGCUCUGCGGGGCCACCAGACUCCCUCGACCUGCCAGCCAUCAAUGACACCGCCGCGGCAACGGCGUACACGGCGCAGCUCCGGUCCCUGGCCACGAAGGAGCACCAGAUCGACAUGCCGACGGAGGUCGACGAGCACAUGCUCGUGACGAUCUCUGUCAACACGCUCUCCCUGCGGAGCUAACAAGACGUGCAAAGGCCCCAGAGGGGACCGCCUCUCGGCGAGCCUCAACAACGUCAGCUUCGUGGCGCCGACCGUUGACAUCCUCGACGCCUACUACAACUCCAUCAGUGACGUGUACGAGCCAAACUUUCCUGACAGGCCACACUUCUUCUUCAACUUCACCGACCCCAACUCGCCAAAGGAGCUCCAGCUCACAAAGCGGGGCACCAAGGUGAAGGUGGUGGAGUACGGCACCGUGGUGGAGGUGGUGUUUCAAGACACAUCCAUCCUCGGUGCCGAGAGCCACCCCAUGCACUUGCAUGGCUUCAGCUUCUACGUGGUAGGCCGAGGGUUUGGUAACUUCGACAAGGACAAAGACUUAGCCAUGUAUAACCUGGUCGACCCGCCGUACCAGAACACCGUCACCGUGCCCGCUGGUGGCUGGGCAGCAAUCCGCUUCCGCGCGGCAAAUCCUGGUGAGUAUUUUGCUAUAUAAAUUUUAGCGACAAUAAACUAUAUAUAUAUAUAUAUUGUUAUAUGAUUUUUUUUCUUAUGUGUUGCUGUUUUUUUAUUAUUAGGUGUGUGGUUUAUGCACUGUCACUUUGAUCGUCACACUGUGUGGGGCAUGGACACUGUGUUUAUUGUGAAAAAUGGCAAGACCCCAAAGUCUCAAAUGAUGCCACGUCCUCCUCACAUGCCCAAGUGCUAAUAAGGAAAACAUGAGCCAUGACUGCGGUUUGCACACAAGACAAUCGAGCAAAAUAACUGGUCUUACUAGAUUGGUACUUGAUUUAACUAUUUGGUCUACAGAGUUUAAGUAGAUUGGUUUUUCAAAUAUUUUUUAUUUAGUAUAUAUUGUUUAAUUUUUUAAUUAUUUCAUUUGGUCGAGAAAAUAUAUUCGUUGUAUUCAUUAUUUUUACAUGUUCUCCUAGUUCAAUCUUCAGGUGUAAUUAAAAAUGUAUGUUACGAUACAUUCUGUAUCCUGUGAAAUUCAAUAUAAAUAUGUGCUUCAUAUAUUUAUGUAUUUAUAUUGACCAUAAUAAGAUCAUAAUCAUUUAGAGAAAAUAUAUGGAGCUCCCGGCGGCGGCGCCCACGAAGCUUCACUCUACGGUGCUUCUUCUCUGCUACUGGCAGUUGUCGCUGCACCGGCACGAUAUGGUCUUCAGAGGUCGACGUCUCCUCUCCGCCUGUCAAGAUGCUUGUAAGCUAUGGGCAAAUAGACUAAAAGUAGAUGAUAGAUGGAUCCUCCAUGAUUGGUGUAAUCUUUUCACUCCUUCCCCUUAACCCUUCUCCUACCCGCACUCUUUGCGGUUGUAAAACCUUGGCCAUGAGCCACUUUGGUGCACUACAAGAUAUGUGUGGUUUUUUGACGUUUUUAGUAUGACAAAAGGUAAUAAUGUCAUUAUAUCAUCCGAUUUAUGACAUUCUAUUUCAUGUAUCUCUACUUAGUGACAAUAAAAAGUUGGAUGUCAUGUCACAAGUCCUAAUUUUCUAAUGUCAUAAAUCUUUGACAAAUGUUAUGUGUCAUCACUUAUUUUAUUGAAUUAUUUUAAAUGUUCUUGUCCAUAGUGGCAUUCGAAUUGGCACGUAGCAUAUUUUUUUUAUUAUUUAUUUCUUUAUUUUGGUUAUGUCUUAUUUUUUUUCUUUAAAAUGGGUCAUGCGCGCCGAAGAAAAAUGUUAAAAAUAGAGGCGGCAGUGGGGAUUCAAACCUGCGUGCUCCAAGUUACUUUGAAGCAAUCACGCCACUAAGCUACGUACCAAUGUUUGAUUGGCCAGCACGUUUUAUUGUAUAUAUAACAGAAGCUGCUCAUUGUUGAAAUUUGCGGCCAGAUCUUCGAUGUUGUAUUAGUACCCGAGCUUGACUCUCUAUUUAUAAGACUUCCUCGGUUACUCCGUGUAUACAACUAAAGCAUCAAGGUUUGAAAUAACCUUGUAUGAAAAACCCACAAAAAUAAAAGUUGCAGAUCCUAAAAAGUUAUGAAACUUUGUAGUUGAUAACUUUUUUUAUUUAUAUUCGUUUAGAGCCUCAAAUAAUCAAUUUAUGCUUGGUUUAUGAUAGUAUAUGGGGAACUAAACUCUAAUAUAGACACAACUGAGUGAUAGGUGGAGUGGUAGAGGAGGGUACGUGCGAGGGUGAGGUCUCAGGUUCGAAUCCCACGGACCGCGUAGCACGCGAUUUUACGCGAAAAAACGGGCGGGCAAUUAGCCACCCUGAGAUUAUUUUUUUUCCUAUUUUUAAAAGCCGAUUUCAUAUUUUAUAGAAAAAUAUUUUUGUUAGCAGACACUAGUAAGCAGCGCAUAAACCAAAUUUUGGAUGUCUGGGCCUGGCGCAACCGCGUAGUGGCGCCAUGUCUCCGCGCCACACCAAAAAAUUUGGAGUGAAAAUGUCAUUUCUAUCCAGACAUAUACCACAACAACUCUCCUUUGGAUAAGGAUAGUACAGUAAAAUUACCCCCAUACCGUGACCUAUUCAGCUCAUGCUCCCCCAAACCCUAGUCAAUCCAAUUCACUCCUCGCAGCAGCCGCCACUUUGUUGCCCUCUCUACUGCCUGGAAAGAGGAUCCGCCGCCCUCCACUGCCCACAGCCGAAGAGGCCAUGCGCCCCCAACGACAUCCUCAGCACUCCGCUCCAAGCUUCCUGGACUCGUGAAGAUGGCUCCUGGUCGGAAACCGAAGACCCGGCCCUCAACCAGACUUCAUCGUGAAGGUAAAUUGUUGAUUGCCUCCUCUUACUUUGCAAUCCAUAUGGCGGGUAAUUGCAGCACAGGCUCUGGUCCUAGAUCUGGGGAUUUACAUGGGGAGGCCUGCCCUACAACCUGAGCAGCCAGCGUUGGCGCCCGGCGCGGCUGCAGGGAUGCAAAGGCUCUGGUCCUAGGCGGCGAGGCAUUGCAUAGCAGCUAGGGGUGUGGGGGUGUGUGUGGGUGGGUGGGGGACAUGAAAGAGAGAGGUCAGGGAUGCACGUUAGCAGCUGCCAUUUAAUCUUAUGCUUGUUUCUGUUUCGCCUUUUAUUUCUGUGUGGAUCCUCCCUUUUGAUUGUUGGCCGUGGCUGCAACAAGAUCCAGGUGAAACUGUGAAAGGGCUCUUCUCGAUCUGGUCUAUUUGCCUUGGCUGAUGUGUUCUAUAUCUCUGCUCUUUUGAGUAAAGUAUGUAUUUUGCUGAAUAGCUGGUCCUUGUUGAGGAUAUGAAUAUUUUAUGAACUGUUGUUAACUGUUAUAGAUGAGAAGACACAAUUUCAGAUUACUGAUGUUCUGAUGCUAUCCUUGUUGCUAGACAAGUAGUAAUUCUGGGCAUUGCACAGGGCCUCAUCACUUAUUUUUAGUGUUUGAAGUACUAGUAAAUUAUCUUUGCUUCUAUUUAAAAAAAUUCUAAGUAAGCUCUUUUUUAAGAAACAGCACAAAAUCUAUUUUAGUACGUGACAAGGCUGUGUAUUUGGUCUCAUAUUUCACUGUGAAAUUUAUGUACUAAUUCUUAACGAUACAUUACUCUAUAGGUUUUGUUCUCACAUGCUUAAUUUACAUGGUCUGUUCUCUCACAAGCUUAAUUUACUAUGAUUUCUUUUUCUCGUGCAAGUACAGAGGCUCCACUAAUUGACUAUGAGAAGCAGAAGAUGGAACAAGUGAUGCGGAAUAGUCGGAUCUUCCGCAGUCUAAACCAUAAAUCAUAUAGGAGGUUGUAUGUGUCUAAAAAUGGUGCUUGUUGCAUGGAAAAAAAUGUCUACUUAUAUGCAAAGCUAUUUAUUUAGGUCUAUUUGCUCAAGGAUCUGAAAUCAUCAAGGAUGUUCUAGUAUGCAAAUAGGGUAUUUUGAAUCCACUUCAUGGUGAUUUGGCUAGUUACUGAUAUGAAUAAUUGGAUUGCGGAUUCGGCAAAUACUGUCUAGUUACUCAUGUAAAUAACUGGAUUGGUCAUUCGGCUACAUUUGUUUUAUGCUUCUACAUGGCCUACUCGCAUAAUGGAAAUCAAACAUAGUUUUAGAUUUAUAGCAUGUCAGUUGUAAUGAAAUAUGUGAUUCAAUAAAUGUUAAGAUACUGCUGGUGUCAUGCUAUCUUAGGAUACAAAUAAUUAAAUGUUAAUGUUGCUGCUAAUGUGUUGUUGCUGCUGUUUGUUUUCUAUUUUUGUGUAAUUUCAGAAGCAAACUAAAUUUAAGGAUGCGCCACCAACUGCGAUUGAUAUUUUCAAGGACACCCACUGCAGCAGCAAGUCAGGUUUUAAUGAGCAAGCAAUGGAUGCCAUUGUGAGUACCAUUUCUUAUUUCCUACUGUGAUGAACAACAUCAUAGCCACAUUGUAAGUUUGGAUAGCCACUAGAUUGCCACUCAGUUUAGCAUGUUUAGAGAAAUAAAUCAAAAGAAAAAUGAGUACACAAUUCUUUACAACAACAUGGAAGAUCAUUUCAUAUAUAGCAUAGAAGGUUCCACUCGAUAGAUACCAUUCCAUUUCUUCCACUAUGUUGCUUUACCUAUAGACAUGAGUUCUAGAAAUACAUAACUAGUGCUGAAAUCUAACUUUUUUGGUGCUAUUGUUGCUAGGCUCAAAUGGAGGCCUACGUUGCUGAACCAACGGAAGAAGGGCAAGAUCCAAAGACUCCUGUUCAAGCUAUAGCUCAUGUUAUGCCAAAAUCAACUUUCCUUCACAAUGUUGGCAUGCAGUCUGCAGCGAUGAAGAGAAAUGCCAAAGCUGCUGCAAUGAAUGAUCGUGUGAAUGAGCUUGAGAGUGAAUUGCAAGCUGAGAAGAAGGGAUCAGAUGGACUAAGAUCACAGCUGGCUGAUGUGCAGAAGCAAUUAGAGGAUCAGAAAGAGGCAGCAAGGAAGAAUGAAGAAGCAGCAAGGAAGAACGAAGAAGAAACUGAGAAGCUGAAACAGCAAGGCCUUGAAAUCCAAGGUUUCCUUCGGACCUUGUUUGGCAACAAGUUUGCAUCACCUGAUCCUCAGUGGUAAGCUGUCUAACUGCAUUAGGCUCAUUUUGGCAACAUAUGUGUCUAGAAGGAUAAAGAUGCUAUUUUGGUGGCAAUUGCACUAUUGGUGCUACCGCUGCUGCUGCUGCUAUGCUGCUACCGCUGGUGCUACUAUAGCAAGUUAUAAUUUGAGAUAUUGAGACUGUGUGUUGAAUUGGUGGAUGGAUGUAAUGUGUUGUAUUUUAAGACAUGUGAAGUGCUUGUGAUAUUGCAAUCAUGUGGAGAUAUUUGUAUGGGCUGAAAAUAUUUUGGGCUGAAAAAAUAUAUGGGUUCAAUUGUGUGCUGUGAAAAAAUUUGUACAGGCUGAAAUUGUGUGGGCCAAUAAAAAAUGAACUAAAACAAUGGCCCAAGAAAUAUGGGCCCAAAAAAUCUUGUGACCUAUGGAGGGCUGUCUGGUAUGUGGGUUUUAGCAGACCAAGACUUAUUUUGUGACGUUUUUUUCCUGCCAUGUCAGCUUUUGAUCCUACAUGGCAUUUGCCCAUGUGGCAAGGCUUAAGAUUUUAUGACGAUAAACCAAAGUCAUCAAUCUGUAUGACACUAAAACCCAAUGUCAUAAGCUUGUGACACUGAAUGUAUAAACGUCACAUGAUCACUUUGUGACGCGGGUUUUUUGACGUUUGAAUUUUUGUCAACUGAAUGUCAAAAACCUUAAGUUGUGACAUUUAUUCUAUAUAUUUUGACAUAAAAAGUAUGUCAAAAAACCAUAGAUUUCUUGUAGUGGUGCCUAGCACCCUCCAUCACCGGCUUGCCGGGAUCAAUGGAAUUUAUUUAGGUGGGUCUCUCACCCUCCGGUGUUAUCUUCAAAAAAAAUCUUUUUAUUUUUAGAUGAUAGAAUAAAAUCACAUCCAAUCCCAUCGUUUACAAAUUAUUACUCGUACAUAGUCAUAGAUGUUUUUUUUUCCAUUUGUUAUUACAUUGCAAUAGUUGCACCCACAGAAAUAGUUUUGGAAAUAGUUUUUUUGGAAGGGGGAGAGAUUUUAUUCAUAAGGUAGCACAAUUACAUCCUUGUUUACAUGCAAGCCUCUGGCAUCCAAAAAAACAUACACAUCCAGAGCCUCCUAAAUAAUCUUCACCUCUAAACCAUGUUGAUGACUAGCUAAUCCUACCCAUUGGAACUCAAGAACGACAUGCACCAAAACUUGAAAACACUGCAUGAUCCAACACCACUAGAACUUCCCAUGACACAUCUGUCACCUUUUCUUGAAGAAAUUGGAGGGGCCACAGGGGCCUCUACAUGCAUUUAUUAGUACUAAAAAGAUAGUUCAGUACUUAAUUCAUCCCAAAUUAUAAGAUAUUUGACUUUUUCGACACCAAGUUUGACCACUCGUAUUAUUUAAAAAUUUAUGCAAAAUAUCACUUCUUUUGUCGUGGCUUGGUUUAUUAAUUAAAAUUCUUCAAGAAUGACUUAAAUUUGAUUAUUUUUACACAAAUUUUUUGAAUAAGACGAGUGAUCAAACUUAGGGUCAAAAAAGUCAAAUGACUUAUAAUUUGGGAUGGAGGUAGUACAAAACAAAGCAAAUGAGCAAGGACAAGCUCAAGAAACAAAAAAAAAAGAAAAACAUGGACCUAACAAGGAAAAUUACAAAAGAUUCCGGAUCCAUAGAUUAAAAGUGUGUGCAAGUCUGGACCUUGCCCUUAUGGAAAGGAUUCUCAAUUCUUUUUGGAAUAAAGCUUUGAUCGCAACAACGCGGUUGUUUAUUCUUGAAGAUAAGGUCAUUCUGCGCAUUCCAAAUUCCCUAACAUGCCCAAGUGCUAAUAAGGAAACAAGGGCAUUAGCCAUGACUGCGGUUUACACGCAAGACAAUUGAACAAAAUAACUAAUCUUUGGGUAGCAUCGUGGCGAUAGUGAGGGAGCAGGUAGCAGGCCUCGACCCUUGAUGGCCAGGUCAGGGUCUGGUUGGCCUUGGAAGUUGGAAGUCAAGGUCAGGGUCGUGUGACGCAUCCUGCAGUGCUGGCUUUGGUCGGCGCAGAGCCAUAUCAGGGCUUGUUUAGAUGUGAAUUUUUUUUUGGAUUUUGCUAUUGUAGCACUUUCAUUUGUUUAUGGUAAAUAUUGUCCAAUCAUAGACUAACUAGACUUAAAAGAUUCGUCUCGUGAUUUACAGACAAAUUGUGUGAUUAAUUUUUAUUUUCAUCUAUAUUUAAUGCUUCAUGCAUGUGCCGCAAGAUUCGAUAUGACAGAGAAUCUUGAAAACUUUUUGGUUUUCGAGGUGAAGUAAACAAGGCCUCUGUCGUCAUCGUCCGCAAAGUUGUCUUGUCUCACUGGCAAAAAAAAAGUUGUCUUGUCUGAACUAGGAUGUGUAGAGGAUGCAUUCUGCCUUGAGAUCCCGCGCUUCCAAGGAUGGUCGUCCUUUUCGUUCUAGCAGAGCAAACGGCUCCGGUGUGCUUGUCCCUGCCAGGGUACUUGUACUUGGUGGCAUGCAUCUGGCCUCUCUCUGUCCCUUCUCGGUGUCUAAGAUGGAGGAGAGGUCGAGUGACAUCACGUGCGUGCAGUGGAAGGAGAAUGAAGAGGUCGUGCUAGAGCCUAGAUCGCGUAACUUUGCAACUAGCCCAGGACUUAUGUAGGUUGAGCGUGCCAUGGUAGUUGGGCCUUGGCCGACUGGGCCGCUUGAGAGGCCAACUAUUCGAUGUGUCGACUGUUGAGAUACCAGGGUAUCUUGACCUCGACAGUAGCCCCCGAGCGUCUUCGUGAUCUUAGAGUGAUCGUGGGGAGAGCUGAAUUUCUGGUAUAUAGCGCUGCGGAAGGUGCAUCUCUGCAAACAGGGACUAAGGUUUUUGUAAACCCUUCUGUCAUUUUAGAUUAUUUAUUGUUCAAGUAAAUUGUAGAACAAAAAUAAGGAUAUGUAGCCAAUUUCAUUAUUAUCCUCAUUAAUUACAUCAAAGUGUUCUUGUUUUUCAAAUUAAAGAAACUUUGUGAUUACAUUGAUGAUGGCCUGAGUGUUUUAGAAUGUGAGAAUGACAAAUAUUUUGAUAGAAAAAAAUUGAAUGCUAGAAUGAUAAGUAAUAUGAAAUGGAGGAAAUAUUUAAUCGUCGGCUCCAUAUACACACAAAUAUCAAGAAAUAGUUAAUUAGUUACCGAUAAAUAAAGUAGUGUUGUAAGGCAUCAAAUGAAUGGCUGAUAAAGAUAUCUUCUUAACAAAGAGGGAAGUAUGGCAUCACUAAUUAAUUAUUAUUAGCCACAUUUGCUUCGCCCACCUACCUACAAAAGGUUGAAAGCUUGGACAUAGAAGCAUCACAAAGCAAGCCUAGCCAUAGGUUAAGAGAAGUUCUACGAUUAGAUUUGAAACAACAAGCUGGUGGCGGCACGACGAACUAUUGCAUCCUCCUCGUUGCAUUGGCAGCUCUCUCGGCUCGCUCUAUAAAUACUUUGCGGUAUCCCGUAUCCGCUGCAGAUGAGCAUCGCAGCAACGCACGGAGCCGAGCUCACAUUGCACAAGCUAGCUAGCCUUUGCAUUGCAUAUUCUCCAUCGCUCGCACGCUGCUAAACACACGUUUCCAAUUCGCUCAAAUUAAACUAGCUAACAGAGCACACACACGUCAUCGUCAUACACGAAGACCAGAGAGCUAUCUUGGUGAUCUAGCUCUGCUGCAUUGCAUGCUCCUUCAUUCGGCAACCAACGUCCGAUCGACGAUGGGCGGUGUAGCUAAGAUGCCGGCGGCAGGGCUCUGCUGGUUACUGCUAGGCGUGGUGUUGGCCUUUGGAGUUGCAGCUAGCCCGGCCCGGGCCUCCAGGAAUACUCACUACGACUUCGUUGUAAGUUGAUCCAUACAUCUCAUUUCAACUUAUAUUUAUGUUUGAUUUCAUUCAUAGAUGCAGGCAGAUAGUUGCUUGAACAGUAUAUAUGUGGUAUUAAGAAGACCUCGGUACAAACGACUAAUAAUGUAACACACCGGCGUACGUAUGUUAAACUCUUUUGCAGAUAAAGGAGACGAAGGUCACCCGGCUCUGCCACGAAAAGACCAUCCUGGCCGUGAACGGGCAGUUCCCGGGGCCGACCAUCUACGCAGGCAAGGGCGGUGUCAUCGUCGUCAACGUGUACAACCAGGGCAAAAAAAACAUCACCCUCCACUGGCACGGCGUGGACCAGCCGCGGAACCCAUGGUUCGACGGGCCAGAGUACAUCACACAGUGCCCCAUUCAGCCCGGUACCAACUUCACCUACCGCAUCAACUUCACCGAGGAGGAGGGCACGCUGUGGUGGCACGCACAUAGCGACUUCGACCGCGCCACUGUGCAUGGCGCCAUUGUCAUCUCCGCGGCCUACCCCUACCCCAAGCCACACAGGGAGGUGCUCAUCAUCCUCGGUGAGUGGUGGAACGCCGACGUGGAACAAGUUCUCUUGGAGGCCAAGCGGACCGGUGGCGACGUCAACAUCUCCGACGCCAACACCAUCAACGGCCAGCCUGGUGACUUUGCUCUGUGCUCCAAAAAUGACACCUUCAAGAUGUUGGUGGAGCACGGAAAGACGUACUUGCUCCAGGUCAUCAAUGCGGGGCUUACUAACGAGAUGUUCUUCACUAUCGCUGGGCACCGCCUCACGGUGGUCGGCACCGAUGGCCACUACCUCAAGCCAUUCACCGUCGACCACAUCAUGAUUUCCUCUGGUCAGACCAUGAACGUGCUCCUCGAGGCCAACCGCGCAACCAACGGCUCAAGCGACAACAACCGCUACUACAUGGCCGCGAGGCCGUACUUCACCAACAAGGGACCUCCGGUGAACGAUAAAAAUACCACAGCCAUUCUAGAGUACAUGGAUGUGACAGCGCCACCCUUCGCGCGGCCACCGGACUCCUCCGACCUGCCGGCCAUCAACGACACCGCCGCGGCAACAGCAUACACGGUGCAACUCCGGUCCUUGGUCACAAAGGAGCACCUAAUCGAUGUGCCAAUGGUGGUUGGCCAGCAUAUGCUCGUGACGAUCUCGGUCAAUACGCUCCCCUGCAGGCCUAACAAGACAUGUGCCGGCCCUAGAGGCGACCACCUCGCGGCGAGCCUGAACAACGUUAGCUUCGUGCCACCAACCAUCGACAUCCUCAACGCCUACUAUGACUCCAUCAACGGCGUGUAUGAGUCGGACUUUCCCGAUAGGCCAUCCUUCUUCUUCGACUUCACCGCCCCCAACCCGUCGAAGGAGCUCCAACUCACAAAGCAGGGCACCAAGGUGAAGGUGGUGGAGUACGGCACCGUGGUGGAGGUGGUGUUCCAGGACACGGCCAUCCUCGGUGCCGAGAGCCACCCCAUGCACCUCCACGGCUUCAGCUUCUUUGUGGUGGGCCGAGGGUUCGGUAACUUCGACAAGGAUAAGGACCCAACCAUGUACAACCUGGUGGACCCACCGUACCAGAGCACCGUCUCUGUGCCCUCAGGUGGGUGGGUUGCAAUGCGCUUCCGUGCGGCAAAUCCUGGUAAGUACUGUAUUUGCUAAAUUAAAUGUGGGCAACAUUGCAAUGAUGAACUACAAUAUGUUGUUAUAUGGUUUUUUUUCUUAUAUAUGUUGUGCUAUUUUUUCUUGUUUAUUAGGUGUGUGGUUUAUGCAUUGCCAUUUCAAUCGUCACAUGAUGUGGGGCAUGGAUACUGUGUUUAUCGUGAAAAAUGGCAAGACCCCAAAGACUCAAAUGAUGCCACGUCCUCCUAAUAUGCCCAAGUGCUAAUAAGGAAACAAGGGCAUGAGCCAUGCCGGCGGUUUGCAUGCAAGACAAUUGAGCAAAAAUAACUAAUCUUACUAGUAGAUUGAUAAUUGGUUUGGCUGUUCGUUUGUCUUAUAAGCCGUAUUUUUCUGUCAGCCAGCAAUGUUUUUCUCUCGUAAUAAAUCAGUGAACAAUAUUUUCUGCCAUGACUUUUUAAACCAGCGAACAAACUUUUGCGGCACUUAUUUUAAGUAGAUUGAUAAUUGGUUUAAUUAUUUGCUCGUCAUCGCCCCCUUCGCUGCACCUGGCGCUCAGCCCACCGGGGACCGGGAUCCCCGACGGGAACCUGAACGCUGCCGUGUGCGCCAUGGCGUGCGUGUCCGUGAUCUUCGUGCUCAUGGUGCUCGCCAAGCCAAUGUAUAUGGGCGCGGCUCGAACUCGACGUGCUACUGGGCCCGCGCCCAAAUCCCCUGCCAGAAGCUGCUACUCUCUUCAAGAUGCUGGCGACGCUACUCAUCUCGCGUUGAUUCUCGUCACAUUUCUCCUGGACAUGUCCUACUCUACCUACGGCCACCUGCUGCUCAGCACCGCUUCUCUUCAAUUCUUCUCCUGCAUAAGGAUAGGGGCCGUGCUCCAAACAAGUACUCAUAGUUCUUUUCUAGUAUAACUAAAUAAAUUAAAUAAAAUAUUUAGUUUAUUUAGUUACACUAUUCAUUCGGAGGGUCAUUCCCAUCCUUGCUUCUGCAGUCCUAGGGGCCAGUUCUGCUCCUACCCUACCCGUGUCAAAAGAAUUAUCUUUCAUUUGCUGGGCGCCAUUACAUGCCACACACUGACCGUCUCGAAAAAUAAAGCAUACACCAAGGGCAAGUUGUUUAGCAGUUUAGCACAUUUCCGAGGAAGACAGGCACGGACAUAACAUAAGUGUGUGCCUACCGAGUGAGUGUCAACUGCGAUGAACAUUUCUUUUGUAAUCACCAAACGAUAUGGACUGAUAUAUAUCACCAACGCAUAAUACAUCCAAAGCUUUUACACACAACCGUGAAGUUCCCAAUGAUGUUCCACCCUAAAUUACGCAUAUAGCUUUCCGCGGGCAUAUAUAUUAUUAGUUAAUGGAAAAAAAAACUUGGACUGCAGGGGAUAGCAUGGACAAACACGUUUACCAAAAACGAACCAACAGACUCACGUACGUACUACUAAUCUUCAUUCAAGAUGCUGCAAAUGCAUUACAACGGAUGUGAUGUUGUCAGGUUAUGCAGAAGCACGACAGAAGCAGCAGCAGAUUUUCAAGCAGACCCCCUUGAUAAUUCCUCCGCGUUUCGGCGGCGGCUUGCUCGGUCAGACUGGGCAUUCGGUUUAAACCGAUAAUUCGGUUCGGUUGUUCGGUCUUGGGAAACUUCGGUUUUGGAGAAUGUCACAACCGAUCGGUCCCAAAGAAAAUGAGAAACCGACAAUUUCGGUUUCGGUCUCAUCGGUUCGGUGUUCGGUUUAAACCGAGAUUUGGUUGUCUCGUACCUGUAGCCCAAUGCCACCGUCGCUGGCCUGCUACUCGUCAAGACUCAUGUGUGGAUAGGGUCUAUUUUAGGUUGAUGUCUGCAAUGUGUUGACCGUUGGGCCAUGUUGGGCCUUUGGUCUGGGCUGCUGAUAGCCUGCUAUGCGGAUGCCUCAUCCUGUGAUUUGGAGUGAUGGCAAGUGGUAACUGCAGUUCGGUUGAUUCGUGUGUUCGGUUUCGUGAACACCAGAACCGAAGCCGACAACCGAAGCCGAAGUUCCCCAGCACGGAAACCGAAACCGAACCGAACAACCGAAAAAACCGACAUUACGGUUCGGUUCGGUUCGGUUCGGUUCGGUUUUCGGAUUUCGGGUUAAAUGUGCCCAGGCUGAUUGCUCGGCGACCUCUGCCUCGUGGUCGUCGUCGCGGAUUCGUCUCGCUCUCCCAUGUGGUGGCCCGACGACCCCUGAGCUCCAGCUCCCUCCAUCAUCAACGAACUAAUGACACGCACAAUUAAGCUCACGACACCAGACCAACUUGAGCAGUUGAGCUACUCACUUACCUCUCUCUCUACGCCAGGAGCGUAGCUUAACUGGAACGGAUUGAUACCAUAUUUAUACACGGUUUCCUUGGUAUUUUUUUUACCACAAAUGUGGAGACAUUUUUCACGCCUGUUUCCGGGUACAAGCAGGAGAAAAUACGCAGCCCAGCCCAGGGACGUGCCGAUGCCUUUCGGAAAGGAAGUGGCCGCGCGCUUGAUCAAGGACAAGGAAGAGCUUUUUUUACCACUCACACAAAUAUGCAAGGUAAGUUCUCACGUCGCCCAAAUGCAAUGGUAAGUUCUCAUGUUUUUGCGUGCUGCCUUCGCCAACAGGUCACACAGCCAACAAAAAUCCAAAACGGUCUCUGUACGUGCAUGCAAAGGUUCAUUUUUUUUUUCUCUCUCUCUCAUCAUCAUCAUCAUCAACAAUCAAGGGUUCAAAUCUGGCGAUCGAUCGAGCUGUGCAGACGUGCAGUGAUCGUGCACGAUGCACGACGACACUGUAUUUUUCUCGACCCAGAAGAAGGUGCAGGCAGAUUGUUCUGACUGUAGCUUUAAGUGGGGACCACCAAAUCUUGACGCUUGGUCCCAUACGCUAGUGUGCCGAGGUCAGCGCCACACGUUAAGGGCAUGUUUAGAUUGGAGAUGAAAAAUUUUUUGGUGUCAUAUCGAAUAUGUCGGAAGGAUGUCGGGAGGGUUUUUUAGAAACUAAUAAAAAAACAAAUUACAUAGCUCAUCUGGAAACUACAAGACAAAUCUAUUAAGCAUAAUUAAUCUGUCAUUAGCACAUGUGGGUUACUGUAGCACUUAAGGCUAAUCAUGGACUACCUAGGCUUAAAAGAUUCGUCUCGCGAUUUUCAACCAAACUGUGUAAUUAGUUUAUUUUUUUAUCUACAUUUAAUGUUCCAUACAUGUGUCUAAAGAUUCAAUGUGAUGGAUGAAAAAAUUUUAGGUGGGAACUAAACAGGGCCUAAGGCUCCACAUUCAUCAGUGUCAGAUUCUUGCGAAAGAUGGUGGUUUUUAUCUGGUUUCACGAGUGGGCGCAUGCACGUCUCAUCUCGGAAAGCUCUCUUUGCGAACAAUUAUCUUGUUUCACGAGUGGGCGCAUGCACACGUCGCUCAAAUGGAAUGGUGCUUGAUGACGUACUCCAGGUCAAACUUGGAAGUCGGAACUCCACCAGCCUUUUUGCUUGAACUUACCAGUAGAAUCUAUGAGUGGUGUUUUUCUCUUUCAACAAACCAGCCAAAAAUGUUAUAGUUUAUUAGGACGACAGUUAGCAGAUGGGCUCUGGGACCUCCAAAUCGAGCAAAACAGGAGAUACUCAUAUGCACGACCCACAUCGGCACCGUGCGGCACGCCGCCAGAACGCUCCGCUCAUGGGCCAAAAUGUUGGGCCGUCUGCUUUUGAGCGAUGAAAAAGGAAUGUGCAAGCCCUGUAUUUUGCAUGAAAGCGACUAAGGCCUUGUUUAGAUCCAUUUUUUUUUUGAAUUUUAACACUGUAGUACUUUCGUUUUUAUUUGACAAACAUUAUACAAUCAUAGAGUAAUUAGGCUUAAAAAAUUUGUAUCGUGAUUUAAAGAUAAACUGUAUAAUUAGUUAUUUUUUUAUCUAUAUAUAAUGUUUCAUGCAUGUGCCGCAAUAUUCGAUGUGAUGGGGAAUCUUGUAAAGUUUUGGGUUUUCGGUAACAAAGCCUAAAGCGAGUGGUGGCCUUCCUCUUUUUUUUUGCACUGUAACGUUUUUUUUGAGGCGGUUGAAUUUUUACCCGUCUGUCAUUGAUCUAGAGACACACAUUUUAUCACACUACACAUAGGCACGUAUAUAUGAACCUAAGAGGCUAAGAACGCUAAUUUCCAUGAGCGAGAGCUACUGAAGACACACCUGUAGCAAGUAAACUUGGUGGAUUU